UUUUAAAUGGGUGGAGAUAAAACUAAUUUUUUUUAAAAAAAAUUAAAGUUAUUUUUCCUAUAUUUUAUCAAAUUAAGGAAUUAAAACCCACUUUUCCUAGUAAAUAUUAGGAUAAAGAAAUAUUUAUAGACAUCAAUUUCAUUCAUUGUUUUGAAUGAAAUUGGAUAUGGGAAAUUCGAUAACAGGCUAAAAUGAAAAUUUUAUUAAACCAGGAUUUCCAUCAGUUGUAUACAUGGAUUUCUGUGUCAAUUUAUAGUUUCGAAACAGAAUCAUUUGAUGAGAAGCGGUCAGCAGAGAGGACUUCCAGCCAAAAAAAGUUGAAACAUAAUCAAAUGACAUGAGCUUCAUUCUUAAGCUGGUCGAUCAGCUCAUCCACGGAAGAAACAAUAACUCCUGCUUUUCUCUUGGGAGGCUCAGUGACCUGAACAACCUCCAAAUCGGAUUUGAUAUCUACAUUCAAUUCCUGUGGAGUGAACUUCUUUAUUACCUUCGAUUUUGCUUUCAUAAUGUUGGGGAGUGUUGCAUACCGAGGCUGGUUCAGUCUCAAAUCAGUGCUGCAUGAGGUACAAAAUAUCAGGUCAAGUAAUGAGAUGAAACACAGAGCCAAGUUGCAUUUAUGCUAGCCUAUGGCAAAUAAUUGCAGUCAGCUUUCUGAUAAUAGCUUUGUUCAUCUGAGAAACACUUCCUAUUCAUGUGUUAUCAGCAUUUCCACAUGUUGCCUACUGCCAUUGGGCAAAAGCUUGGAUGAAAAAGAAGCAUGUUUUUGUCUUAAUUCUCUUAAGCAGAAUCAAGGAAUAGGGUUUUUGAGCAGAACUUCAUGUUACGAGUAGAUCCUUCCAUCAUUUGAGCACUAGCUAGCUAGGAAUUCUUACAAGUACAGAAUAUAAAGCUUGUAAUGACCAUGAAUGGGCUGCAAAGAACACAUGAAUAACUUCAAGAGUUCAAAACAGACAACAAAUUUUGCCCAUAGCAUAUAUUUUUAUACAGAAAAAUCAGUUGCAUACUCUUAAAUGGUCAAUUAAAGCUCAUCAACCAAAUCUGAAGCGUCACAAUUUAACAUUUGCUUAAGCCCACAUGACUUGCAUCAGGUACUCAGUCAAUAACCACAAUAAUCCCACUAGGACCUCCUCCUCUGUUCAUCAUUGAAGACCUUGGAAUUAGGGGACAUCAUUUACAUGGAAUUAGGGGAAUUAGAAGACCUUGGAAUUAGGCAAUAAGCUCAUAUGCUCUCACACUUCCCAAAGACAGUCCUCAUAGAUGGGCAAUCCUCAUCUUAAAAGCACAUCAAUCCCUAUUACAUUUGGUUUCUAACUUUAUCAUAUGCAAACAAUAUGAGACCUUUGACGCUACUGAAAUAUUAAUCUAGACAGACAUUCAUUAACUACAUUUUUCCCUGUUAUACAGAGUAGUGAAAGGUUCUAGAAAGUUUUUAAGCCAAUACACCACUGCAUACACAUCGGAAUAAAAGUUCUGCUUACAGAAACAACGCUACAAUACAUCCUAUUAAGUCCCAUACGAUAUGAAUAUUAUUAACUAUUUUCUGAUAACCCAAGAAAGAAAAGACUAGAAUAGAAUAAAUAUAUUUUAAAGCAUAUUUUCAAACUGGAAGUUAAUUAUAAUCAGUAACACAAUUAAAUAAUGAAUUUAGAGUCACAUGUUUCUAAACCAAAAAAGACAAGUUGUUUAAUUAAUAUGAAUAUAAAUUUAAAAAUAAAACUUUAAAAAUAUGAUCUAUCUAUGUUUCAAAGGUUUGUUAUAGAGAUUUCAGAGAUUUCACGCUUUCUUUUAUAAGCACAGCCAACCAAAAUACAUUAACAAACAGUUUUUCCAAGAGAGAAGACGAAUAAAAACUUCAAGAAGAAAAUUUGUUUAAGUUCAGCAUAAGAAAAUAAUUUGAGUUUAAAUCCCCAAAUCUACAUCAUUCUGUACAUCACCUAGAAUUUUUUUGAUAGGUAACCCAUUUUCCUUUUAUUUAUUUUAUUUUAUUUUAUUUCAUUGUUAAAACUUGAACUUGGAACCUCCCACAUCCAAGCUACAACCCUUUCUCACUUGAGACAAGCAUGAAGGAGUAUAUUUCACCUAUAAUCCUUAGUUAUGUUUGGUUCCUAGAAAGUACCAAGGAAAGAAAAAAAAGGGAAAAUGGUUUCUUAUGUUUGGAUGCUACAGAAAAAGAUAAGGGAAAAAAUAUUGAGGGAAAAUGCUAUAGAAAAAAGAUUUUCCUCCUGAUUUUCCUUAAAAAAUGAUGAGGAAAGUUGGCACAAUGUGCAUUCCUCACAAUUUUACUUCCCUCAAUUUUUCAAUGCACAACCAAAUAAGAGAAUUUUUUUAAAAUUUCCUCAUAUUUUUCUUUCCUUCUAAUUUCUUUCCCACAAACUUUCCAAAACCAAGCAUAGCCUUGAUUUUUUGGUCGAUGGAUCCUAAUAUUUUUUUCCAUGCAAGAAGAACCGAUGGAUUAGUCUUCUCCAUUUAUGGUUCCAAAGGUUUAGAAUUUCUUUAGCAUUUUAUUUUGCUUAAUUGAAAAGACAGAGAACAAUAAAAGUAUUUCAAGAGCUUCAUCAAAAUUUUAAACCACAAAGCUCAAUGUAAGACAUGAUGGCAUGUAAGACAGAAAACAAAAACAAAGACAGAAAAACAGUAAAUAGCAUAAGAAGAACAAAUAGAAAACAGAGUGAGACAAUUACGUGAUUACUGCUGGUAAGUCCAAACAUAAAGUUUCAAGACCACCAUCCACCUCUCUCUCCACUGUUGCCACCUCUUUCUCCUUGUCCAGCACAACCUACUAGAAAGCAGCAGCCAGGUUGAACAAUUAUUAAAGGCAAAGAAGAAUAACUUUUAAAGAGAUCAUCUAAAUGUUCUAUCAACACCAAUUGCCAAUACAUCUCAAAUUCUCUAGGGAAAGUGGGGAGAGAUACAAAAACAUAAGCUAUGUUUGGUUCCUAGAAAAUUUGAAGGAAAAUGUAAGGGAAAUAAGAUAGAAAGGAAAAGUAGAAGGAAAGACAAAGCAAAGAAAAUGCAUAGGUUUCUAACUAAUUUUAAUUAUAUUUGAUUUUAUUUCUUAUUUUUUUAUAGUAAAACAAAACAUAAGAAAAUAAUUUUCCUUAACAUUUUUUUUCCUUAAUACUUUCCAAGAGCCAAAGGUAUCAAUGGUUUUAUUGAUGCACACAACAUAAUUCUUUCAGGUAUGCCCCUUGCAGCUGGAGAACAAAAAGAAUAUAGGUACAAAAUGAUUUAAGAAAACAAAGAUUACCACCAUAGAAAAGCUAAAGUUAAGUUGAAUUCUAUUGCAUACAGAAAUCCAUGAAUCAUGACAGAAAUCCUAAUAAUAUUUUCCAUGAGGAAAAACAUCCACAUUUAUAAUACUACUGAAGAACCACAGUAACAGCAAUUUUAGGGAAAAAAGGACCACUGGCAUAUGAUGGUACCAUAAGAACAAUCUCAGCCCAAAAAACCCUUCAUAGGGGGGGCAAAUUGCUCUAACUCUUGAAAUCUACCCAAAGAAGGGAAACUACCUCUUUAAUCCAUCUUGGUUAGGUACCAGUUCCACAAGGGGCCAUGGUCCCCAGAUCCUUAUUUUUCCUUGUCCACAGUGCUUUUUACAUUCGGAGUAAUUACAAUAUCAGAAACAAGAAGAACAUAACAUCGAUUGAUGUAUUUGGAAGCAAAAAAAAAAGGUUAAAAAAGCUGUCUUAAACCUUUUGGGGUAUCUGUUAUUUUGCUUUCAUCAACUCAAUUGAUGCUUUUUUCAGCCUUUCCCUCCUUUCAUGGCCUUUGAUAUACUCUAUGCAUGCCUUGCUGAUGCUCUUACCAUUCAGCCUAAGGCCACACAACUAGCCUUUCGCAAAGACAUGACUCCAGUUUUCAGCUUUCUCAUCUUUUCAUGGCACACUCGCUAACACUGUCUUCACCCUAAGUGAUAUGAUGUGUCUCACUCAUGCAACCAGUAUUCACCCAAAGAGAUAGAUCAGAGAAAAUUUCUCUGUGUUAAGUUUCUUUAAAAGCAAACAGAGUCUUUGAGAGUUUCUUGUUAUUCCAUCUAUGACCAAAAGGGUUGAGAUUCAUGGCCCCUUGCAAUGAAUUUUCCAUUAUCAUCUUCAAAUCUGACAUUUAAAUCUUGUUUUCUUGUUUUCCUGUUUUUACUCUCAAAAUAAUCCAAAAACAGUAUUUUGGAAACCCUCAAUUACUUCAAACGAUCAAUGAGAGGCAAAUUGGAAACCAUAAUUCACAAGCGCUGGCAAAUGGAAAUGGACUCUAAAAAGAUGUUAGCUGUAAACUAAUUGCUUGUUGGCUCUGGUGGCAUCCAUCAUCAAAGAAAAAAGAUAAAUAAACUGAGACAUGGAAUUUCACUAUCCUUUUUUUCUUAUAGGUAAGCGAAGCUUGUAUGAAAGGAAUAAAGAAAAUAUAUACAACAUAUACAAAGCAACCAAAAUGGAAUUUCACCAUCCUAGCUGAAAAGUGGCGCACUGUUACCCUACUUGAUGUUGUAAUAAGCUUUUUCAUCCUAAACUAGGGGAAAAUGCCACUAGCAUGCACCUUACAAGUCUUUCUAAACAUUUCUGCAUCUCAUCAUGAGAGUUUUAUGGCAGUGAAACCCCAUCCCAUGCCUCCGUCAGUGAGGAUUCUAUAACAACAGAUUCAUAUAUAUCAUUCUCUAAUCCUUUUCUCUUGUAUGUGAAUAGAACAUAGCUCUGUUUGGAUCCAAGAAAGAAUGACAGAGGAGACCAAAACACUCAAAACACUGAACAUAACUUUAGAAAGUUCAAAGUUAUUUUCAGGAUUUGCCUUUUAUUUCUCCCAUUCUCUCUGAUAUAAAGACAAAACCUAAUACUUGUAGAAAGACACAUGGUUAAAUUUUUGUUGUCAACGCCAACAAAUCCAUGUAAGGUGAUGCUUUUCACUAAGAAGAGACUCUAAGAUUAGAUUCCCAAUGUAUAGAGUGUUUGCGCAGUAAACAAAUCAAUCACUUAUCAUUUAUAUAACAGUAGAAGUGUAUGGAGAGUGGGACUAACCUUGGAAGCAAAGGUCCCCUGAGGCCAGUUGAGCAACCCGGCAACCAUUUGCCCUGUUUGAUUGCAAUCGUCAUCAAUGGCCUAGAAAACCCAUGCCCACAUCAGAAAACAACAAUCCACCAUAAAAAGAGUCUAGGAUUUUCACGGAAUCCGCAAAUUUAUUUUUAAAUCGUUACCAAAAACCCUAAUCUCUGGGCACGAAUUCACAGACCUGUUUGCCCAGAAUAAGGAGGCCAGGCUUCUCCACAUCGACGAGAGCUUUGAGAAGCUUAGCAACUGAAAGUGGGUACAGAGUGGCGGAAGCUUCGACGUGGAUGGCCCUAUCGGCGCCCAUGGCGAGACCCGUUCUGAGCGUGUCGACGCACUGGCUGGGACCCACACUGACAGCGAUAACCUCCGACGCCAGACCCGAUUCCUUGAUCCUCAGAGCCUCUUCCAAACCUAUCUCACAAAAGGGGUUCAUCGACAUCUUGACGUUGCUGGUCUCCACGCCGCUCUGAUCGUGGGUUGGCGAUUGUUAUUGGAUGAUGAUGAAAUUACAGAUACUGAAUAACUUGAGAGUUUGGAUUUGGGUUACCUUGUCGGAUUUGACUCUGAUCUUGACAGCGUAGUCCACAACACGCUUUAUCGCCACCAUUAUCUUCAUCUCGUAUAUGGGUGGUUAUCUUCUCCGGCACAAGGGUAUUGGCAAAUGACUGAUGAUGAAGGACGAGGAUAUUCGCCCGAGCCCUACUGCACGACACCACAUCCGCUUAUAAAAUCUUUUGAUACGGAUAAGUACAAGGGAAGUGGAAAAAAAGGAUUAUUAAGAAAAAUAAAUAUAUUACCAAAAAAAUUAUUUAAAAUUUUGUUCAUGUAGAAAGAACCCGUGAAUCAGAUCGAAAAAAUUAUAUUAAAACUGCUGUAUAGCCGAAAAUUGUGUACAGAAUUUAUUUUAACAUUGUAUUAUUGAAUUUUUUAUUCAAAAAUUGCUUAACGUGAGAUAGAAAUUAAAAAAUCAUUAGUAAUUUUGUCCGAAAGUUGUUAUAUUUCAUGUGUUUUAAAAAUAGAUGUAAUUUAUUCCUAUUUGCAUUUUUAACGUACAUUUAAUUAAAUAACCCAAAAAGUUAUUGAGUUCACAUCAUCUAUGGAGUCUACCUCUCUUUGCUUUUGUUGCUUCCAAAAAUACCAUACUCCCAUAUUUUUUUGGUUCUACUCAUUUUACUUUAUUUUUUUCAUUCCAUUCAUUCCACGUGAAGUCUUCAAUCCUAAUAACAUUUACUAUAUUACAAUUAAGUUUAAUUUUUAAAAAACUUAAUUAGGGUUAAAUUUCCUUUGAGAGAACUUCAUUACAAUUAUUUGAGUUGUACGUUAAGUUUCAUUUAAAAAUAACUUAUUUAAAAAGAUGUUAAGCUUCCCCUAUUUUAUUUAUAAAGUUUAAUAUCUAUUUGAUUUUAUAUUUGAAAUCCAACUAAAACCUAAUAACGAAUUGUUGUAAAAAAACUCCAAUCAAAAUACUAACAAAAAUUAAAACAUAAAACUCUGAUAAAAAAUUGUUAAAAAAUCCAACAAAAAAACAAUCAUAAAAAACCCUAAUCAAAAACAUCAUGGAAGUUUAAAUGAAAUUGCCAAAAAAUAAAAAGUAUAGAAAACCCUAACAAAAAAACAACACCAAAACACCUGACAAAAAACAAUUACAAAUUCUAGCACAAAAACCCCCAAUUAAAAAUAUCUAUAAAGAAAAACCUAAAAAAAACCAAUUAUAAAACCUCCAACAAAAAAUAAAGAGAAAGAUGAAGAAUAUGAAAAAUUUUGAAGAAGAAAGAAACAUGAGAGAACUAUCAUUGAUCUUUAUUUGUUAAUCUUUGUUAUAUGUUUGAACUUCACUAGAAAAUGAGAGAGAGAGCAUAAACCUAAAGAGAGAAAGAGCUGAAAAUGAGAGGAGAAAUGAAUCACAAUGAGGGGAAUGACAAUUUGAGGAAAUAUAGAAGGGUUAAAUCAUUUGAACUAGGUUAACGUUUUUAUUAAAAAAAAAGAGUAAUGAAGGUCCUUGUUCUAAUUUCAAGAGUAUGUCUGUUAAUUACCAAAUGUGGCAACUCUAAAUAAAAUCCUUUGUUAUCAACUAAAACUAAAAGUCCCAUUACAUCAUAUCCAACUUUCAUUUGUUAUCAACAAAGUAAAACUAUAUACAACUAUUAUCACCAUCUCUCCUAUUUUGAUGUUAUUUUCUUAGAUGAAUUUGUAAAUCAAAAUUUACACCACCCAUAAAUUUUUUGAGCUUCCUAUUUAACACAACUUCAAUUUGUUAUACUUUGAACAUCACAAAGAUAAAGUAAUCAACAUUUUGCUUGGACAAGUUUUUCUUCUCUAAAGUUUAGAGUCCUAUUUCACUUCCCGUUUAUGGGUUGUUAGUUCAUCUAAUAUCUCACCAUCAUCCAUUCCAUGUACUGUGUUUCCGAAAUGAGUUGAUUCCACAUCCUAAAUGUCUGUGCAAAUUAAUAAGGAAUGUCGAGUUACCAAUUUUCUUAAAAGCUUAAUCUUGCAAGAUUUGGAUUCAAAAUGCAUAUCAUGCUCUCUUUAACACCCCUCCCCCCUCUCACAUGUAGCCCUAUACCCACACGUAGAGAAAUAGACUUAUAGGAAAAUUGGUAGUUUAAUAUAGUAUCAGCACUUGGUUUGGUGGGAGGUCUCCUGUUUGAGUCACCUCUCCACAAUUUACAUUUCUCCUAUUUGUUUAAUUUACAGUUCUUCCCUUAAUCUGUAAUUCUUUGGAUAUAAAUUUUCCCCCUAAUUUGUAGUUUUGUGGAUAUGAAUCUCUCUUCCAUGUUCAGGUAUGGGGCCACACAUAAGAGAGGGUGUUAAAGAGCAUGAUAUGCAUAUUAAACCCAAAUCCUAUAAGUUAAAACUUUUAGGAAAAUUGGUAGUUUAACGCUUUUAGGAAAAUUGGUAGUUCAACAUGUGUACACCCCAUUUUGGGGACUGCUAUUGCUCCCACUUCUUUUUGUCAAAUGGUGGAGCUUUUUAGGAGCACAUGUUGUAUUUGGAAAGGCUAUUAGAAAAUGGCAACAUGACUGUUAAUGGAAGUAAUGAUUUUCUAAAAAGGCAACCAUGGGAAGACACAUAACAAAGAUGUUUGGGGAGGAGGGAGAGUGUGCAUCAAGACUACUCAUGAGGGGUAAGAAACAAAAAAAAAAAAGUGUCGAAGAUAACUAAAAAAUUGGAGAAACAUAAAGGAAUAAGGAUUUUAGGGCUAUGGAUGGUGAACAAGAGUGAAUUAUGGGUGUCUAGGACAGCUAGGAAUGGUGAGAGGAGUAGGGAGCUGUAGAAGGUGAUGAGCUAGGUAAGAUGUAUUUUCGAGAAAGAAAAGAACCAAAGAAAGAAGGUGGUGAAUUAAGUGAGACACGUCUCAGAGAAGCAGAGAAAGUUGGCUUGAAGCCAAGCAAACUUUUGCUUGAGAUGAGCAUUGCCUAGUAAGAUUGUUUCGAUUCAUCGAUUAUUACUGAUCAUCAUACUUCUCUUGUCUUAUAUUCAUGUGAUUAUUUUACAUUGAUUGUGGGGUUGCUUUGGUUUGGUUAUUAUGGCUUCAUCCUCUAUUUCUUUAGUUUUAUUCAAGGAUAAAUCUAAUUGUGCUUUGAUUAGUUAUUCCAUAUUUGAAAAUCUUUGUGUAUUUUGGGUUUUUUCUCUUUAGAUAUUUUCUAGAUUAAUCCACUGACCUUUAAACCCACAAAUAAAGAAAAAUGAAAUGAGUUUUUUCAUAUUUGUUGGGUGUUUGGCCCUUGUUUAUCUUUUUUUAAAGCUUUAUUCCUUUAUAUUCUCUAUUUCUCCCCAUUUUGUACAUGGGUGUUUCAAUCAGAGUCUCUAUUUUGGCUUCCACAUUUGAGAUUUCUUUUAUGAGCGAAGACCCAAAAAUGGAGACUGGCUUCUUGUAAUUGAUAAAAUAGUUAGUCACCCAUUAGCUUAGAUGAAGCAUAGAUGUUAACCGGAUUGUGAACAUGGAUACUCUAUUUUGGGCCUAUUAGGCCUUCCAAUCCUCUCUUAGUUUCAUUAUUCUUGAGGAUAGUGUUUGGUUGUGUCUGCUACUUAUUCUGUGGCUUCGGUGGUCUGUUUGUUUAUUCUUGGCUAUUAUCAAUGCUAACAAUGGGAAAGAGACUGGUUUUGGUUAUGCUCUUACGGAUUUGAAGGUGAUCAAAGGGUCCAGUGAAGAGAAGAUUAGUAGGUCAUAUUAGGUUAAUUAAUUAAUUAGGACAUGUUUUGAGUUAUAUUAAGUAAUACAAGCUCUUAGUGGGCUUAAGUAACUUAAGCCUAGUGGGGAAUGCCAUAAAUACCCCUUAGGGGUUAGCAUUUCCAUAGGUUUUUCUAGAGAGUCAUCUUUCACCUCCAAAGAAGGAGAGUCAUAGCCUUUACCAUUUUUUCCAUCAUUAUCGAAGUGUGUCAAGAUUAAGGUUUAAGUCAUUGAGCGGAAGACUCCAGGUUUAUGAGACUUCAUACAACUUCGUUUUUCAUUUUCAUCAAAUGGAAUUAAUUUGAAAACAUUUGAAUCUGAAGUAUGGUUUUUGUUAGCAUAUUUCGAAUCCCUUUAAAGUUUAAAAAUGCAAAUUUUCCACUAUGUAUAGGAUUUAAAAUCGCUUAAGAUAGUUAAACAUGUUCCCCACUUGAUCUGAAUUGGGAAACGGAGAAAUCUGAUAUUUUCCCAUCACAAGGUAGGAUAAGAACUUGUGAUUGAUCUUUAUGGAUUGGACUAAUUAAUUAAUUGGAACCUAAUUAGGCUAAUUAAUUAAUUAAGACCUAAGCAAACUAGUUUAAGUUACACAAGCCUAGGAUGGACUUAAGUGACUUAAGCCCAUGGGAAGCUUAUAUAAACUCCUUUAGGGGUUAGGGUUUCAAACUUUUAUCAUCUAGUCUUCAAUUCCUUAAAGAGAAUAGAACUCGAGCCAACAACUCUCCUAAAGGAUUCUAUUGCUCCGUGUCAAGAUUCGAAAAAAAACUAUUUGAUGGAAGGUUGUUAUGUUUAUGAGAUUCGUUAUGUUUUUUUACACCUUUUCACUAAAUGGAAUUGAUAUAGGAAUGUUCAUAUCUCAAGUGCAACACACUUAUUCUCUUUAGAUUUAUAUUGCUUAUGGUUUUUUUUUUUUUUGUCAUGGUUUUCCGUUAAGAUUAGAUUAAGAGAGCCCUAUGUCAUAGAAUGCUUCAAAUGAGCCUCCCCGGGGGUUUGUAUAGAGCCCAUGAAGCUUCUAGAGACUCCUAUACUUAGCCAUUGGUGGGAAGAGUGUGAAAGGUUCUACAGAUGUCUAGAGAUAUUUACACAUCUCUACACUAUGGUGGAAGGCAUGAGAGGAGUCUAAGGCAUUCUAAAGAAUUAUAAAGAUCUCUUAUAUAUUCUUGUACAUAGGCUUGUACAUAGAAUUGUGUAGGAAGUUAUAGAUUAUUCUUGAGCUGUAAGGAACCCUCCAAGGUUCCAGAGAGUUCCAUUGGUGCCUAUAAAUAGGUGAAUGCCUCAUUUGGCCAAGACACUAAGCAAGUGAAUUCCAAAACACUUGUAAAGCUUCCUUUGAAUAAUAAAAGUUUCAAUUCUUCAAGAGUUGCCUAUUAUGCCUUCUAAAACUUCUAAGUCAUGAGCAUCUUAACCUAACAAGUUAAGCAUUGGGAGUAAUGCUAACUUAGCAAGAUCAAGGAUCUUGACUUGUCUAAGUGUUGCACGAUCUUAGGAAAAGAUUAAGUUUGUGACAGUUGGUUUCAAAGUGUGACUACGAAGUGAGCAUAGUAAAGGAAACAUGUCGAGCUUCAACAUGGAGGAAACUAGUGAGCAAACCCGUGGGAAAGAAACCGAGCCUACUGCAUAGGACAGGGACAUGAAGGAUAAAUCUCGUAAUGCCAUAGCCAACGUGGAGGCAAGGCUAGCCAAGGUGGAGCUAGCCAUGGCAGACACCCGGGAAGGGGUGGACUUAAUCGAGCAAGGCAUGGAAAAUGGCUUAGAGGAUCUAAAUGAGCAUAUCCAAGACCUUCAUGAGAGAGUGCUAGGCUUACAAGUUCGGCCGAUGUCAUAUGAGGAGUUCAUGUCCUUCCAAAACGAGGUCAUGAGCAUGUUUGCUAGCAUGGAGUCGAAGGUGGAGGCCUUGGCUGCACGCAUAGAGGCCCAAGACCAAGAGGUUCAACAAGAGCUAGCUAUCUACAAGACUGUCUUAUCAGCACGAGUCAUGGCCACUCAUGAGGCACUAAGGGUGGAAGUGCCCAAACCACACACGUUCAAUGGCAAGAGGGAUGCCAAGGAGUUGGACAAUUUCUUGUGGCACAUGGAGCUCUACUUUGAGGUUAUAACACUAAUAGAUGAAGCCACUAAGGUAUGUACCACAACCCUCUACCUCACCAAUAAAGCUACUCUAUGGUGGCGUCAGAGGUUUGCCAAUAUAGAAAAAGAAAUGUGCACCAUAGACACAUGGGAUGCCUUUAAGCAAAAGAUCAAAAAACAAUUAUACCUUAAUGAUGUGGCUUACCUAGCAAGGAAAAACACAAAAUGUCUUAAGCACACAGACUCGAUCCGUGAGUAUGUCAAAGAAUUCUCUACACUUAUGCUUGAGAUACCCAACAUGUCUGAGGAAAAGCUACUAUUCAACUUCAUGGACAACUUGCAAAGCUGGGCCGAGCAAGAGUUAAGGAGAAGUGGUGUCCAAGACCUAGCCACGGCCAUGGCGGUAGCGAAGUCCUUGGUGGAAUACAAAAAGGGAGACUCUUUUAAGCCCAAGCCACAGUCUAAGGGUAAUCAUGCUAAAGGUGGGGAAACAAGGGAUCAAGGAGGUACACUCCUAAGGAAUGAUCAAGCAAGACCUCUGGUGGCAAGGAUGGUAAGGGUAAGGAUAAACGGAAAUAGUUCACGCCUAAGAUCAAUUGCUUCCUAUGUGAUGGUCCACAUUGGGCGCGAGACUACCUCAAAAGAAAAGCCCUAAAUGCCAUGAUCGAGGAAAAGUAGAAGGAAGACAAUGCUCAUGUGGGAUCAUUACAACUCUUAAAUGAUAUCAAGGCUAAGUCAGUGCUUAAGACACCUCAAAGUAAAAGUCUAAUGUACAUAGAAGCCCUUGUAAAUAGGAAGGCUACCAAGGCUUUGGUGGACACUAGUGUCACUCAUAACUUUGUCUCGAAGGAUAAGACAAAGAACUUAGAGCUCCAAGCAUCUAAGGAAGGAGGUUGGCUCAAGGCAAUUAAUUAAGUUUCCAAGCCAUCACACGAAGUAGCACGCAGGGUGGCAAUGCACAUUGGCUCAUGGGAAGGAAUGGUCGACUUCACAGUGGCACCCAUGGACUACUUCAAGAUGGUACUGGGAAUGAACUUCCUAUAGAAAGACAAGGUCAUGCCACUACACUUCCUACAUUUAAUGGUUAUCCUAGAGGAUGAAAAGUCAUGCAUAGUCCUUACGGUCACCGAAGGUUCACCCAAGACCCCUAUGAUAUCGGUUAUGCAAGUAAAGAAGGGAUCAAAGAGGAAAGAGGUGACCUACCUCACCACUCUUAAGGAGGAAAAUGAUGAUGAGUUGGGGGAGCCCAUGCCUAAGGAAAUCAAGAGAGUCUUUGAUGAGUUCAAGGACGUGAUGUUGCCUAAGUUGCCUAAAAGACUCCUUCCUAGAAGAGAGAAAGAUCAUAAGAUCGAGUUAGAUGCAGGAACUAAGCCCCUUGCUAUGGGGCCAUAUAGGAUGGCACAACCCAAGCUGAAAGAGCUAAGGAAACAACUUAAGGAGUUGUUGGAUGCAGGGUUUAUCCAACCAUCCAAGACUCCCUAUGGCGCACCGAUUUUAUUUCAAAAGAACCAUGAUGGGUCCCUACAGAUGUGCAUCGAUUACCAAGCACUCAAUAAGGUAACAAUAUAGAAUAAGUACCCCAUUCCACUCAUUGUUGAUCUAUUUGAUCAACUUGGUAAAGCAAGGUAUUUCACUAAGUUGGACUUGAGAUCAGGCUACUACCAAGUGAGGAUUGUGGAAGGAGACAAACUGAAGACUACAUGUGUGACCCGAUAUGGCUCAUAUGAGUUCUUAGUGAUGCUCUUCGAUCUCACCAAUGUACCAACAAUGUUUUGGACACUCAUGAAUAAGAUCUUCCAUCCCUAUUUAGACUAGUUUGUGGUGGUAUACUAAGAUGACAUAGUCAUCUACAAUAGCAUCUUAGAGGAGCACGUGGAGCAUUUAAGGAAGGUCUUCAAGAUCUUAAGGUAAAACGAGUUAUAUGUAAAGAAGAAGAAAUGCUCAUUUGUUAAAGAGGAUGUGAGCUUCCUAGGGCAUCGCAUCAAAGAUGGCAAGCUGAUGAUGGAUGACAACAAGAUGAAGGUCAUCUAGGAAUGGGAUCCACCUACUAAGGUACCUCAACUAAAGUCUUUCCUUGGCUUGGCUAACUAUUACCAGUGGUUCAUCAAGGGUUACUCUACAAAGACAGCUUCACUCACUAAUCUUCUUAAGAAGAACAAGGCAUGGGUGUGAGACAAAAGGUGGCAACAAGCCUUUGAAGAUCUAAAAAGUGUUGUGAUUGAGGAGCCAAUGUUGGCAUUACCCAACCACAUGAAGGUUUUUAAGAUACACACAGAUGCCUCAAACUUUGCUAUUAGGGAAGUUCUGAUAAGAUAGACAUCUAAUCGCCUUCAAGAGUUGCAAGCUAAAUGACAUAGAGAGACGCUACAUGGUACAAGAAAAUGAUAUGACUGUCAUUGUCUAUUACUUGCACACCUGAAGACACUAUCUUCUAGGGUCUCACUUCAUAGUGAAAACCGACAAUGUUGUCAUUAGUUACUUCUAAACACAGAAAAGUCCUAAGUAAGCUAGGUGGCAAGACUUUCUGGUUGAGUUUGACGAUGCGCUGGAGUAUAAGACAAAAAGUACUAAUCAUGUGAAUGACGCCCUAAGCCGUAAUGUAGAGCUAGCAUUCAUGACGAGCCAGCCCCAAUGAGACAUAAUAGAUCUUCUAAGAGAGGGGUUGCAACAUGAUCUAGUGGCUAAGAGCCUUAUUACCUUGGCCCAUGAGGGAAAAACUAAGUGUUUUUAGGUAGAGGACGACCUACUCUACACUAAGGGGAGACUACUCUACGUGCUUAAGUGGGGGAACAUAAGGUAGAACUUGAUUAAGGAGUGCCAUGACACCAAGUGGGUUGGGCACCUUGGGCAACGACGCAUAAAGAGCACUACUCGAGUCAGCUUACUACUGAUCUUAGAUACAAGAUGAAGUUGAGGCAUAUGUGAGGACUUGUCUUGUGUGCUAACAAGACAAGGUAAAACAACAACAACCUAGAGGCUUGUUGGAGCCACUACCUAUAGCAGAGCGUCCAUGGGAGAGCAUCACCAUGGACUUCAUCAUCGGGCUACCUAAGUUGGAGGGCUAUGGCUCGAUCAUAGUGGUAGUGGAUAUGUUCUCUAAGUAUGUGACCUUCAUAGUAGCCUCUACUGACUGUACUGCAAAGGAGACAGCAAGGCUAUUCUUGAAACACAUGGUCAAAUACUGGGGGUCGCCUAAUUACAUCAUCAGUGAUCGCGAUUUGCAUUUCACUAGGAAGUUUUGGACAAAGCUCUUUAAGCUUAUGGGUUUGAAGCUUCACUUCUUCACAAGCUUUUCACCCGUAAACAGAUAGGCAGAUUGAGAGGGUGAACGCCUUAUUAGAGUUAUACUUAUCCUUCAUGAGUGUCAACCAAAAGGAAUGGACUAAGUUGCUAGAUGUAAUCCAAUUUUCAUACAACUUGCAAAGAAGUGAGACAACCAACAAGAGCCCGUUCAAGCUAGCCAUAGGGCAGCAACCAUUGACUCCUCACACACUACCAAUAGGCUAUACGAAGAGAAGUUCAGCGGCUUUGAAGUUCACUAAGGGGUGACACGAGCCAACUGACAUAAUAGCUCAUACUUGGAUAGGGCCGCUAGAAAGAUGAAGAAGUGGGCUGACAAAAAGCGACAUCACACUGAGUACAAGGUCGGAGACAUGGUCUUUGUCAAGCUCCUUCCUAAAAAAUUCAAGUCACUAAGGCCGGUACAUAAAGGCCUUAUGAUGAGGUAUAAAGGACAUUUCCCCAUACUUGGAAAGGUCGGCAAGGUGUCCUAUAGAGUUGAGUUACCACCGAGGUUGAAGAUUCAUAUCGUCUUCCACGUAAGUUACAUAAAAUCAUAUCACGAAGACAAGAAUUAUCCAAGCCAAGGGAUGUCCUAGAUGACACCUACAUCGAUUAUGACCUUCUAUGACAAGGAAGUAGAACACAUCAUUGCAGGCUGAGUCAUCAAGAGAUGAGGCGUGCCUCCUGCUACGGAGUACUUGGUGAAAUGGAAGGGACUACCAGAGAACGAGACUAGCUGGGAGCCAAUAGAUGCACUAUGGCAAUUUCAGGAGCACAUUAAGUGGUUCUAGGUGGAAGGUGCGACAAGGACGUUUACGGUUUAGGUAGGGGAGAGUGUCAUAGAAUGCUUCAAAUGAGCCUCCCCAGGGGUUUAUAUAGAGCCUAAGAAGCUUUUGGAGACUCCUACACUUAGUCAUUGGUGGGAAAAUGGUGGAAGGUUCUAAAGAUGUCUAAAGAUAUCCACACAUCUCUACACUAUGGUGGAAGGUAUGAGAGAAGUCCAAGGCUUUCUAGAAAAUUCUAGAGAUCUCUUGUAUAUUCUUGUACAUAGGCUUGUACAUAGAAUUGUGUAGGAAGUUUUAGAUUAUUCUUGAGUUGUAAGGAACCCUCCAAGAUUCCAAAGAGUUUCAUUGGUGCCUAUAAAUAGGUGAAGGCCUCAUUUGGCCAAGGCACCAAGCAAGUGAGUUCCAAAGCACUUGUAAAGCUUCUUUUAAGUAAUAAAAGCUUCCAUCCUUCAAGAUUUAUCUACUACGCCUUAUAAAGCUUUCAAGUUGUGAGCAUCUUAACCUAGCAAGCUGAGCAUUGGGAGCAAAACUGACUUAGCAAGAUCAAGGGUCUUGACUUGUCUAAGUGUCGCACGAGCUUAGGAAAAGACUAAGUUCAUGACACCUAGGACUAGUAGCAUGCACCCUAAGUAAUCCAAGGCUAGAAAUGAAAUGAUACAAGGAUUCCCAACACUUGACUUAAUUCCUUAGAAAUUGAAACUCAAUAAAAAACAUUAGUGUCAUUAACCUCAUUUUUUUUAUUACCAAUACUUAAUUAGGGGAAACCUUGAGCUAACAACCUCCUCAUUUUUUAUGAUGAUAAAACUGUACCAUCUAAAGAAAGCUUUCCUUAAUGUAUGCAUAUUAUAAGCAAUUUAAACAUUCAUCAUAAAAGAUGGAAAACAUAAACUCAAAUGGAGACAUGGAUAUAUAGAUAUAAGAGACAUCAUAAAGGUUGCAACAUGAUCGUAUAUCCGAAAUAGCAUCCAAAAGCAUGUCAUCCAAAAAAAAAUCAACCAUAAUAACCAUGUUCAAAUUGUCCCAAAAAGGAAAAAAAUAUAUAUAUGAAACAAAAAGUAUUAAAUAGUUUACUAAAUGUUAUGCCCUAGAUACCUAAAGAUAUCUCCCCCUUAGGCAACAUCGAAACAAUGAGGGAACUAUAUGGCUCAAGGUUGAGGUGGUGGAAACAAGGAACAUAGGACAGCUAUUGAAGAAGCUAAAAUUCUUCAUAAAUGAUUGAAUUUUAUUUCACCAUGAGAAACAAUACAAAGAGGGAUUUUUUUUUUUUUUUUUUUUUUUUUAUCAAGGGGAAGACCCCUUUCUCUUUACUACUUAUCCCUUUUAAUAAAAAUUCUUCCACAUUUUUCCACUUUAUUUUGCCAACAUUCUUUCAACCCCUUUUGCACAAAAAUGCCAAAGAUAGUAUUAGGAUAACCUUUUACAACCAUUGCUAACUUUUGACACAAGUUGCUAAAAAUUGUUGAAGAUUUGCUUUUAAUGUCAGGUAGGAUAGCAGAUUGGUUCUAAUUGAAGGUCAUUUCUUGUGGAGGACCUUACUUAUAAGUGAGAUGAUUGUUCCUAUCUUCAUGGUUUUAUGUUGUAUAGUUAUAGAGACUUUUUAGAGGCUAUCAGCUUUAGAGCAAAUUUAUGUUGUUUGUUAGGGAUUAAGUAUUUUAUUCAAAUUGGGUGAAUGGUACUACCUCUUUACUUGAGAUGGCUUUGAGAUUGGGUGGUUGAAUAGUAGUACUUUGGAAUGGUCUAGUUUUUGUUCGCUUUAGCUAUCAUUUUCUUAUGCUGUGUCUAUAGACGAGUGGAGACGUCAUUUGGAAAUUGGUCAAAUUGCCCGUGAAAUUGAUCAAAUUGUCAAGUUGUCAUCCUAAAAUUGACUAAACCUAGUUUGUAAAAAUGAGAAACGACCGUCACUAGCGACUAACAUCUUCUCAAGCUAAGUAUUAAUAGAUCCAAUCUGAGCAUAAAGGGCAUCUUAAUGUUGCAGGUUCAAUGCUCAUGAAGCAUAAUAUUUUGGAUACUUGGUGUGAGACACCUCAGCAUAAGUCUAAUCCAUAAGGAUAGUCUCCUCAGGAGGUUGAGAUGUGGGCAAUUGAAUGGUGGCAUCCAUGCCCUUGGUUUGCAUCUCCUGUUGAACAUCCUCACCCCCUAAUCCUUUAUGGUCACCCUCAGUCUCUAUCUAUAGAAUCUCUGCCUCUUACUCAACCCGGUCUUCAUUCAUAGCAGGACCCUUUCUUUUUCUUUCCAAUGAUCCAUUAGGCAAUUUCUCAAACAGCAUUCGGUCUGGAUUUUACGUUAUAGGUAUCAUAGGAUGAGGCCUGAAUGUUUUUUUCUCUUCUUAUGUCCACAUUGAAUGCUUUCAGGAUUUUUGUGAUCAGUCUUCUUCCGUUGGCCACUACUUUAGAAUUGCUUUUACAACAGUUUUUCAUGUGUUGAAAGAUGAUAAGGAAACCUUAGAAUGGAUCGGAGUCAAUAGAAAAUGCUACAUAAUAGGACACCUUGUCUCUAUGUCCACCCUUAGGUAGAAAAAUAUGUUUGAUCAUGUGGUGGUGCACCCUAGAGAUAAUGCUCAAGGCAUGGGCAUGGAGCUUUGAAGUCACUGUGUCGAUGGGUAAGUUACAUAUCCUCUAGAAAGCCCUACCUAGGUUAAAACUAGACACUAUAGGCCAUCCCUUCGUCUCAAAUAAACAAAGUCCCCCACAAAGGAUCUCCAAAAUAUCACAAAGCAUAUCAAUAUUUAGUUUAAUUCAACUCCUCUAACAAAUGUGCUAAUUGGCCUUCAUAUAUUUUAGGUUCAAGUAAAAUACCUGAACAAGGUUGGGGUAUGUAGGCUCUCUUGAUGAGAUGGUAUUGGUGAGUAUUUUUUUUUCUUCAAUACAAAACUAUUACAACACUUGGUUUUUUUUUUUUCUAAAAAAAAAAGAAAAAUAAAAAUAGUUUUAUAUUAUACUUAGUUUCAAGAAAAAUAAUAAUCAAAGCAAAAUGAAAAAAAAAUUCUCAUAUUGGUUUCUCGUGAAAAAUAUAAAAGCAAAUAAAAUACAAUUAAAAUUAAUUAAAAUCUUAUGUAUUUUUAAAUUAUUAAUUUUUAUAUAAAAAAUGAAAAAUAGUAUAAUGAAUUUAGAAGAAUAUAUAAAAAUAAUGUAUUAACUUUAAAUCUUUUUUUCUUUAUAUAUAUAUUUUCCCUUCAAUUUUCUAAUACCAACACAUAAUAAGGUUAAUGUCUUCUAGCCAACCAAUUGUAAGUCAAUUUUCAUAGAGCUUUUUUUUUUUUUUUUUUUUACAUGCCACCAAGUAGUUAUAUAAGCAUUUUUGCAUGUUAUUGUUAUCCAACAUACAAUAACUAUAACAUCCAAUUAUUAUGAACAUGAACAAUAAAAUUAGAUGCAACUAACUAUUUAGUGUAUAACAAGAAGUUGGUGAAGUAAUUCAUCCUAACAUGAUUCAACAAUUUUUGUUUAUUUUUCAAGAUUAAUUAUAACAUACCCAUUCUAUUAAAGUUGUUGAGAUAUUUGAGCAAAACUAAAAAUCAACAUUAAUUCAUUUUAUACCCACAAGAGAAAUAAGAUUUGUUUUUUUGUUUGAUAAUAAAGUAGUUGUAGUUAUUAAUGAUAAUUUUGAUCCUAAUUUAAUAGGUAUCCAAAAAAAAAGGAAAAAUGCAAGUAAACCAAUUCUUAUCUAACACAAUUAUUACCACCUUAAAAUCCUGAGGGGUAGCUCAGUUGAUCAGUUCGAGUCCCUUUAGGACCAUGAAAAGCUUACCCGAUGGUUCACCUUAAGAAAAGCAAAGCAUUUAUAUAAUUCAACUGGUAGUUGAUAAGUCUUAGAAAGGGUUUUGCCAUCAUUGGCUUCUCAGUAAAGGGCAAAUUUGGGUUGUGGCUGACAAUUAUUGAAUUUGUGAAGAAAUAUGUGAAGAAAGGAAACAAAAAGAGUUGAGGACAGAAUUCUUCAAUUAAAAAAUGGUUAGCCCAUGAACCCAUUCUUCAAACAGUAAGCCAAUGAGCCAAUGAGCCAAAAAGAAAGAAGAACAGCUGGUUUCAUCUUUUUAUCUUAAUGACUUUGACAACCCAUCUUUCUUUUAAAUACUUGUGACUUUGGAAUAUAAUUAAAAUGAAACUUUGGAAUGCCCACAUCUGAUUCACGGCCUUUUUACCUGUUUUCUUGUUUAACAUUUUUUUAAAUAUUAUAACAGAUGGAAAAACAUGAUUCUAACAGGCUGGAAAAUAGUGGAAGUUGGAACACCAACCAUAACCAAACUAUACCUUCCAUCUUUCUCCAACACUCGGAAUUAUUGAUACAAGUUGGUGGUUUUAUGAUUGUUUCUAUUGAGGGGACCCCUCUCCAUUUCCAAUUUCAAUGGAAAGGUUCUUCUUUCCCUACUUUUUUUUUUUGUUUUUCAAAUUCUUGUAGUUUUGUCUGUCUCUCUCAACAAAGCAAACUGCAAUCACUAAUUCAAAGAAAAGGAAUCCUAAAUGAAAAGAAAAGAAAGGAAAGGAAUGGUAAUUUAGGCUAUGAUGAUGCUCCUAUAUAAUGGCUGUAAGUCAAUAACAACACACUGGACCCGCCUCCUAUCUCAAAAGAUCACAAACCCAAAUAUCAUAUACUUCCAAAUUUCAAUUUGGUUCCCUGUUUAUAUCACAAUCUGUCCUAUAUCCUCUUAAUACAUCUAAAAUCUCUCUAUAUCAUAAAAAUAAUGAUGGAAAAAAAAAUUAAAAAGAAAGAAGGAAAAAAUGACAAAAAAAAAAAAACCUUGGUGCUGCUAUGGGUCCAUAGGAAUUGGCAGGACUGCACUUCUGGAUCCCCUUCCAUGGCCAAAAGAAAAGAAUGAUCUUCGGAAUCUGCUGCUGCAACCUUCACUAGGGCUGAAGUCACUGACAGGCCUGUUCUGUUGCAAAAUCUCUUGAAUUGCUAAAUACAGCUGCCUGUCGUUGGAUGAGUCCAUUGAAAAAGACCUCCUGAUGGGUUGGAUUGAGAACUGAUCAUCUUUGCCUCUAGUGUCAAUGCACUCAUCACCCAUGCUUGCAACAUGAUGAAACUUCCUUGCCUUUUUAGGCACAAUUCUCUGCUCUAGCUUCCUAGGUGAUGGACUAAUUGAUGGCGCAGAUAACUCUCUGGAAUUCAGUCUUUCUGGUGGCCUAAGCAGUGAUGAAUCAGCAGAACUAUCAUUUCCCAAUUCAAUUACUACAAAAUCUUCAUCCCCUCCUAUGUAAUUAUUGGCGUAGGGGCUUGGAUCUUGGGGGGAAGAGCUAGGAGCAAUGAUUUGGUGAACAGGAAACCGGGGUGUGGUUGAAAUGCUUGUUCUGCAAAGUGGGCAAUUAGCAUUGCUUUGAAGCCACACGUCUAUGCAAUCUAUAUGAAAUAUGUGACUGCAGUUUGGUAUGAUUCUUAGCUUCUCUUCUUCUUGAAACUCAUUCAAGCAAACCGCACACUCGCAAUGGCUUCUUUCUCCAAACUCUCUGCCACCUCCUUUCCUGAACUGGAAUAUUGGGAUUGAUCUGAUGACUGACUCGUCCAGGCCUCGACUCUCGAUUGCUGGGGAGUACACCAUUAAAGGGUCUUCCGGGUGCCGACUCCUUGAGAAAGAAAAUCGUCUCAGCAGAUCAAUCCGGUGCCAAUUGAGGCAGCAUUUGAUUACAAAGAUGUAGUAGCUCACCAGCAAGAAAGCAGUGGCCAGGAUUCCUAUUACGGCAAUGGCUAUAAUGGGGAAACUGGUGUCCGAGGAAUGAGAGGGAGAAGGAAGCACUGAGCUCGCCUGGCUUUUGAUGGGAGAAAAGGCUUGUGAUCCAUGGAUGGAGGAGUCUGUGCUCACAAGAUCCAUGAGAGAGGCUAUGAAAAACAUUUAGAAAUGAGUCUAUUCGGAUCUUCAAUUCACAGAAACAUGCAAAUGCUAGAAUAAAAUCGACAGACACUCAGAUAUAGACCCUACAGUUGUAAUGCAGCAUACCAUAAAUGUGAUUGAGUGAGUGAGGCUGAAACAGCAAAUGGGUCACUUCAAGAUCUCAACAAGACAGAAAACCCAUGUUGAAUUCACCAGGAGAGUAUUGAAAAGGGAAAAAUUAAGGACAUAUAGCUGUAUUGAAAGUUGAAACAAAUGCAGAAACAUAGAGAAGAGAGAGAGAGGGAGAAAACCCAGGAGGGUUGAAUGAGAGCGCUGCUGGGGAAGACAUCAAAACGCUUCAAAUUCAAUGAGAAUCUGUUGGGGACCUCUUUAAGAGGACUGCACAAAGCCUGAGCGUAGGGUACGUGGUUGGUUGGUGAAUUUCUCGGCUUCCAAAAGAGAAAUUUGGUGAGAAAAUUUUCAAGUCUCUUGAUUAUAGUAACGUAGCGUUUAUUUUAAUUUUAUGUAACCGAAACUAAUGGGCUGGUUCAAAAAAAUAAAAAAUAAAAAAAGGAACUUUCUAGGAUAGGCCAGCAGUCCACCGUUGGUCAUGUGGUUUCUUUUGCAUGUCCACAUCUUCCAACUAGUGGAGGUCCCUGUCACAACAGUAAGAAAACACCCAAUUGAAUAAAAGUAUGAACUUUUGGCUCCCAAUAUUACUUAUGCCCUCAUUCAAUACCUCAAAUAAAGCAGAGAUUUUGUGUCCCAACUUUUAUGAUUUCAUUUCAUCUUACUUCAAAUGCUAAUGACAAAAGUCCAAGUAUAUUCUGUAAUCACCCACACCCCAAUAGUUUUGAAUCACACUUGAAAUAGUUCCCAUGCUUUCUUAAUAAUUUAGAUAAUUAUUUACAGAAAAAAAAAUUCAGAACAGGAUGAUAAUCAUUUUGUGAUAGCAUGGAAGAAACUUUACUAGCCACUUUGGCCCCAUGAAGUUGAGUACUUGAUGCCAAUUAAUGGCAGGGUGGAAAAUAGAGAAAAGGGAUCAUAGUCAAAUCUAGAGUACAAGGCAUUGAAUCUUUGUUAAUAAUUAACAAAUGGGUAAAGCAUGGGUCACAGGGUCUACAGUUUGGAUUGCAAAAACCUCAGGCUUCUAUAAAAAGCUCAUCCAUUAUCAAUCAUCAAUCUGAAAGCCAGAAAGUCCAAGGCACAUGCAACCCACGACAGGGGUAAGAUUUCUGCAUCAUGUCCCUGAGUUGCAUUCACAUCAUAUGUUUCCCUCCGGGCCGUUCCAAUUUGAAAUCUCAUGGAAAUCUUCAAGAGCAAGGCUACAGAGUUUAAGAUAAUACUAGGGGUGGGUCCUGAUGGGAAAAGAGGUAGUGUAGGAUAGUCAAUAAAGGGCAUGUGUCUCUGGUGUGAAGUCAAAUCCAGUGUACCAUCCUCAAUGGAAAAUUUAGAAAUAGAACCGACACUCUACAGACUGCCGUGUUGACAGAUUAGAGAAAGACAAACCCACUUACACUUGCCUCAAAACCCAGUCCUGCCAUUUCAAAGGCAAAAAAAAAGGGUUUCUUUUUAUAGUCAAAGGUUGAGGCCUGGCCUGGCCUAGCAAAGAAACUUCACCUACUCUUUUCUUAUUUUUCAAAUUAAGGCCAUUCAACUUUUCCUGUUUGCAGGCUUGCUGCCAUAUCUUACUCCAAAAAAGGUGAAAACCCAAAAGAAAAAGAGUGUUUGCUUCAAUGGAAAACUCAUGUUUAAUAAAUUCACCGCACGAGUUUUGUUCCAGCUUUUCCUAUGAAAGCUGUGAUGCGUUUGGUAUGAAGUUGAUUUUGUUCCUAAAAAUUUUGAUCUUGGCGUGGAAGGCAACUUUUUCCUUUUCCCCCUUUUUCUUUUUGAAAAGUUCGGCAUUAGUUACCAAAUGUCCUUUUACUUGCAUGUAGGACAGCGGAAGCAUUACACAUCGCAGCAAAAUCCCAUUUACCCGAAUUUUCCACUAACUCUUUUUAUUUUUUACCAUCAUUUUUUAAUAGAAGUGAUGCACUCUUCAAAUUACAUGAAGCUUUUAAGAAGGUAAUAACCCGUUUCAAAGCGAACUUAACCUACAGAGUAUGUUUUAAAAAUAUUUAGGUAUUUGAUAAAAUUUAAAAAAUAUUUUUUAAAAUCUUUAAAAUGAUUUGUAAUAUUGAAAAUUUAUUUAUACUUUUUUUAAUAAAAAAACAUUUUAUAGGUAAUUUUUCUAAAAUACUUUUAGAGAAAAUGUCUUCCCUUCACUAUAAAUAUUAUAUACUAUCAAAUACACUUUAAAAAUCUGUUUAACAAUAAUUUUAUAAAGUGUUUUUAAUUUUAAAAAUAUUUUUAAAAACAAAUUAAAUUUUUGAUAAAAUUUAAAAAAUCUUUUUAAAAAUUUUGAAAAAUAUCUCGUAAUAUUAAAAAAUAUAUAUAUUUAUAAUGUUUUUUAUAUAAAUACUCAAAAUUCAUUUAAUAGUGAUUUUAGGAAAUGUUUUUAAUAUUUCUAAUACUUGAAAAUUUUUUAUCAUUUAAGUAUUAAAAAUAUUAAAAACACUUUAUAAAAUCACUUUCAAAUGGACUCUUAAUGAUUUUACUAAAAACACUUUUCAUAGAAAACAUUUAUAAAAAAUAAUUAUGAAAUACACUCUAAAUUAAGUAAAAGUUGUUUUUAACAUUACCACUAUUUAUUAAUAGUGCAUUUGUUUAAAAUAUUUAUAUGAAAAAUUCAUUAGGGUGGGAUAUAAAUAUAGAAGUGUUUUUCUUUAUAUAUUUUUUAUAAUAAAAAAUGAUUUUUGAAAUUAUAAAAUUUGAAUUUAAGAAUCAUUUGAUAAUAAUUUUUGUUAAAGCACCUUUAAUACGUGGUGCUUCUAUUGAUAGCGCUUUCAUUUCUAUGAAUGGCUAUAAAUUAUAUUUGAAUAAAUUUUUUAUAAUGUAUUAUAUAAUAAAAAAAAAGUCAUUUUUAAAAAAAUUAUACAUUAAAUGAUUAUUCAAAUAGUAUUUCCUAAAUUUUAUUAAACAUUUUUUUCAAAAAAAAAAAAAAAGUUUUCAAAUACUAGAAAACGUUUUUAAUCUCUCACACGAUCACAUCCAAACAAGUCCUAAUGCUACUCCUAGAAACACUCCAAAACAAAAGUCUUCCUCUAUUAAUGUUCAUAAAAUCCACAUAUAUUCUUCCAUCGUUUUUUCAAAAUUCAAAAUCAUUUCUAAAACAUCAAAUCAUGUUCUUUGGAUUGGCUGACUUGUUUUUUGAAAAUAGAAGGCUCAUUAUUGACGUCCGUUGACUUCAUAACCCAGUCUUGAUCUCUUGAUGGAGGGCAUAAAUGUAAAUUGGACGAAACCCUAGGGUGCGCUAGAGUGUAGAGGAUGAAAGGUUGGAAAAAGGAUGAGGUGGGGGUGUAAUAAAGAGGAGGGUUGGGAGAAUGGGACAUGUGUAGGUGAAGCAUUAAAUUCAAGACUAUGCUUACCAACAACAUAUAAAUAAAUAAAUAAAUAAAUAUAGGAACAGCACAUGGGGUGAGUAGGAGACAUCAGAAGAUGUGAACAACCCCUUGUCAGUCCAAUUUGCGUCUUUUAUCUACUCUAUUAUCUAUAUCGAUUUUCGUAUUUAUUUAUUUAUUUAUUUAUUUUUACCAUUUGAUUUUGCAUGGAUGUCGAAGGGUUUAUUGGCUGCCACGUGUAGGGUUAUGGUCAAGAUCACGUGGGGUGCCUACAUGGGAGUCACGUGAGUGCAUGAGGCAGGCUUGAAUUGCAGGAGGAGCAGGAGCAGAGCAGUGGCUGUUGUCUUAAGACUUUGCUCUCUUGGUGGAACUGCAGCUUAAGCAGCAUCCACGUGUUGUCACGUGCAAUGCGAGCCAUCCACACCACCAGUUUCUUUUUAGUGAUUUUCUAAAGUCAGUUAAGGUUGCAGUCAAUACCUUCAAAUGUUGACAGAGUUAGGGAUCUUUGUUAAAUGGAUUUUAUUAAGAUAUUAGUAAGUUAAUUAAUUGAGGGUCAACAUAACAGAUGGGUCGGGUUGGGUUGAAUCUGAAUUUAAAACGAUUUAAUUUAUGUUUAAUCAAAUUUAACAUUUAACUCGAAGCACUCAACUUAAGUUUAAUUGAAUCUUAGUUUUCAAAACAUUAUUUAAAUUUGGGUCAUUUGGAUUAAAGUCAAAUGGGUUAGAUUAAUCGGGUUAUAUGGUUCAAAAUCCACUUACCUUAUUUUUUAUACAUUAAUAUUAAAAUUUAAAUAAAAAAUAUUAGAAGAAAUUUCAAACUUGGGAUUAGUUGAUUGUAGCCAUGCAUUUGGAUGUUGGUAUUCUUGUUUCUUGUCUUGUUUCCAAAUACCCUUUCAAAUCGCUUUGUUAUUCAAUAGCAUCCUCCCGAUCAUUUAAAAAUUUAAAGAGCAUUGGUAUGAUGGAGGAAUUCAGAAAUUUUAGUUGAAUAAGUAAAAUUUUUCUCUCAUAAAACCAAAUAGCCUCUAUAGCUCAGUGGUAGAGCGUCAGUCUUGUAAACUGAAGGUCUGUAGUUCGAUCCUGCAUGGAGGCAACUUUUUAUAUUUCAUGAUCCAUUAUGCUCUAGUGAUUUAGUUUUCAUUAUAAUUUUAGAUUAAAAAAUUACAUCAACAUUUGAUAAGUUGGUUAUGACUUUGAUAUAAGGAUGAAACUAUCAAUAAUAUAUAUAAAUAUUUUGACACAAAAUAUCUAAUAUAUUAAAAAAUUAAAAAAAAACUCUAAAAAACAUUAUAAAAUUAUAUAUAUAAUUUAUCAUAUUUAAUAAUAAUAUCUUCUACCCUAAUAAAAAAUAUAAAUUUUAUAAGCAUACAUUUAUUAUUACAUUGUAUUAUAUAUUAUUUUACAAGAAUAUUAUGAUAACAUGUCUAAUUUUAAAAUAUAUUUAAUAUUAAAAUUAUCAUCAAUUUUAAUUUAAAUGUAUUUAAUGAUAUCAAAUAAUAUAUAUAUAUAUAAUUUUUUAAUAUUUAUAUAUUUUUAUAUUUAAUAAAUAUAUAAAUUAUGUAAAAAAAAAAGACCUAUUAAGAAGAUUAUGUUUUUAUAUUUGGAUCAAAAUUAAGUUUUUCCGAUAAAAUAUAUGAAACUAUUGAUAAAUUAUUGAUUGAAACGUGAAAAAAAAAAUUCAAAAAAUAGAUGAGAUAUUAGUAAAAUAUCCGAAAAUAUUGAUUGAUGAAUAUAUCAUUUCAAAUUUUGCAUCAACAUCCACAUAUGUUGGAUAUAUUGGCCAAAUAUAUUUAAACCUUGUUUCCAUGAGAAGUCUUUCCUUCAACAAUUUCAAAAGGUUAAUGAGGUGGUUUCCAAGAGAUGUGUGUAGGGGUCUCCAACGGGCGGGCCGGGCCAGCGGGCUUUUUGAAAUAAGCCAAAAUGGCUUUCAAAAAAGGGAAGGGAGAGGAUUUAAACCCCUUCCUUCAUGCUUAAAUUUCAAGGUUCUAACCAAUUGAACUACAUUCCUUUAAUGUUUAUUAAUUGAGUUAGUUAUAUAUAUAUAUAAAAAUAAAGUAUAUUAUUUUUUAAAGGGGCGGGCCUACGGGCUGGGCCGGGCCGAAAGCGGGCCACGGGCCACGGGCUUUUUGGAGACCCUUGGAUGUGUGCAAUCACAUUUGGUAUUAUAGGUGACAAAGUUUGAUAAAUGAGUAAUUAUUAGGUUAACUUAUAAAAUCCGAAUUUGAUUUAAAUUGAUUCAUUUAAUAAUCCCAUUUAUUUACCCAAUUAAAACUUUAAAUUAUUUAACUUAUAUUUAAUUUAAUUAAAAUUUGUUUUUAAAUAAAUAGAUCAAUUAAAACAUAAACAUAUUUGAUUGAAACAUUAAUAAUAUAGAUUUAAAUAAGACCUAAUUCAACCUAACGAUCAAAUAGAAAUAUCUAAUUAUUAAAUAAAUUAAACAUGUUACUUGCUUAAUAAUUAUGUGACAUUUGAAUUUAUGCUUUUGAUAUAAUUAUUAUUUAUAUCAGGUUUAUAUAAUGAAAUAUCUAGACUUUGACACCAGUCAACAUUGUCCACCAAUACAGAUUGCAACUCUUAUAUGCUACAUCACAUCAUGUUGAAGGAAGAGGAUGACGUUCAUUGGCAGCAGAGCCUCCAAUCAUAAGGAGCUUGAGCAAAUUCAAUCUCAACACUGAAAUUCACUAGAAAAAAAGUUUAUUAUUGAUACUUCAUUUGUGUAAAAGCAUUAUAUUUCUUGCAUCAAUCGUAAAGCAUGACAUUCCAGUAGGUACGGAAGAGAAAAUUUGUUAUGAAUUGAAAAAUCUGUCAAGCUUAAUUUGGAGGGCCCAAAAUUGACACGUUUAAGAGCUCUAUCAUUAGCCCAAUGAUAAGAGUCCAUUUCUUGAGUUUCAAGGAAGGCCCAAGUUUAACUUAGAGGGCCCAAUCUUGGUACCUUCUAAAAGGUGCAAACUUUGGCCCAAUUAUAAAAGCUUAUCCUUGCUUCCUAAGCAUCAAUGAUAUAUUUGAUCGAAGUAUUCACAUAACUAUCACGAAAUGAAAUGAAAUGAAAAUGUAUAAGUAAAUGAUGAUUUUGAGUUAUUUACUGACAAUAAAGAAUUAGGUGGUGUUUGUUUUUUUUUUUUUGGCUUUUUACUAAAAGCAAUUUGUUUUCAGAAUUUAGGUUAUUUAUUUUUCUAUUUUUUCAUGACUUAUUAUAAACUUUUUACUAAAUAAGAAAAUCCAAAAUAUAUAGUUUUUUCUAAAUAGAAAAAAUAACAUAUUGGUUUUCUUUUUUUUUUACUUUUUAAUAUUUAAUAGAAAUAAAAUAUUAUAAAAACAAACAACCUAAUAUUUAACACUAUUAAGUAUUAAGGUUUUAUUUAGAAUUAAGUAAAAAAACAAACACUACCUUAAAAUGAAAAGUAUGUAUAAUGACCUUAUACAAAAAAAGUCUCAUUAUUUUCUUCCAAAGAACUCAUACUUUUGUUUUUCAACUAUUACUUUGUUUUUAUUUUUUAAAUAAUAUUUCAAGUUUUUUUUAAUAAUACCUUUCUCUUUAUUAGAUAAUUUUAAUGACUUUAAAAGUAUUUUAAUAUAUUAAUUUAUUAUAUAAUUUUAAUGAUUUAAAAAUAUUUAAAUGUUGAAAUAUUUAUUUUCAAGUCUAAUUUUAAUUAUUUAUUUUUUGAAGUAUUUAAAUAUAUAAUAAAUGUGGGAUUAUGUAAAUCUAGUUGUAAUUAUUUAUUUCAUUCUAUUCAUGUUUUUAGUUGAAUUUGCUCAAAAUUUACACCUCUUUAUUUAAAGAUCAUGGAUUAGUUAGGUGUCUUGAGAUUUUUUUUCUCUCAAGACACUACUUGUUACACUAGAAAAUAAUUUGUGGCUAUAUUUUUUAGGCAAAAAGAAUUAUAUGUUAAAACUUCCUUUAUUGACUAGUUUAUCAUAGGGUGUAGAGGAAAGUUUGUGAUGUCUUUUUAUGUCAACUUUGGGAGAAAAAUAUCACUUUAGCAUUUUCCUUAGAAAAUUUUCAUACAUAAUUGAUUUUGGAACUAUGGAGGAGCAUAAGUAGGGAUAGAUAAUUCGAUUUUGGAAAAAUUAUAAUAGCUUUUCAACUUGGUGUUAAUGAUAUAUUGUUUAUUUCUUAUUUUUUUUCCAUUUUAAUAUAUAAUUGGGGAUUUUAAACUUGUAGAACAAGGCUUUUUCAAUUGAAUUGACACGUACAUAUGAAAGUUCUCUUUGGUUGCUAAUCACAUUUUUUUUUCUUUUGCUUUUUGUUUUUAUCAUAAUGAAUAUUGAACUCGAAAUUCAGUUUUUAAAAUCUUAUGAUGUUUUAAAGUUUAUAAAUAUUAUUGAUUUUUAUAAAUGAUGUUAUUCAUAUCUUGGUAAAGACAAUAUUUUCAUAUCGGUCAAGAUGAUUAAUAACAUAUAAGUUCAUAAAGAAAAACCUAUUGAUUAAUGGAUAUUUAAUGAUUUUUAUUAGGAAUGUUUUUUAAUUAGUUUCAAUACUCAUCUUUUAGAGCAUACAUAUAGGGUUUUAGAUGCUACAUUGGUUUUCAGCUUGUGAUUUAAAUUAUUGAAGCAAAAAAUGAGGGUUUUGCUUUAUGGAACUAUCUAAAGGGAGGUGAAUUAGGCGGUCUUCCUUUUUAAAAUCCAAAAAUUAGAUUUUUAAUACUUAUAUUAGUUAUACAUGUGUUCAAUAAUUAAAACAAAGAACAAGUCCAUAAUUUACAUGUGAUGUGCAUGGAAAAACACCUACAAAUUCUCUCAAAUACUUUACAAAUGAAAAAAAAAUCAAGGAUCGAUCAAUCACAGAGCAACUUCACUAAAUAUGAAAACAUGACUAUACAAUUUUACUUGGAUGAGGUGCUACCUUCUCUUAAGGGUUUUUACACUAGCCAACAAUUACACUCACCUUCACUCUCACCAUGCACCUCUAUUGUGCUCCAUAGUAAACACUUUAAUGACUGUAGCAAGAUUGCGAUAAAUUACUGCGAUUAAUUUGAGAGUGUUGAUAAUGAACAAAAAAUAAUGAUAAUUAACUAGAGAGCAUAUGAUUUUGUAAAAACACCAAAAAGAGGCAUAGUUAUAAGUGAAAACUUUAAUGGAUUGGAUUGAAUAUAUAAUUGAAGUAUGAAUGAAAAAUUACCAAAACAAUGUUCAAAACCGUGCUAAUCAAAGCACAAUCACUUGAGUACUCUCAUGGGGCACUUGAAUGCUCCUUUUAAUCACCGUAAUGCUGAAAUUAAUAAUUUGUCUCAAAUUGUUUUUCCAAAACAUAAAGCAAAAUAUUAUAAAUUUAUAUAAUCAAACCCAAUUUCAUCUUAAAGCUAGCCUACUUAGUCUUAAUUCAUGUCCAAAAAUACUCAUACUUGUCAAAGAAUGAAUAUGGUAUAAACAAAUUCUUUAUUUUCAAUUAUAUUCAAUUAUUGAAAGAAUAAAUCGGUUUACAUACAUUUUGAACAAAGGUAUAUACACAUAGACUAAAUCAAGGAAAUGAGGAAAUCAAUCACAAUCAAAUCAAAAUCAAAUGAUAGGUUGAUAUCUAGGAGAAGGUUAAGUUAGAACCAACUCAUGUAUUCAAUAUUCCCCCUUAAGAUGGCAUAUGGAGAUCAUGAAUAUCAAACCUAGAAAGUAAGGGAUAUGAAAUAUCUAUACCAAGGGAUUUUAUGAAAUAUCAACCAAUUGUUGUUGUGAUUAAACAAAUUGAAUAAGAAUAAUUUCAUUUCGAAUCUUUUCAUAGAUCAAGUGACAAUCAAUUUCAACGUGUUUAUUCUGUUCAUGGAAAAUUAGAUUAAUAGCAAUGUAUAGAGUUGUAUUAUUGUCACAAUAUAGAUGCAUUGACCAAGGAUGAUGAACUCCAAAAUCUAUAAGUAAAUAUUGCAACCAAUGCAAGUAGUAAUCAUUAAAUAAUAUUUCACUUUUCUUCAUGAGUGUUAUAUCAUUGAUUGCUUUUUAGAUCUUCAAGAGAUUGAUAGGCCACCAAGUAAAAUACAAUACCCUAUAAUUGAACAUCAAGAUUAUGCACAAUAGGCAUGGAGGAAGGCAAAAGAAUUCCUUGACCUAGACGAUUUUUUAAAUAGUAUAACACUCAUGUACUUGUGAGAUAAUUGAGACUACAUUGGCUUGUCAAGAAUUUGAACAUAAUUAGCAAUAUUAAGCCCUAUCAUUAUGAGUCAAAGUAACUUCCCAAUCAAAUGCCUAUAAUAAGAAGCAUCCAACAAAGGUUCUCUAUCUAAUUUACUCAAUUCCAAAUUUUGUUUCCUAGGAGUUUUUAAAGUUACAUGUUCCAAGAAAACCAAAAUCUUUUAGUACUUCUAGAGCAUGUUUUCAAUAACUUAAAUAAAUCUCAUUCUUAAAAUAUGUCAUUUCAAUGAUGAUGAAGUACUUUAAUUUUCCAAUCUCUUAGUUAGUUUGAAAAUGCUAUAUAGGUUUUCCUUGACCACCUUAAUUCCUUUAAGAUCAUUCAUUGUAAUAAUUAUAUCAUAAAUGUAAACAAGAAUGAUUGUGAAAUAGUUAUUUGAGGCUUGAGCAAAUAAGAAGUAAUAUGUACGUCUUGGCUUGCUUGUAAACCAUAAACAUCAAUGUGAUAGAUAAUUUGGCAAACCAUCAACGUGAAGCUUGCUCAAGGCCAUAAAGGGAUUUUUUAACUUUGCAAAUCAUAUUUUUGGUUCUAGAUUUCCUACAAACUUGGUGGAAGCUGCAUGUAUACCUCUUUAUCUAAGUCUUCAUAAAGAAAAACAUCGUUGAUGUCAAGUUGGUGAAGAUGUCAAAUUCUAAUUAUACAAUAAUUAGGGGUGACAAUGUGUCUUAUCGUGUUGAGGUGAGAAAUAGUGAAAAUUUACUUAAUCCGACUAUGACCCGUUUGAUAAUCGUGUCAAAAUAACCUAACAUGAAUACAAUUAGUUUAUUUCAUGUAACAUGACCCUUUUAACAUGUUUAAUAAAUAUAUUAACUUGGAUUAUGUAUUAAUUGACAUGAAUAACUCAUUAACUUGAUUUCAACCCCUUAAACUCAUUAACACAAUUCCAACCCAAUAAACUCGUUAAUAUGAUUUAACUCAUUAAACUUGUUAAUAGGAUUAUAACCUCUUUAACCUAUUUAAAAUUUUAAAUUUAUAAAUAAUAAAAUACUUCUAGAAAGUUUAAUUUUUAAAAUUUGAACUAUAAUACAUGUAUGCACCAAUUUCAUGAAGUCCUGAAAAAUUAGCAAAAUUAUAGAAAAAUAAUAUAAACAAAAAUUUGUAUUAAAAUUAAUAAGUAUGGGCUACAAUAUUAGUCAUAGUACUGCUUAUUUCUGAAUGACUUUAUUAAAAAGCGAAGAAUACAUGUGUAGUUCUUAUGUGAUUUCUUAAACUUGUAAGGCGAUUUUAUAAAGUUUUUUUUUUCUUUGUGAAACCUCUUUUUCUAUGUGAAAUUGUUUUGCCGAUUUGAAAUCUUCAUUAAAGGAAGUUACUAUUAUUUAUAAUUGAAAUUAGAGAAUGAAAUGUGGAAUCCCCAUGAUUUAGUUGCUUAAUUCAAGGAAUUUGAUUAAUUGAUUUUGGUAACUUGUCUCAUAAAAUUUUCUAACAAGAAUAUUUAUUUUUAAUCUCUUUUAUUUCAAUUGGAAUAUUUGUUUCCUUUGUAAAUUUGUCAAUAGAAUAUUUAUUUAUUUAUUUAAUUCUCUUUUGACUACAAUGAGAAGAUUUGAUUUUGUUUGUAAGACUAAAUUUUAUAACCUUUCAAAUUUGGCCAAGUGACACCUUUUGAAUAUAUGUCACAUGUCAAAUGUGUGUGACUCAUUAGUUGUUGAACCUAAAUUUUCUUGAAUUAGAAAGCUAUACUUUUGAAGACUAAUUUAGUGAUAAUUUAAUUCAUUAAAUUUUUUUGGUGUCUACAGUAUAUUUAUAAUAUGAAAAGUAAAUUAAAAUUUUAAUUUUUUUACUUGUUUAUUAUUUUAUUUAUUAUUUAAUGAUAAAUAUUUUUAUUCUUUAUUGAAAUAUAUAAAAUUUUAAUUAAUAUUUUAAUUUUUUUAAUUUCUAUAUAUAAAAUAUAUAGAUUUAUAUGGUCUAAUUGAGUCAUUAAAAUAAAUAGGGUAAAUAACUCACACAUAAGUGAUGGAUCAUUCUAACAUGAUUAAAUUAACAAGUUAGAUGAAUUGAGUAGUCAAAUACAAACAUGAUUUGUUUAUUAAAUAAGUUAUAUGAAUUGAUACGAUUAUGACAUCAACUCAAUUAAACUUAACUCAAAUAAGCUUUGUCUUUUAUUUUAAGUUGUCUAGUUGUUCACACAAAUUUUCUCAAAAUAAAGAAAUUAUAUAUAAAAUUGUAAAUUUGAUUAUUUGAGGGGACCAUUUUCAAUACUCUUUUUUAAGUAAUCUGGUGUUUAAUUUUGAAUCAAAGGGGCUUUCAUUAACAAAUAAUAGACUGUAGUUUUCAUAUAAGAAGAAAUCUCAAGCCUUUUUUUCUUGAAGGAAUCUUUAAAUUUUCUUUGAUACUUUAAAAAAUCAAUCUUCUUUGAUUUUUUAAGAAAUCUUUGAAUUUUCUUAAAGUCUUCAAAAAAAAAAAAAAAAAAAAAACUGAGUUUAAGGAAUUUUUUUAAUAACUCUCCAAAUUUCUUUGAUAUUCCAAAGUGUCCUUUAGAAGGGGACAAAUCCUCUAUUUACAGGAUUGAGAGUUUUAUUUUAAUAUUAUCUCUUAAUUUUUAAGAAAUAACUCUCUUAUUUAUGAUAAUUACUAUUUAUUUUAUUUAUCAUAAUUAGUUGCCUAUGAUAAUUAUCAUAAUUAAUUUUUCUAGAGAUAAAUAAUUAUAUAUAUUUAAUUAAUCAUGAUAACUAUAAUAUUUAUUUAAUUUUUUAUUAAAUUAUUUUACAUAACAUAUCAAUAUAUAUUAUUAGUCAAUUAUUAACACCGAAAAUUAAUGAGUUGGCAUAAAAUUUAUCUCUCUAUAAUAGUAUCAAAGCGAGCCUUAAUAAUAACAUUGCUUAUAGUCAAUUUCACAUGCCAACUUUUUACUGGGCAUUGGCGAUUUCAAUUUUGAUAGUCCGGUUAGAAAAAGUAGGUAAAGAUUAUUUGAUGUGGUAGGUCAUUUCUUUCAUAAAGACGAUGGCGGUGAAUUCAUGAGACAGGUGAUAAAGGAGAGAUUCUUUCUUUUGGCUUUGGAAUUUUAAUGAGGUCCUCGAUCCUCAUCCAAAAUACACCUCUCCAAUUAUAAAAAUCUUAUUAAAAAAAAAAAGAUUUGACAUGUGCCUUUCGAACUGCUGGUUUUCUGUUCCAAAAAUGAGAAUGGUUUCAAGUGGAUGAAGGAAGGUGAAGAACCCUUGGUUUUGUUAAGCGAAAAGCCACAUGAUUAAAUAAACAUAAGGCGGCAAAGGCUGAAAAUUUAAAAUUAUACUAAGGAACCCACCCCACAGGGCGACUACACUUUUGGUGAAGCCACGAGAAUGAAAGAUAUCGAAGGUGACACCAAGACAUUAAGCAGCACCAAGGUUUCGAUAUAUUAUAAGAUGGGAUCUUAUGAAAGACGAUCUCUAAUCUCUCUCCAAUCUCUUCUUUAACCUUUUCUUACUUAAAUCCAUUUCCAUGGUAGGGCACAUGUCCAGCUGACCCUACCCCCUCACCUACCUAUACUGCUAUACCCUUUUGUAUAAUUUGAUAUGGAUUGGAAGCCACCCCAACAUCUUUCUAAUUGCUCGUAAAUGUUGAGGUGCCUUUCCAUUUUGAGGCUGCCCUAAUGUGUGGCUGAAGUACGUAGGAAAAAAAAAUUGUGAUACAUGCACUGACGAAUCAAAUCCCAAUGUCAAAUUAUUAGACUCACCUGGUUCUUAAAUUAUUGUGAAUGCCGCUGGCCAUGGAUAAAUGGAAUUAGUGCGUGGCUUAAUGAAAAUUUAUUUUGAAAGGGAUAUUAAUUUGAGAGAAUUUUGGCUGAUACUUGGAGUUGAACGUAAGCAUAUAUGACCUCAUUUCGGGUGUGAUAUUGUGCUUAUAACGAACCUUUCGUUCUUUCCAAUUCCAGUGGGUAUUAAAUAAUUAAAGAAUUCAUGGUUCGAAGGCGAAAGGUAGAAGACCAAAAAGGGAUUACAAAGCCAUCGGCUUGACCAUCCAGAUGCAAUGGAUACAAACUUUGGACUCUAUCGAAAGUUCUUUGGGCACGUGCCCAAGUGUCCUACCCAUAUGAUAAGUUACACGUGGCUAAUUGCGGACCGGUUGCUCGUGCUAAACAGGGUACUUUUUCUACGCAUAUAAGAUGUUUCACUAGUGGGGCUUCACCAUGCAAACUCAUGGAUGAAGACCCUGAGGCCAAGAUGAAGGAACAGAAAGAAGGCGGAGGAGAGGUUCGGUAUCGAGGCGUUCGGAGGCGGCCAUGGGGGAAGUUUGCUGCGGAGAUACGUGACUCGACUAGGCAUGGAGCGCGCGUCUGGCUCGGGACUUUCAAUUCUGCGGAGGAGGCUGCAAGAGCAUAUGACCGAGCUGCUUAUGCCAUGAGGGGUUCCUUGGCGAUUCUCAACUUCCCUAAUGAGUAUCAUACACCCGGCACGGCUAGCUCUUCAGCUUCAUCCUCAAUGCCCGAAGGUGAUCAGCAGGGAAAACAAGUCAUUGAAUUGGAGUACUUGGAUGAUAAGCUGCUAGAGGAUCUUCUCGACUCUGAAGACAAAAAGAACAAGAAAACCUGAAGUUUCUGCUGCCUCGAAUCCCCUGAAAUCUAGUGCUUCAUCGAAAAAAAAUCCCCUCGCUCCUGAUUAACAACAUUUUUAUUUUAGUCAAUGAAUGUGUUCUCGGAUCAUUAUAAGUAUUUCUGCCGAAGUCCAUUGAUUUUUGGAGACUGAAAAAUGUCAGAAAAAUUGGUGCGAACAGGUUUACUCCUUUCUAAAUUAUGCAAUUGAAGUAUUUGGAUUAGUGCGCAGUGUAAACAUCAAGGAAAGCAUGAUCCACUAUUUUAAGGAGCCUAAGUGCUUUCCCCUUUACUCUUUUAGGAUGUCUUUUCAGUGAAGAAAGUUGGGAGACCACCACUUACCCUUUUGAUUGGUAUAUAACUGCCAACUAAUAACUGGACUAACAUUUGGCCCGUCUGGCCCUACUUCUUUGACUUUGUUGUUAAUUUAUAACUUUAUGUGAAGUGGGGGCUGUUUGGGAAUGUGUGAAGCAAGGAUUUGAGCCGACUUCGCCUAAUCUGAUUCUCCAUAAGUGACUUCAUUUUAUCAUAUUGGUGUUUUUUUUCUUCUUCUUUUUAAAUGGCUGGGGAGGAGGGGAUUUGGGAGGGAUGCAAUGCCAUGGUUGCAUGCUGGAUUAUCCUUCCAAAUGAAACAUCCAUUUGGUUUCUAGUAACUAAUUGCAAACAAUUAAAGAGAAUAAAAUUUUAAGAUGAUUAAACAAUAAGUACCUAUGUCCAUGAAAAGGAGAGAAGUUCACUCAUGGGUGUUCAUGAAAGACAUCACAAAGAACCAUCAAUAUGAGAAGAAUCCUGAUACAAUUAACUUUCAUGCAUAAGAAAAGACGCUCAAAAAAGAAUAAUGCUUACAAGGAAAGAAUCUCACUACGAUCAACUGAAAAAAUAUUCCAAUUUAAUUGGAAAUCCUUACAUGGGAAGAAUAUCAAUAAAAUCAACUAAAAAAAUAUUUUAAUUUUAUAUCAAAAUAUUUGUGAUUUAACCCGUAUCAUUUCAUCAUGACUUCUUAUAAAUUUUGUUCCUUUUUAUCAACACCACCCCUUGAGUUGGAGCAUAAAUAUUUAUUAAGCUAACUUGAACAAGAUCUUGAGAAAUUUUGUCGCAGGAUUUGUUUGCACUUUUUUUUUUCAAAUAAAGUCAUAAUUAACUUUAAUAUGUUUAAUCAUUUCAUGAAAUACUAGAUUUUAAGCAAUGUUGAUAGCAUACUUAUGCCUGAAAGCUUUAUCCCAAAUCACAUGAGUACAUGAAGUGAUUGCAUCAUUAAUGGUAGUAUUAUUACUUUAUAUUCAACUUCUCCACUUGAUAGGAUGCAUGAAAGCAUUGUGCUUUCUUCUGUUUCAAGUAAUAAAGAUUAUCACCAAGAAAGGUGCAAUUAAUACCUAGUAACAGAGUACCUAGUGGUAGCAUGCACCUAUCCACUGAACUUGUACUCGACUCUAUGAGUGUACGUUACAUAGUCCUUUUUUCGAAGUCUAAAUGUCCCUUGAUAAAACCUUCUAAUAUUUGAGGUUUUGGUAACAUUCAUGUAUCAAUGAACAAAUUAAUUUACUAGCUAAACUUUAAAAUUAGGCAAUGUUUUUCAAUGGGUGAUCAAGAUCUUGGAAUUUUCAAUGUUGUUUGAAUAGCUUCCACACACAAGCAUAUUUUCUCCUAUUUAGGAAUAAUCCCUUUUUUGAAGGUGUGAUCUUUAUGCUCAAAAAAUAAAGAUACUCAAAAAUUUAAUAUUGACCUUCUCGUGAAGGAAAAGCUUUAUAACUAAUUUUUUUUGUGCAUUAUAUAUAUCCUCAAUAUAGACUUUAAAAAAAAAAGAAGUAACUCCCUCUACAAAGAGUGAAGAGUCAAUUAAACUUUUUUUUUUUUAAAAAAAAGGAACCAAUUACUCGUAAAAGUAAUGAUUAUUUUUACAUACCAAACUUGAGGAGAUUACUUAAGAUCACAAAAGUUUUUAUUAAAUUGCAAGCUAGAUGCAUUUGAAACGAUCGUUGAUGUCUUAGCAACACCUUAUGUAACUCAUCAAUCUUUAUGUAAAAAUGCAUUUUUAACACCCAUAUAAAAUAAUGAUCAAUCCUAAUUUAAUAGAAACAAAUGGUAAUACAUGAAUAUCAUUCAUAUUAAUGAGAAAAGUAAAUAUUGAUUUAUAAUCAACUUCUUAAGUUUGUGUCAAUGCCUUAAUCAUUAGUUUAACUUUGUCAUUCAAUGAUACCAUCAUUACGACAUUUAAUUAACUUAGAUUUGCGUAAAUCCCUUAAUCACUAGUCUAGCUUUAUGUCAUUCAAUGGUACCAUCAUUAUGGUAUUUAAUUGAUCUUAUACCCCCAAUUUGUAUACCCCAUGUUUUUCUUAAUUUACCAUACAUCACUUAACAAUGUUCCAUGCAUGGAUUUUGUUAAGUGCCUUAAGUUCCUUUUGCAUAGCCUUUCUCCAAAUUGGAUGAGGAUUGGCUUCAUUAAUGUCAUUAGACUCAUGAUAUAUGGAACUCAAACAAUUGUUAAGUGAUUUUGUAUAUAUAUAAAAAAAAAAUUGUAAUUAAUGUGGUAGGCAUAAAAAUCUCACAAAUGAGGAUUGAUUAAUUGUUAUAAUUGAGCAACAUGCUUGAGGCUUAGUCACAAUACUAGAACUUGAAGUCAGACAUUCUCUUCAAAUAAGGACGUAUAUACAUUAUAUUGGAUCUCCAUUAAACAAGUAAAGAACUAUUUAGUAGACAAUGAAACCUCAUUGAUCAAUGGUGGUAGAGAGACACAUGAUGACCAGACUAUUCCCCUGGAAAUGAGAAUAAAAAAUAUCAUUAGCCGCAAAAAUCUCAAAAAAAUUUAGAUAAUGGGAUAUAAAGAGUUUAUGAAUUUUACAAUCAUAACUCUUAUACUGGUUUAAGUGGUAGAGUAAUCAAGAACACAAAACGAGUUUGAUGAGUGGUUGAGAUAUGAACAAAGCAAAGAUUUCCAAAGACACCAAAAUCAGAAAUCUCAAUUUUUGGGCUAAGGAUUUCAAGAAGAAAUUUAAAAUUAACUACAUGACUAGAAAAUUUGUUCAUCAAGGAAAUAGAAGUAACGAUAUCAUAACAUCAUAAUUAAUCAAUAUUUUUAAUAACAUGCAUUUGGAACAUGAUAUACCGGCUUUCUAAUAAUCAAUGAUUUUUGGUUCAACCACACCAUUUUGUUUUGGGAUGCCAAUACAACAAGUUUAACGAANNNNNNNNNNNNNNNNNNNNNNNNNNNNNNNNNNNNNNNNNNNNNNNNNNNNNNNNNNNNNNNNNNNNNNNNNNNNNNNNNNNNNNNNNNNNNNNNNNNNAUGUAAGUGCCAAAUUAGGUAGUGUCGACAAUGAAAUGGAAAUUUUGGAAUAUAGAAACAACCUCAUUUUUAUGUUCUAAUAAGUAAACCUAUGUAGCAUAAGAAUAGUCAUUAAAAAAAAAGGUAACAAAAUGUUGAUUUCCAUCCUAUGGAUCAAUUAGGACACAACCCCAAGGUAAACUAAUUUGAAAGUUGCAACAAAAAUGGAAAGAGAUGAAAAAAUAAUAGAGGAAUUUAAGGUUGUUUCAAAAUUUCAAGACAUGCUAAGAAACACAUGAGAUUAUAGAUGAUUAGGUAACAACCUUGGUUAAGUAUAUUCAACAUAUAUAUCCCACGAGGAUAAAUAUCUUCACUAAACUUUUCCUAUUAUUCAAUCCCCUAAUACCAUACAAGUGAAAAAUUAAUGUCACGGUCAAAAAUUUUAAUAAGCUUCCAAAGAGAUAAUAAUUUUGGGGAAAAAAACAACCUAAGAAACCUAUGAAUUGAGAUAAUUUAGGAAAAAACUAAAUGUUCGUUAGCUCUAGAAGGGAAUUGAAGCUCAUCAUCAAUAAAGAUUGUUGCUAUCUCGAAUAAUAUCAAGUAAACCAUUAAGAUCGCUAUUAAUGGUAUGAUUAGCAGCACCAAUUAUCGACAAAAAAAUUAUUAAAAAUAUAAGAAAUGAGAGCUUUAAGAUUAUCUAAUUGAUUUGUAAACCUAGGUAAGUGAAUCAGUAUUACGUUUUGUUAAGGAAGCUUAGAUCCAAUUGGUAUCAUUCACCAAGUUAUUGGAUUAAAUUACACUAUCAAACUUUGGCUUUAAAUGAGAAUGAAGAAUCUAACCACAAUCCUUAUUGGGAUUAGAUAUGUUAUUGCAAUAAUGUUUACAAUCGGAUGAGUGCUAAUUUCUAUUGAAAUCAUGAAGCAAUCUCUGAUCAUUGGUCUUCUUUGUAGAAACAUGAGCAUUGAAUUUAAAAUUAAUAAUUGUUACUUGGGAUUCAACCUUCAUAAUCAUUGCCUGGGUUUCCUAAUCACUUUCAAGAAUUACUUAUAUAGUGAAGGCACUCGAAACUAAUCAAAUUUGUCCUCUUAUAAAGUUGUCAUAUUCAAGCUUCAGAAUAGCCAAUAAUUGAAAAACUUAUCAUACUCCGCAAUUUGUUGAAGAAUAUUUGGGUCUAUUGAAGGGGACAAUAUAGGGAAUAUUUGUCCCAUAUGCUCAAAAUGUUCAAUUAACAAAGUGUUCUGUAUGUUUAGGGAUUUGUUAGCUUUAAUUACACAAAACAUUAGCAGUUUUAGAGAAAAUUAAUUUUUUUUUGCAAUCUUAGGUUCCAUGAAAUUAAAAAGCCAAUAACAAGUCAAUAUGGCUUGAGACCCAGUCAUCAUAUUCAAAGUCAUCCAACUUAGAAGCAUUCAUUUUGCCACUAACAUGUGCUAAUUUCCAUUUUCUAUCUUUCAAGAGAAAAAGACUGCUCUUAACCAUGGCAAAUAAUUGAACCCAUUAAGAAGAUUGAGGAAAGUAUCAUAUGAGGGUUGUCAUUUUCCUCCAUGACAAAGAAAAAGCAACAGAGAAAAACUCAUAAUAUUAGAAAGAGAAUGAAAGAAAUUGAGUCAUAGAUACACACAGAAGAAUCCAAAAAUAAAGCAAUAAUACAACCACAAAUAUGAGAAGAAGCUCAAUUACAAAGAAAGGAACUCAAUACAAUCAACUAAAAAGCGUUCCGAAGUUCAUACGAAAAUAUUCAUAAUGUGAAGAUCAUUUCAUGAUUCCUACAAUUUCUUCCUUCUACCAGUCCACUCCAUACAAGGUUUGAUCAACAACUUCUUCAUUGAUUUUCUGGUCUCUCUCCGGUGUAUCAUAGAGCAUUUUUGACAUGUUUCUGCAAGAUACACUUGUUAACUUUAAGCGACAUAAGUGCAAAAAAAUAAGAUCAUGUUGUAUUGCCUGUGCUUCCACUCUGCCUUGUUUAGUACUAUUAUGGAGCAGUACUUCCAUAUAGAACCAGUGAUCUCCAGUUCAUUAUGUUGCCUUCUUUAAACUAACUUUAAUUAUCUAUACAUAUAAAACAAAGUGGUCCCAUCAAGGGGCUAAAUCAAGAAUCAAGUGGGGCGAACAGGAAACAGUGGCAUCAAUUUUUAAGUCCAUAAGCUUUAAUAAAAGGAAUAAAACCAAGGAUAUGAAUAUGUUAUUUUUUCAUUUGUUCAUGCACUGGAAGAUCUUUCCUCUUCAAGCAUUGAACCAGCAUCCUUCUGUGCAAGUUGCUGUCGGAACCUUCUAUAAUUGUCAGAAGUCUGUUUCUGAAAUAUACAGAUAAAACUUUUAGCAAGUCUUGACAUUGCUCAUCACUAGGACAUUGUACUAGGAUACCAAUUCAUCUAAUUAGGGUUAAGUUGGCAUCUCGUACACUAUUUUUUAUUUUUCCUUCAUCUUUUGUUCCCAUUUGCAGUGGAAGUGGCACUUAGAAUAUCUGAUCAUGAAGAAUUAGCUUUCGGUGAGAUGAUACUAGGUCAAUUGCCAUUAUCUUUUUGAGUUACUGUGCGAGCAAUCUUGAAAAUAUUUUGGGAUAAAUAGAAUUUGUGCUUAUCAUAAACAUGCUAAACAUCCAAAUCAAGUGCUUUUACUAUUGAUAUCAAAUCAGUAAUUGAUUUUAACCUUUAUGCUUAUCUUUCAGAUUCUCAAUUAUGUAUCUUGAAUAAUGAUAUUAAGCAGAAAUCAUGAAUUGAAUUGCUUUAAUUAACUGUGCCUUAUCAAGCUUGUCAGCAGUGCUAUUGCUACCGCGAAUCAAAUUCGCUGUGCUUCCCGCCUUCUCCAAAUAAGCCACAAGCCCAAUUAUAUCCGCCCUCCUCCCAUCUCCAAGGGAUCAAAAAAUAAAAUGACUUCAAUCAAUUUUCAAGUUUUCCAUCUUGAUCAGUAGACCACCCGGCAUGAAUGUUACCCUCAGUUUAGGAAUAGGAAUUCCUUUUACUAAUCAUUUGGCACUAAAAACUAUGACCCCUAGCAAUUCAUUCCCUCCAUUAGAUAUCUGGGGGCAUCUUGGCUCAGCCAAAAAUGAUAAGUCAUUGCAUUUCACAUUGCAUUCAUUUGUAUUAAUGAGCUAAUUUUUUUUCACAGAAUGUGAUGUGAAUCGAAUUACUUCCAACCAUGUGUCUCUAUAAGGGUUUAACAAAUGUAAUUUGCAUUGUCUGUACACUUUUUUUUCGGUUUCUUUUCUUUUUUAUGCAUGAUUCAUUAGUCCACGGAUCUUCUAUGCAAAGUGUGCAGGCCAAACACCUCCUUCAAUGCAUUAUUCUAGAAGUUAAGACUCAGUUUACUCCUUAAUUGAUCUGUUCCAUUUACUUCAAAUCAUUUGAUUACAUUAAAUGAAUCUUGAAAUUCAAAAAUGCAUCAAAGUUAAAAGACCUUCCAAUGCAUUAAGAAAUCAUCUGAUACAAAUAUAUGUGAACCUGCAACAACAAUAAUGUCAAAAUGGAAAACUUAGGUAGAAAAUAUUAGAACGGAAACUUACGACGAACUCAAUUUUUGGCGCCUUUCUUCUUCUCAUCUUCUGAUCCAAGAAGCUCUUCCAACACCGUGUCAUCCAAACACUCGAACUCAAUGACUUGCUUUUCUUGCCCAGAAGAGGAACCUCCCAUCUCUAAACUCCUACAAGGCCCAGAAGAUGACGAGGAAGACGAUGAGGAUGGUGAUGGUGGGGGGCGAUGGGAGCCCAUGAUUUCAGAAUAGUACUCAUUAGGAAAGUUAAGAAUGGCAAGAUGACCCCUUAAGUUAAAGGCCGCUCGAUCAUAGGCGCGAGCUGCAUCCUCCGCCCUGUCAAAUGUGCCUAGCCAUAGACGAGCACCUUGCCUAGACGGAUCCCUAAUCUCGGCUGCAAACUUCCCCCAUGGCCUCCUCCUCACCCCUCGGUAUCGAACUUCUUCCUUUUCCUUCCCUUCCUGCUCCUGCUUCUCAUUCCCUUUCGAAUGAUCUUCCAUGCUAAACGUGUCGAUUUGCUAGGCGCAAUUUUUUUGGUUUCAAAUGUGCUGGUUUACGAGAGGCAUGGAUGCUUAUGUAUAUAUAUGGUUGCCACAGUCAGGUCUGACGUCACCGCUCAAUGUAUGUUCCACAGCGUGGGUUGACGAGCUUUCUGAGGGGGUUUCCUCGAAUUCAAAGCAAGUAUAAAAAUUCGAUUCUCCGACCUUUCCAAUGAGGAUCGAACAGGCCUUUUAUUAGAACCGUAUGAUAACUCCACACUGUUUUCAAAUAGUCAAUGUGAUCUAGAUUCUUCGUUAAUUUUUUCCACCUGACUGAUUGUUUACAAUUUUAUUUUUCACCGUCCCAAAUUUAAACCAUUUACGCGAUUCCCUGGAUUGCAUUUUUCUUUAAUGUUGACUUUACGAGGCAAUAGGACCCCCCAGCAACCCCACUAGGGCGACUUCAUGGGAACCAGAUUACUUUUGGAUCCAGAUAUGGUCCAGAAGAAAUAAGACAAAUCAAUUAAUGUCCACUAAAGUUUUGAUGGAACCCUUAGUCCGUGUUUCCUGUGGAUGUAUGUAUUGUAUGCACCUCAAUUUUCACCAAUCCCUGCUACGAGUCCCUUUAAUUUUGACGUUAUAAAUGUUUUUCCUGACAUUAGCAGAGUGUUUUUCUGCCGUCUUUGAGGACCUUCCACGGCCCAUAAACUAAUAAGGAUCGUCCAGUGAAUUUAGUCUUCCCCAGUUAAUUAUCCUGCGAGGGAAACUUGGGCAGUAAGUUGCCUACAUGAGUGGCUCCCGCCUACAUGAGUCAAGGGACCAUACGUCAGGACGACAACCAGUGUGGUCACACCAAAGUGGGUUGCCUGGACUCCAGGGUGGUCGCUUCAAAGUUGUCAAAUGAAGGCUAGCUUGGCAAGUUUUGGAAAACAAUUAUUGAAAAACAUUUUUCAUGAAUAACAGUUUCUAUGAACAGAUUUUAAGAAAGUUUAUUUUGUGAUUUUUAGGAAUAUUUUUAAUUUAAAUUUUUAUAUUUUUAAUUUUUUAUUAAUUUAUUGAUUAUUUAAUAUUAGCUUAAUUAAUGGAUUUUUCUUGGUCCCAAAUUAUUAAUUUAUCAAGAUUUAAUCGCAUCCAUAAUUAGUCUAAUUUCUUUUGGAGUGAGUGUGACAAAGUGCAAAUUUCUAGAGUUUUAUUAAUGUUAUUCAAUGUCAUAAUUUAACUAAUUAUAUUAAUUAUUUAUUAAUCAAAAUAAAUCAUUCACUUGAAAUAUGAUAAUUUAAAUUAAAAGUUUCAAUUAUUUAUUAAUUAGCAAAGUAUGAACUUUUCUUCUUGUUUUAUUAUUGUUAUUCCAUGUAUAUAAUUUAAUUAACUGUUUCCAAUAUUAAUCAAUAAAAAUAGAAUAUAAGCAUGAGAAGAAUUAGUAAAAUUCAUUGAUUUGGAAUUAGAUAGCUAGAGGAAGAACUUCAUCAUCUUCCCAUUACUUAAAUUUGUAUAAAUUCUAAAUAUUUAAACCCCCCCCCCCCCCCCCCCCCCCAAAAAAAAAAAAAAUGGUAAAGAAAGACUCCCCAAGCUUUCUUGGUUGGUGUUACCCUAAAAUUUGUACAAUAAGAUGAACCAUUUGGCUUAAAGCUUGGUGCGAAACCCCUUAUCAAUUGAAAAUAUCAAUGAAGUUGUUGAAUGGUUUUAGAGGACUAUUCUUAUGCAGAGUGGCAUAAGAAGCGAGGAGAUGAAGAGCGGAGAGACGUUAACAUCGGAUGCUGCUACGAAGGUGGGAAUACGGUUAAUUAAUUAGAUUUUGUGAUGGCUUUGAGUUUGAAGGAGUUAGUUUAAUGGGUAUUAUUAGUGAACUGAUAAUUGGAUUUGAUGUAAAGAAGGUUGGUCCAUUGGAUUAGCAAUUGGUUUGGCCUUUUGGGGGCCCCAUUUCCAAAUGCAUUGCCUUUUACAAGCAUUCAACAUCGCUGGACGUAACCAGGCUUGGUUCACCUAAAAGUAUCGCAUGGAUUGAAUUGACUAAGUUUUCAUUGUAGACUAGCCUUGAUUUUCCCUUGACCUGCCCACCAAAUCCUGAUGCCCACGCGAGGGAAUACCUCAAUUUUCUAAUAAUUUAUGCAGUUUCUCUUCAAAGCUCGUGUGAUCACUUGGGUCGGUAAAAUAAUGCAUUCCUCUACUUUUUCUCCCUUCCUAGAUGCAUGUUAUACCAUUAAUUCAAAUGUGAACAUGGGCUUGGCUUUGAAACUUGGUUCAAGGCCCAACAUGUUGACCCACAAUUGAGGUGUAAUUGAAUUUGUACACUUUUCGACUUUGAUACCAUUUGUCAUUACCAUUGACAUUGGGUCAUUGUUGAUUUUGAGUCCACAACUUUUAAGGUUGUUAUUACAAUUUUAAAUUGCGCCCACCCAAUUUAUAUGCAUUAUCCCUUAUAAAUACCGAUAACCUCUCUUUCUUCGAUAAUAUAAAAUGUCACAUAUAUUAUAUAUCUCAAUGUUUUCUUUUACUUUUUUUUUUUUUAUCGAUCGACAUUCUCUCUCAGAUGAUAUGAGAUGUCACAUAUAUUAUAUGUUUCAAUGUUUCUUUUACUUUUUCUCUUUUUCCUCAUGAUUGACAUUGUCUUUCUCAAAUGAUAUGAGUUGUCACAUAUAUUUUAUGUCUCAAUGUUUUCUUUAACUUUUUUUCUCUCUUCUUUAAUGAUCGACGUUCCUUUUCUCAGAUGAUAUGAAAUGUCAUAUAUAUUAUAUGGCUUAAUGUUUUCUUUUACUUAUUCUUUCUUUAUUAAUAAUCGACAUUUUAAGCAAUAUGUGAAUAUAAAGCAUUAAAAUUAUCUCCAUCGUUUUUGGAUGUGGUAUAAAUACACAAUUCUUAUUUUUGUUUUAAAUAUUUCUAUUGCUAUCUAUUGAAAUUUUAUGCAUGAAGCUACCAAGUUAAUUAUACAUAUAUCUUAAGAUUUUUUUUUUUUUUUUUUAUAGGAUAUAUUGUCCAUGAAUAUUUUCUGCAAUGGUAUCUUGUUUGAUUACUAUAAGAAAUAAUAUAUAUAUAUAUAUAUAUAUAUAUAUAUAUAUAUAUAUAUAUAUAUAUAUAUAUUAUAUUUCAAUGUUUCAUAUUUGCUUAAAAUAAAAAUUAUAUUUUAUCACAAUAUUUGGUAUUAAAAAAAAUGAAAUCUCUCUCAUUUAUUAUUACAAAAAAAUUAUAAUUUAUAAUUUUCUAAAUAAGUUUUAUUUAUUUGCUAACUAUAUUCAUGAUUAAAAGAUUUAAAAUUUAUAAAUAAAAAAUAUUAUGUCAUGUCAUUAAAUAAAUAAAAAUAUAUGUAUAUAUUAAAAUUAUGUUUUAUUGUAGCUUUUAAUAUUUUUUUUUUUAUUCUUUUCUUUUUUGAACUACAAUUUUAAUUUUUUUUAAUCAAAAUUUUUUAAUUUACAAAACGAGUAACAUAAAACUUGCCUUUGAACUUUAUUGGAAUGUUAUAUACUACCAUUUGGCUUUCAAGACAUUAGAAAAGGCAUAAGUGUCCCUUUUAUUUUUCCGAAAGGCAUAUUAGACUAUAGUAGGAAGUGUUGUAUAGAGGCAACUAAAAGUUGCCUUUAACUUUAUGAAGUCAUAUACUCCUCUUUGGCUUUGAUGACAUCAACUAGCAAAUUGGAUUUUGUUUCCUUUGCAACAUUUUUCCAUCCAUUAGCCAGUUUUUUUAUACUGUUUGGUGCUUGCCAACAUGGCACACACUAUGGUUCUUAAAAAGUAUUUUUUUUUUUAAGAUACUACGAAAUAAAAUACACGAUUGAAAGAUGAGUCACAAUAAUUUUCAAAACUAAAUUUUUUAAUAUUGUUAAGAAAAUUUGACCACCAAAUGAUUGAUUUUAAAUUACAAAUACUUUUGUUAGCUAAGAAAUUUGUUGUUCUAUUUGUUUCCCUAUAAAUAUGACAACAAUCAUAAAUAUUUUCAUUUUAAGAUAAUUUUCAAAUAUCUUCCAUUAAUAAUAUAAUAGAAUUAGGAAUUUUUUUUUUAGUUAUAACAAUCUAUAAUUAUUUAAGAGUCUUCCUCAAUCUCUAGGUUUAAGAACUUAUUGUUCUUAACAACUAACAUGUCAUCUCUUAAAAUAAUACAUUCUGCAAUAAUUAUUGAAAUAUGAUAUAAUAUAUAUAUCUACUUACAACCAUUUUUGUAGUACCAUUAGAAUUUUUAAUUACCCAUUCUAAAGUAUUUUUAUUCUCUAUUCUUAAACCAUCAAAAUUUAAUUUAAAUCUUUCAUUAAUUGGAUAAAUCCAAUGAAUCUAACAAGUUAAAGGAUUAUGAAUCCGACAAAACAGUUGAUAAUAAAUUAAUAAUGCCAUUAAUAUGAUUUUAAUGUGAAACACAAUUAUCACAUUUAAUACAGUUAGUCCUUGUAUGAUUAAUGUUUUGGAAGCUAAAAUCAAUCUUUUGACUAUAAUAAGAGUUUCUACUAUUUCUAUUUUUGGAUGAUUUUAUAUUUUUCUUAUUGUUUUAGUUUAAUACAAAAAAUAAAAAUAAAAUUACAUUAGUAGAAUUUUUUUAACUUACUCAAAAACCUAUUUUAGUUGAAUGAUUUUUUUAAAAAAAAUAUAAAUAUUUUGUUAAAAGGGAUAAAAUAACCUUACCUUGUGAAAAAGACCUCUUCACCCAAGAUUACUUGUUCAUAAUCCUUUUAAGACGAAAAUGCCCCCUUCCUAAAAAAUAUUUCAUCUUAAACUUAUUUUUCUUUUUAUUGCCCUUUGUUCCAUCCUUCCGGCUUGGGAGAGAAAUUCAUUCUUCUUUUGCGAAGAAAAAUUCCUAUUGCGAUUUUUCAUUUCAAGUGGAAAAAAAAAUUCUUAUUUCAUUUUAAAGAAAUUGUACAUUUUCAAUCUUUCUCUUUGUUCCUAGUUGAGGGUUUUUUUUGUAAUUUUAUCUUAACACUACAAAUUUAAAGGUGAGAUUAAAUCUUAAUGGUUAUUAGUUAAAUCACAUAUCUAACUUUGUUUUUGUCAGGACCUAUAAUAUGAUUGGAACCACCAUCCAAACUUCAUUAGGUGGGAUACUCCCCACCCUCCCCCUCCCCCCGCGAAAUCCUUGGAUUUUAGUUUUGACUUGGAUUUCAAUUGCCCGUAUCAAUUUUUCUUUAUUUAUUAAUUUAUUAAUUUUCAACUUUAACAAAAGCCUUGAAUCAUAUUUAAAUUCAAAUAACUUAAUCCUAAUUAAGUUCUUUUUAAAUAAAAAUUAAUCAUUGAAAAGUUCAUGUGACUAUUAUAAUUGAGAAUUUAUCCCAAGUUGGGUUUUUUGCAAAUAAAAUUUUAUUAUAGGACAUCAUGAUGCAACAUAACAUAAGGUUGUUACUUAAGUUUGUUUUGACCUUGUAAUAUGUUAAAAUGAAAAUGAAGCCAUUGUAACAGGAGAGAAUGAUGAAGCUGUGGAGAGAGCUUAACAAAGCUUGGGUUGGAGAGACUUCACAGGAAGAGAGAGAGAGAAAUAAAGGGUAAAAUUAUCAAAAGAGAAAAGAAAAAAAAAAAAAAAAAAGAAGGUUAUGUCUUCAAAUAAUCAAUAAGAGAUGUCAUUUUUCUAAUUUUCAAAGUUCUUUUGGUCCUUCUCUACAAAUAUCCCUAUAAAAAUAUUAUAAUAUCAAGUUAAUUUGUCAAUACCAAAAUUUAUAUUUUAUAUUAGGGCGACUAAAUAACAUAUAGAAAGAAUUUUAAAUGAGUAAAUCAAAUCAAUUUUGAAACCAAAACUUAAUAAUUACCAAACUUGUAAUCUUAGUCAUUAAAAGUGUACGAUGAAAUCUAAAUUAUUAAGCAAUGAAACAAAAAAUUAAGAUUAAAAUACAAAACGUUAAAAUCAAGAUACAAACUAUUAAAAUGUAAGUGGGAUAUGAGAUGAUAUUAUAAAAAAUAGUGUGAUCCAACAAAAAGUCUAGUACAUCAUUAUCUUCACUUCCAACCAUGUUUAAAAGGUCACAAGUUCUAGCGGUUUCCAAGGACAAUGUUAAAAAUAAUAAAAAUAAAUCCAAUUAAAUAUUAAUUAAUUUAUUUGAAUUUGAGUCCGACAAAAUAGUUGGUAAUAAGUUAAUAAUGCCAUUAAUAUGAUUUUAAUGUGAAACACAAUUAUCACAUUUAAUACCCGUUAGUCCUUGUAUGAUUAACUUUUUAGAAAUUAAUAUCAAUCUUUUGAUUAUAAUAAGAGUUUCUACUAUUUAUAUUUUUGGAUGAUUUUAUAUUUUUCUUAUUGUUUUAGUUUAAUACAAAAAAAUAAAAAUAAAAUUACAUUAGUAGAAUUUUUUUUAACUUAUUCAAAAAACCUAUUGUAAGGUGAAUGGUUUUUUUAUUUUUUUUUUAAAUAUAAAUAUUUUCUUAAAAGGGAUAAAAUAACCUUACCUUGUGAAAAAAGGCCUCUUCACCCAAAUUUACUUGUGCAUAAUCCUUUUCAGACGAAAAUGCCCCCUUCCUAAAAAAUAUUUCAUCUUAAACUUAUUUUUCAUUUUUAUAACCCUUUGUUCCAUCCUUAUGAUUUGGGAGAGGAAGUCAUUCUUCUCUUGUGAAGAAAAAAUUCCUACUGCCAUUUUUCAUUUCAAGUGAAGAAAAAUAUUUAUAUUUCAUUUUAAACAAAUUGUACAUUUUCAAUCUCUCUUUGUUCCUAGUUGAGGUUUUUUUUUUUUUUUUUUUUUUUUGUAAUUUUAUCUUAAUUGUACAAAUUCGAAGAUGAGAUUAAAUCUAUAAUGGUUAUUGGUUAAAUCACUUAUCUAACUUUGUUCUUGACAGAUCGUAUAAUAUGAUUGGAACCACCAUCCUAACUUUAUUAGGUGGGAUCCCUUUUUUUUUUUCCCCAAACCCUUGGAUUUUAGUUUUGACUUAUAUUUCAAUUGUCUGUAUCACUUUUUCUUUAUUUAUUAAUUUUCAACAAGUUCUUUAACAAAAGCCUUGAAUCAUAUUUAAAUUCAAAUAACUUAAUCCCCAUUAAGUUCUUUUUAAAUGAAACUUAAUCAUGUGAAAGUUCAUGUGACUAUUAUAAUUGAGAAUUUAUUCUUAGUUGGGUUUUUUGUAAAUAAAAUUUAGUUAUAGGACUGUGAUGAUCCGUUCUCAACCGUAUAAAUAUUGUUCGUUUUGAAUUCAAAAUAACUUUUACGGCUUUAAAACAUGUUUACAAGAUUAAGAGGAGUCCAUAUUUAUAUAGCUUCACGAACUUUCCCCCCUAUUCGAUGUGGGAUGUCACAAGGACAUCAUGAUGCAACGUAUAACAUAAGAUUGUUUCUUAAGUUUGUCUAACCUUGUAAUGUGUUAAAAUGAAGAUGAAGCCAUUAUAACAGAAGAGAAUGAUGAAGUUGUAGAGAGAGCUUAACAAAGCUUGGGUUGGAGAGACUUCAUAGGAAGAGAGAGAGAGAGAGAGAGAGAAAUAAAGGGUAAAAUUAUCAAAAAAGAAAAAAGAAAAAAAAGAGGGUGAUGUCUCCAAAUAAUCAAUAAGAGAUGUCAUUUUUCUAAUUUCAAAGUUCUUCUGGCCCUUCUCUACAAAUAUCCCUAUAAAAACAUUAUAAUAUCAAGUUAAUUUGUUGAUACCAAAAUUUAUAUAUUAUAUUAGGAUGACUAAAUAACAUAUAGAAAGAAUUUUAAAUGAGUAAAUCAAAUCAAUUUUGAAAUCAAAACUUAAUACCUACCAAACUUGUAAUCUUAGUCAUUUAAAGUGUUCCAUGAAAUCUAAAUUAUUAAGCAGUGAAACAAAAAAUAUAAGAUUAAAAUACAAAACGUUGAAAUCAAGAUUCAAACUAUUAAAACGUAAGUGGAGACGUAAGAUGAUGUCAUAAAAAAUAGUGGGAUCCAACAAAAAGUCUAUUAAUCAUUAUCUUCACUUCCAAUCAUGUUUAAAAGGUCACAAGUUCUAGCGGCUUUCAAGGACGAUGUUAAAAAUAAUAAAAAUAAAUCCAAUUAAAUAUUAAUUAAUUUAUUUGAACAAUAGAUAGGACCAAAAUAAUAUUCUAAAAGGAAUCAUAGGGAAGUCCUUGGACAACCUACGACAUUGAACAAAGGUACAGUGAGACAAUGCACUUAGCCCUUCCUUGUCAUUGCGAUGAAUAUAAAAAGACACCCUGAUUGAGGGUGCCCCACUAAGCCAAGAGUGAUUCUUUUGUAUUGUAUAACGUGAAUAUUUUUGAACUUUGAAUGACCCUUCCUAUAGUCAUCAUUGUCAAAACUAGAAAAUCAGAAAGAUGCGAUGUACGAAGGCACCAUUGAAUAAGAGGCUUAAUUCUCUUUGGCAAUUAGGAUAAAGUUUCAAAAUAGAAAAAUUAAACAAAUGUACAGUGUACGGACACUUGGGCAUUGCCUAUUUGUUUUGUUCUUCUAGAGUUGUAUAUGGUAAAGGUCAUAUUGGGUUGGUUCUAUUUGGUUAUUGAAGUCGGCUAGAAUAUUAGAUUUGGUUUCAAUCUAAUCCCAUAUGAUAUUAGAAUACCAGCCCAUACAGAAUUUUUGACCAAAUAUAAUAUUUCUUUUAAAUAUAAAUAUAGUAAUUAAUUUUAGUCUAAGAUUAAUUAUGUAGUUUCCUAAAGAGACCACUUCCUAAACGGUAGCUAUGUGGAAGUUGGGCCAGGUCCUGCCGAGAAGGUUUCCACGAGCUGAGCCCAAAACUGAGUAGCUGUGAUGGGAUCAUUCUAGCAUUCAGCCUGAAACUUGUAACAUAACGGAUCGAGAGGCCUGAACUCCAAGACCAUGGUUCGUCAGCCCAUUAACUUCAACAGCACGCAUUUUAGAGGACUGGGCUUGCAAGGGGUGAGGUUUCCGGGCCGCGACCCCAAAUAUGAACAGCCUCAGAAGUGAUAUUGCUUACUGGCACGUGAAGAGCGCAAGCGUAACUAGAAGAUUUGUAAUGCCGCUUUAAUUGUUUGAUUAUAGAAUCCCACGCAUUACGCAUGGAAAGUGUAAAAGAUAAAAGAUGUAGAAUUUUUUCUUAGAGAAAAGUUCGUUUGGAUAUAGUUAUUGUUUUUUUUUUAAAUAAUAAUUGUUUUUUUUAUAAAUUAUAGAUAAUCUUAGAAAUUUAUCUUUAAAAAAAUAGUUUUUAAAAAUAUUUAAGGAGAAUAAAAGUGAUAAAAAAAAACUUUACAAUUUCAAAUUUUUAAAAAAUGAAAAUUAUUUUUAAGAAUAUAAGUUAAUCUCCUGCAUUUAAAUCUUAGGUGGUUUUUGUUUUUUUUACUUUUCGCUGAAAACAAUUUGUUUUCAAAAUUUAGGUCAUUUGUUUUUUCUAUUUUUUCAUGAUUUAUUAUAAAUUUUUUACUAAAUAAAAAAAAUCAAAAUAUGUAACUUUUUCUAAAUAAAAAAAAUAACGUAUUGAUUUUUCUUUACUUUUUAAUACUUAAUAGAUAUAAAAUACUACAAAAACAAAAAAUCUAAUAUUUAACACUAUUAAGCAUUAAAGUUCUAUUUAGAAUUAAGUAAAAAAACAAACACCACCUUAUAUUUUAUAUAAAAGUUACUUAUAUUUUGGUUUUUGGAAAUAAAAAAUAUAAAGCAUAUCCAAACAUGAGCUUAGCUAUUUUAAAUCAUAUCAAAAUAAUAAUCCCAAUAAGGUAAAUGGACUUUUAUACGGAGAAUAAUCUUUAAGGUUUUCAUUUUUAUUGGAUUUUUUUUUUGUGGUGUUUUUUCAAUCCAUCUUCUCAAUUAAUUCCUUAAAAUUAUUUUACUGUUUUUUUUUUUUUCAGUUUCUAAAUAUUUGAUUUUUCCAAAAUGCUUAAAUGGAAGACACUAAUUUUUCAAGAUAUUUGGUAUUACAAUUUUCCCUGUUCUCCCUAUUAUCUAUCAGAUUCAUGGCCCUUUUGUUUUUUCAUUGGUUUUCAAUUUAAUUUUCCAAAUAUUACAUUGUUGUGUUUUGAAUUUGUGAAACCAAUUUUAUAUAUAUAUAUAGUAUGUAAGUCUACUUUGGGUAACAUGUACAGAGAGGUUUUCAUGUGUUUGAAACCUUUUACCUCAAAAAUUAAUUAUUUUUAAUUUUAUAAUAAAUCUUUUUUUAUUUUUUAUUUUAUUUAGGAAAGCCUAUAUUUAAACUACAUGUUUGCAACGCAACACCAUACAUACUCCUAGUGGAACUUACCUUAGUGCUUGAGGGGGAUGCAGAUCUUCUUCUAAACCUAACUAAUAAGCAUAAAAUUGUUCACUAAUUAGCAUAUCUAGUAAAUCAUACAAAUUGGCAAUAUUUCAUGUUUUUCAUGUUUUGUCAAUAAAAGGCGUCUUGACCAUUUUGUGAGUUUUGUAAUAAAUAAAAAAAAAAAAAAAAAAAGGGCAAAAGGUGACUAAAAUGAGGCACUUUGGAAAGGUUAAUAACCUAAAAGGAAGAUGAAUUAAUACCCCCUUAUUCCUCUUCAAAAACCAUUGAGAAAAUGCAAGAAAUGCUCUUAGUUGUAUGCUAGGCUAACAGCCUAGCAACCAUAAUACCCUUCUUUGCAAUUGUAAGCAUUUUUUUUUUUUUUUUGAAGGCCAAACAACGUUGCAAACUUCCCAAAUCCCUUCUUUAUUUUUUAUUUUUUUAUUUUUGUUUUUAGAAGGAGAAUGAAUUUGAUGACAAACUCCUUGUCAAUCUUAUCCAAACCACGAUCGAACAGAACUCCUUGUCAAUCUUAUCCAAACCGUGUUCCACCUCAAAAACAUGUGUAGGACUUAAGGCAGCAACUGGCAAGCAUGACUGAUAGGGCCAAGUGCCCUUGUCUCUACAAUCCAUUAAGUUAACCAAGGGCAGUGAACCAUCAUUCUUUUCAAAAGCUUCAUUCCGUGUUGAAAAUGUGAGACUGAAGCAUGGUGCCCCCAAAAAUAACGAUCUAUUUACUAGCAGCAUGCCUGGACCCAUUAAAAAUACUCUACUUUAGGAAUAGAAAAAAUUACAUCUUUAUCCAAUAAUUUUAUAACAAUUCAGACGUUUCAGUCUAUAAAUAAUUGUACAUAGUUGCCAACGUUUAGCUAGUUUCAAAUGAAUAGCCUAGGUUCAUGCACCAGUUUGGCUGGUGGAGGAAAGGGAUUCGAGACAUUGAACCCUCUUUUUAGUGUGCCAAAUAUUCCACAAAAAUCACUACCUUCUCUUUGUGUUUGUUCACUUUUAGUUUAUAUUUAAUAAAUCUAUGUUUUCGAGUAGAGGUUGGGUUCAGGUGCGACCCACGUCACCUCUCGGACGGUCUUGAAAAAGGAGACCGGACCACGUAAUUUCAAAUGUAGUGACCAUCUCACUUUUACCUCCAUCCUUGAAGAUGGUUUCCCAAAUCAAUAUUAAUCUUUUGUUUACGACAAUAUCGAUCACUUUAUGUCUAUAUCGUUGUUAAUUUACCUUUUUUUUUUAGCCACAUUAUUUGAAAAUUGAUGCAAACUUUACCAACAUCUUGGUACCAUUUUAAAAUAUUAGAGUUAUUUGAUUAAAAAAAUAAAAUAAUCUCGAUAACUUGUUUAUAAAAUAAAUAUCUUUUAACAUUUAGACUAUUCUCACGCAUGCUUUAAAAUUGUAAAGAUAUUCAUAAAGUGGAACUUUAGACUUAAUCAAUAUCGAUCACUUUAUGUCUCUAUUGUUGUUAUAUUUUUUUUUUACAACAUUAUUUGAAAAUUGAUGCAAACUUUACCAACAUCCUAAUACCAUUUUAAAAUAUUAGAGUUAUUUGAUUAAAAAAAUAAAAUAAUCCCGACAACUUGUUUAUAAAAUAAAUAUCUUUUAAUAUUUAGACUAUUUUCACCAUGCUUUAAAAUCAUAAAGAUAUUUAUAUUCAUAAAGUGGAACUUUAGACUUAAACAUGAUAAUAGUUUUUUUACAAUAUUAUAAUUAUUUUAUCGUUUUAAUUAAGCCCUUUAUCAUACAUAUAAAUGUAAAUUAAUGCUAAAUUUUUAAAGCAACGUAUAACCUUUUACAUCUUUUUUUAAGAUGGUGCGAAAAUCCUAUGAAAAAUAAUAAAAGUCGAUGCAUAAGAAGAUUGUUUUGAUAAUUCAAUAGAAAAAUUCUUUUAAAAUGAUAUUAAAAAAUACCCAUAGAGCCUUUAUUAAAAAAAUCAAUUAUUUUCAUAAUAAAAAUUAUAAUUUUUUAUUAUGUAUUAUUAUUUUUAAGUAUCUUUAUUACAAAUACUUUUUUUGAGUUUAUGAGAGGAAUCAACAGGUUGGUACAAGCUUAGGCGUCCUCGUACAUGUUCCCGCUGUGCAAGGUUUUUGUCUUGUUUCGAGCUAGUCGGAAUUUACGUGUUUGAUAACGUUUUGUCCUAUUUUUGUAACGCUUUAAAGGGCGGCCCACCGUUGGAACAGUUCAAGCCAUCCAAAUCAGCCCGGAGGGUUAUGGCGACGUGGCAUGACGCCUACCACCUUAGUUCACAUGAACCCUAUGAUCGUACUACCCUCACAUGACAUCUGUGAUUCUUCACCUCCAAACCCUCUUUAACUUGGUAAUGUAUUCAAAGCUUCAUCAAAUCAUAGCGAUUAGCGACCCUCUUCCACCCUAAUUUUAUAAUAAAAAAUAAAUCUUAGUGGACAUUAAAGUAGUAUUUUGUGGGGGGAAAGAAAAACUCUAUGGGCGUAUCCACUAAAUACGAGCCAAGUAUAAGAGUUAUCACCAUGGAAUCAAAUUAUGAAGCAUUGACAUUUUAAUUGUAUUCAGAUUUGAGGAGGGCACCGCGGCACCAGCUGGCCCAGUGUAGUCUGCUAGCCUACCCGCCAUAAUGACCAAAUUAAUAAAGUAAAAAGGAUUACAGGGAUAUUCCCAACUUUAUUCUGGGUCUGAGCUGGAACUUGGGAGUUAUCACGAUCAACGGGAAAGAUGGUGGGUAGGGGACGAGGAUUGAGGGCUCCAUAUUCACAUCAGUGAAAAACGAAAUGUAUUGAGACAAGUCUUCUAAGGAUUUUCUAGCGUAUUAUAUGGUUUAAAUGAUUAUAAAUCUGUAGUUACUGGUAAAGAGUAGAGAGUGAAGACGAAAGACGUUGAGUGAAAAGGAAGGAGGAGAGGGGAUGGGGCCAUCUUACCGUGUCGGGGAGGAUCCAUAAAAGGACUACGUUCCCUGAAUCUGUAGGCAUCAUGCCUCGCCUAACGGGUUAGUCAAAAUACAGUGAUGUGUGUGAGUUGGGGGCCUCACUCCUCAUUUCUUUCCUUCUUUUCACCCCCACCCCCACUUUUUUUUUUUUUUUUUCGAAUUUUUCUUUGUCCUUUUCUCUCACUUGCGCACGCGGGAGAAGGACCACAAACUAGACAAUUCCUCUGCUCACGUGACCCCGAGUUUUUAAAUAUUUGCCUAUUUGGAAAAUAGUCAUGAAUCAUGAUCGUUAACAAACAAUCUUCACUUUAUUUAUUUAAGAUCUAUUUUUUGGAGCUCUAGUUUAGUUUAUUAUUAUUAUUAUUAUUAUUAUUAUUAUUAUUAUUAUUAUUUAGUAACUCCUCUUAUAUUAAUGAAAAAGAGAGGAGGAAUCCAAACUUGUUUAUUCUUCCUCUUUUAAGGUGUUUGUUUUUUUUAUUUUAUUUUUAUGCUUCAUAUGUCUUCAAUUUCUUAGCAUUUGUCUUAUAUUUCUUCUUAUCCGAUUCAUUAUUGCAUCCUUGGUCAAUCUUUCACGAGGAGUGCCUACUUUUUUCCUUUUUAUUAUUUAAUUCACUUUAUCUUUAUAUUUUCCUUUUACACUUUAUUUCCAAUUCAAAACGUGUCAAAAAAAAAAAUUGGUAACAAAAAAAAAAAAAAAAAUCAAUUGUAAUGAUUCUUAUAUAAUUUUAUUUAAUUUUUAUUAAACAAUAAAGAAAUUAAAAAUAUAUAAAUUUUUAAAUAAUUAUUAUAGUCUUUCAUUUUUGUGUAUAAUUUCUUUUGCAAGAAAUAGUGUAGGCUUUCCACGGUCUAAAGGAAAUGGAAUAUCAAAUGAGAAGGUAAUAAUAAUAAAGUGAGUUAUAGAUACUAAUCAAACUAAUCCACUAAUGAAUUAUUUAUUUUUAUUUCACAUGGACAAAUCCUAAAAGUUGGAGUUCUAAUUUACUUUUAUGUUAAGCUUUUUUAAGUAAAAAUCUUUUAUUAUUAUAAUUUAUAGACAAAAAGAAACCCAUUAAUGUGAUGGAUAAAAAAUUUCAAUUUAAAAAAAAAAAAAUUAAAGUUGCUAAAUUUUUGUAUUUAUUAUUUCAAACUCAUUUAAAUAAUUUAAAAAUAUGUCUUCAAUUAAUUUUAAUGAAACAAAGCAUGAUUUUUUUUUAAUUUUUUUUUCUUUACCAAAUAAAGCAUUAUUAUAAUACGUUGAUUAAAUUUUCAUCAUGUCUCUCAAGAUUUGGAUUAAAUAUACUUAGUUGUCAUAAAUUUGAAAUUUUAUUUAAUGUAUUUUUUAUUUUAAAUUAAAAAGAUGAAUGCAAAUAAAAAAAAUAUGUAUAUUUUAUAAAAUUUUAAAUUAAACGAAGGAUACGUGUAUUUAACCAAGGUGAAUGAAAUUAAUCCAAAUACUUUUUGGUAACUUGCAAAAUAUCUUGACGAAAUCAUUAUGGCAGGCAUCGUACAAGCUCAACCCUUGUCGCCUUGCUAGAAAUAGAGAAACAAAAAGACCCCCAAAUUGGGUUGCAUCCUAAAUAUGAAGAAGUGGUAACAAAGGAAGAAAAAAUGCUGUGUUAUUGAAUAGUUAAUACAUUGAACAUGAUAUGUUACAUAGAGAGCCAGAUUAAUCCUAGUGGAAUUCCACUGUCACGAUGGUAACCUAGGGUUAUGUUUGGUUAUUGAAAAUACCAAGAAAAGAAAAAAAAAUAUAAAGGAAAAUAAUUUUUUCAUUUUUGAUUGUCUUAUAAAAGAUAUAAAAAAAAAACAAAUAUAAUUAAAACUAAUUAAAAAUUUAGGUAUUUUUAAAUUAUUUAAUUUUUAUAUUAAUGAGCGAAAAUAAAUAAAAUAAGUUUAAAAUAACAAAAAAAAUAAUUUACCGAUUUUUAAUCUAUAUUUUAUUUUACUUUUUCUUUGUAUUUUUUUUUUCUUAUAUUUUCCCUCAAAUUUUCUGAAUCAAACAUAGCAAAAAAGGAGCUACCCCUUUCGAAAGAAACUCCCAAGAAUUUCAAAGAAACCUGCUGAGAUAAUGAAUGAGGGAUCACUGUCGGUAAACAGUAUCCAUUCUUUUGGGAGGACUUUCAAACUGAGAAGUUGUUUUCAUGACUUGGAAACAAAAUUUUGAGCUCUAAGGGGGUCUGUAUUUGGGCCCUAAAAUUCAAUCCAUCAAUCUGAAAAAUGCUUAGGAUAAUGAUUUGAUUUAGCCACAAUCACUAAACAAAUUCCAGAGGAAAAUUUCGCUACUCAUAGGUGGCUGAUUCUCAUAAAAAGACAUCGUGGUAGGGUGUCUCAAGUGCAGGCUCACCAUCAACUUGCUGCCCUUUUUAGAUUAUUGUAAAAUGAUUUCACAUGAAGCCCAAUGCAAAACUUUGAAAGAAAAGGUUGGUGGAGACGUGAAGAAUAUGUAACCCAUAGGCCAUAACUAGUACCGAAGAUUAUUGAACAAACAUUCAAGGUUUUUGUAUAGACGAAACUGAAAAGAAUGUGUACCAGACUCAGGCGUUCAGAUCAGAUGAUGCCGUAAUGUGGAUUGUGGAGGAGCAUUGUGCAGACAGAUAAUGAGAUUCUGAAAGCGAGGCCACUGAUGGGCCCUUGGAAGGGGGGCGUGCCUUCAAAAUUAUAUAUAUAUAUAUAUAUAUGUCAUUGAAAAUUGGAAGCAACUUUUCUUCUUAAGUUAUUUUAAUCGAAGAAGAAACAAAAAGUUAAAAACAUACAUUAUUCUUCCUUCUUACGAGGUUUCCGGGUCUAAAUUACUAUGGUCUCUGCAACUGGCGUCGUUUUCUCUCCCCUCUCUCUAUUUUCCCUUUAUUUUUUCACUUUUAGAAAGAAGCAUCCCAUCAAGAAUCUACUACAACCCUACGCUUCCAUUUUGAUUUAGAAAGUUAAAAAUAAGUUUAAGUUAAAAAAAAAUAUUUUCUUAUAUAAUUAUUUAAACUUAUUUCUUUUCCUUUUUAUAUAAAGAAACAAAUAUUUUGCAAAUAAAUAAAUUUCUAAUUAUUUUCAUUAACAUAAUAAUAAUAUUUUUCAUAUGACUUUAAUCACAAUUUUUUUUACCACUUGUCCAAGGCGGUGAGAGGUGAUAAAAUGUAUUAAAAAAACGAUUAAAUUGCAUUAGGUAUAGAAGUUUUGUGCUUCAAUUAUCACUUAUAAAAAUAAAAUAAAAAUAGUCAAAUUUGAGUGUGCAAGUUGGUAUUCGUAUGUAGAAGGAAUUGGGGGAUUUGGGGGUCCUAACAAAUUUGAUAUGAUUGAUGGAAGGAAAUGAUUAUUAUAGGAUAAAGUCCGAAUGAAACGCUGACGAGGGGGGAAAAACAACAGUGGCAAUGCACUAUCCACAGAUCCAUGAUUGAUUUAUGUUAGCAAUAAUGAAUUAUUUUGACUUUGAUAACCUUGGUUAAGAGAAUUUGGUCUUGUUAUUAUCAUUUUUUCAAAAAAAAAAAGUGUAGGUAACUAGGUAGUUGAUUUAUUAGAAUUUAGAAAUGAGGAUCCCCUCCUCCUGCAAGAGCCGUGACAGACAUGCCUGCUUUCUUGCCAGAUUAUACCAAUGUGCCCAAAUAAUCCCCCAUCUAUCAUCUCUGCACCCUGGAACACGUCACUCCCUCCUUUGAGCAAUAAAAUAUCUCUUUUAUUUUCUUUUGAACCACUCUUCUAUUUCUUUGUACCAGACUGGACCCAUUUAAAUUCUUCGCUACGCUGUUCCCAAGGACUACGAGAAUCAAAAUAGCAAAAUUCUUGAAUCAUUUUAAUGGGUUCAGAAACCACAUGUUUCUCUAGAUCAUAAGAGGAAAAUCUUUUUGGAUGGUGUUUGUGUUGUGUUGUGUUCAAUAUUAAAUACUCAAUUAAAUAAGCUAAAUCAAAUAUCACAUGAAAAAUAAUCAAAUUAAAAAUAGGGAGAAUUAUGUUUUGAGGGUAGAUGGACCCCAAAUUAACAAAAGGUUCAUGUAACUCUUCAAAUUGAGCCCAGACCCAAUGAAAAUAUGGAAAUUGAGUUGAAGUAUAUCAUCAUUCAGUAUUUCCAAAAAUGUCCUUUGUUGAUUUUGAGAAAAAAAUUAAUAUUUUUGAAAAAUAUUUUUAUGUAAUUUAAUAUUUUUUUAAAUACUUUUAUUUAAUUUAAUAUUUUUAAAAAAUAAAUUUAUUUAAUUUAAUAUUUUAAAAAAUAUUUAAUUUAAUAUAUUUUUUAAAUACUUUAAUUUAAUUUAAUAUUUUUGAAAAAAAUUUUAAUUUAAUAUUUUUGAAAAAAAAAUUAUUUAAUUUAAUAUUUUUUAAAACUAUUUUUAUUUAAUUUAGUAUUUUUGAAAAAAAAUUAUUUAACUUAAUUUUAUAAAAUAUUUUAUAUGUGUUCUUAAAGGGUAUAUUUGUCCGUUACUAUUUCAUAUCCUUCAACUCAAUUUAAAGAGUUAUAUGGACCUUUUGUUAAUUUGGGGACCCAUCUACCCUCAAAAGAUAAUUCUCCCUUAAAAAUAUAAAUUUAAAUAUGACAUAAUUAUUAAAUAUGUUAGAUCUUGUAUGAGUUUAUAAGAUUUAUGUUUCAAAAUAACAUGUUUAUAAUUCAUCUAUUGAUUUAUAAUCAAAUUUUAAAUAAAUUAAAGUUAUUCAAGUUAAUAAAUAUGAUUUAUGUUAUAAAGACUAACUAAAAAAUAAUUUAUUAAUUAAACGGAUCCUGGUCAAUAAAAAUUUGAUUUAAAUACGAUCAUACUUAAUCAAAACUUAGGUCAAAUUGUAUUGAUAAAUUACAUCAAAACCUUGUUGUGUUCAAUAUUUUAUAUUAAACUAUUUUUUAAUAAAAUUAUUUUUAUAAAUAUAAUAUUACAUCAUUUGGAGAAACAAAAUAGUAUUAUAUUGAUUUUACAUAUAAAGCAACCAGUUAACCCCUCAUUAUUUUGAUCCAUUUCACAUCCAUAUCAUUCUCAUAAUUUUUUUAUAAUAUAUUAACAUGAUGGACGGUAAUUGAGGGUAGAAAAAAAAGAUGAGAAGAAUAAAAUAAUGUGAAUCCUCUCUAAAUGUUACAUCUUCUGACAAAUGAAGUCUAUAGAAAUGUGUAAAAAAAAAAAAAACACUUAAUUGUGAGGUUCACUUGAUUUAGCAAAAAAUUAAUAUUUUAUUUGUUGUGUGAUUUAAAAAUAAUAUUUUAUUUUUAAAAAUAAAAAAUUAUUUUUAAAGUUUUUUAACACUAUUUUACUAUUGUUCUUUGAAAUAAUUUUUAAAAUUAAAAUGAAAUAACUAAUAAUUUUUAGAUAAUAAAUUAAAGUUGUUUUUAUUAGAUUUUAAAAAUAAAAGAAAAAUAUAAAACCAUUUGAUCAAAUUUUUUUAAACUUAUUUUUAAAAGGUUUUUUUUUUUUUUUUUUUUUUUCUAUCCUAAGUUAAAAGAUAAAAAAUAAUUUUUAAAGAUAGGUUACGAGCAAAUGCCACAAACUUUUUUCUUCUCUUUCCCUUGUUCGGAUAGAAGUGAAAAAUAUCCUCCCAUGGAUCGACAUUACGUGAGCCAUCACCAUUCCCCAACUGCAAUUCAACCGCCAAAGCUGAGGUGUCAUUAUUAGUUUGAACAAAAGUCAGCAUUGUCCACGUGGUGACAAGCGGAACUGACCCAACUUGCAAGGCAAAAAAAUAAAUAAAAUAAAAUGAAAAAAUCAGAUCACCAUUAUGACGUCAGUCCAAUUGCUGACCUGGCCGCCGUCCCCCAUUUGACCCACGUGUUCAUUUAACCCAUUCGCCGUAUGCCGUGGCUCCCCACCCAUAUGGCCAUAUCUGCCAUUUAUUUUAUCCGUUGCCUCCAUUCGGUUUUUGGAUUUUACCCAUUCGCCCUCGUCUAUUCCCAUUUCCGUAUUUGCCCACCAAGGAAAUUCAAUUCCCAUGCUUUUGUUUUACAUUCAAAUCCUCCCCCCUCUAUAUAAAGGAGGGAGUAGGGCUUGAAAGUUUCUCAAGCCAACAUGGACUGUUGAGAGUGAAAGACAGAGGAGCCACAAACAAAUAUCACUCACUCAAACCAAAGCCAAAACCAAUACCGAAUUCAAUUCAAAUGACUUCUUUCUCUCUCAUCAAUUCCCUGAAUUCCGAUUCCGAUUUCAAUUUGUUAUCGGAUUCUUUUUCCUGGGAAAACUCCCUACCUUUCAAUGAAAACGACUCCCAGGAGAUGCUCCUCCUGGGCAUGCUGGCCAGCUCCACUCAGGAAACCUCAGAAACAGUUUCUUUGAAUCGAGUGAAGGAGGAAGAAGUGACUUCCCAGGAAAAUCCCGAGAAGGAGAAGUCAUACAGAGGCGUUAGGAGGCGGCCAUGGGGGAAAUUCGCAGCAGAAAUAAGGGACUCGACCAGGCAUGGCAUAAGGGUGUGGCUGGGAACAUUUGACAGUGCAGAGGCAGCUGCUCUGGCCUAUGAUCAAGCUGCUUUUGCGAUGCGGGGCCCUGCGGCAGUCCUCAAUUUCCCGGUGGAAAGAGUGAAGGAAUCGAUGCAGGAGAUCAAGUGCAUCUUGGAGGAGGGGGGCUCACCAGUGGUGGCCCUCAAGAAGAGGCACUCUAUGCGGAGAAAAAGUCCUUGCAAGAAACAUAAAAGUGAAGAGGUGAGGUUAGAAAAUGUGGUAGUGCUGGAGGAUUUGGGUACUGAAUACUUGGAACAGCUCCUCACUUUCUCUGAGACCUCUAGUCCUUGAUCAUCAUCAUCCAUCACCUGGAUAGCUUCUUCUCUUUGCUCUGUUUCUUACUUUUCUCUCUCUCUCUCUCUCUCUCUCUCUUUUUUUUUUAUGUAAUUUUUCUUAAUGUAUUUUUGGAGAUGGCGGGGGUGUAGUGGUGGCAAUUAUCCAUCUAGAAUUUUUCAAAAGAUAUGUUCUUUUGUUUCUUUGUAUAAAGUUGAAAAGUGGGGAUCAAUUGUGAUGGUGCUCUAUGUUCAUCCACCCAAUUUAUAUAAUCAAGGUGAUUAAUGUUUUUUGAUAUCAACAAUUUGUGAAUGACAUAGAGAGAGAGAGAGAGAGAGACCUUAUUUUCUACACUCAUUACGGUGGUUUCCAUUUGGGGAAGGAAAAGGAAAUGGCUAAGAAUGUUACCAAAAGAAGUGGGGUGGCUUUCAUAUGCGUGGUGGCAUACUUGCAUACAAACUUUUCAAUUGUGUUCUGCAUGCCACUCGGGUCAAUUUCAUUUCUUUUACUCCUAGUAGCCUAAUUGGAUUUCCUUUUUCUCAUGAGACAUCAAAUAAAUUUCAUUUUUUUAUAUUUAAAUAGUUAGGUAAGUUUGAUAGUGAGUUAUAUUUUAUACAUUAAUUCAUCUUUUAGAAUGUUGUCUACAAUAUAAACAGUGUAAUUAAUUUCAUCAUUACAGAACAGUCAUCUUAUAAAAUAACAUAAAAAUUAUUGGAUCACUUGUAUGGCACCACUGAUUUGGACUUGGUAUGGCUCUGUUUGGCUUCAUAGAAAAAAUUUGGACCCAAUUUGAAUGUCUUGCAUAAAAAGAGAUACGUCCCACUUUGAAUGAUAUUGAAGAAAAAAAUUUCUGAUGAAGAAUAUAUUGUUGGCAGGGUCAUGCAGGCCAAUAGGGAAACGAUAAAUUCAGAAGAAUGAGUCCAAACCAGUGGGCUUGAAAAUUAAGAAGAGAAUUGCUGUAUAAAACAAUCAUUUCUUAAUCGAGUUCACUUUCUGAAUAAUCGUCACUUUGAGAAUGCAUACUUAGGAAGAUGAUGAUCCUUAAUGGGAAUAAUCAAAGGCAUCAAAAAAUUGUUCUGGAACAAUUCUUGAUUGUCUCCAGUAAAAUUCAAAGUCAAAAGUCAAAAGUCCAGUCGGUCAACACCAAACCAGGCCAGUCCAAAAGACAUUAAUUUGCAAUCUAGAAUCUAUGAUGAGGUGGCGAAAUCAAACCUUGGCUUUUCACCAGGGAAUGGUACUCUGAAUUUGGUCAGUUCACUGUUUCGAGUGAAUAGGGUGUAGUAAUUAGUAAAUCAUAUUUUAGAUUUGUGUCACAAGUUACAAGGGAUAUGGGCUGACGUUCAAUUUUGGCGACAAUUUGUGGGCCCGUAUAUUUGUUGAGAUGUGGAAAUUGGGUGUGUGCUUUUUUCUGCUACCACAUAAAUAUAUUUCUUUGAAUUGAAGAGUGUUUCAGACCAUUUUUUUUCAAGUCACAAAUGGACAACUGAUUGAGAUUGUAUUGGUGAGAGUAGGAGUUUAUUUUGGGCUGGUUGAGCGAAGUUGAAAGUCGAGUUGGACCUAACCCUUGAAUUCAGCAGACUACAGUCCGAUCCUGUAUUUUGGAUUUAGGGAACCUUCUUUCCCAGAAGCUUCGUCUGGGUUUUAAAGUCUAAAUGUGGCUACUCUUAAACAUUGGAGAAAGGAUGAGCGUUCACAAGCAAAUGGGUAAUUGUGGAUGGUUCAAGGACCUGGCCAGCUGGUCUUCAAGUUUGGAUGCCGGUUUGGGCCUGAGAGAGUCUUUGCAAAGUGACUUCACUUCAGCCUAUGAGAUCAAGAUAUCAUGGUGAUGUCCGAUCACUUAGGUUUCAUUUUCACCUCGGAUUACCGUUACCAUGUUCAUGAAUAAAAAUAAAUAAAUAAAUGAAGCCUUAUAGAGAAAUUAAUGAAGUGAGCUAUACAAGCAACUGGGCCAGGAGCCUACAAGGCAGAAAUUCCCUGCCCUAGACUAGGCCGAAUAAAUUAGAUGAAUGAAUUGGGGAAACCUGGGCCAGCCACACAUCCUCCUGAAGGCUGAUGUCGAACUCGCUUACGAGGAAUGGACAUGGGAGAUUGGGCUGGGACCAAAUAACCAAUUGACAGCCCUAUCCUUGUGGCAAGACGUCAGUAAAAUGGUUCAUUCUGAUUUUACGCUGCCAUUCAAUUUAAUUUUAAUUUUUGUUUAAAGCGAUGUACAAAUUGAAUGGUGUCUAGUCACUUAAAGAGUGGUUCAUAAUACACUUAAUUUAAACAAAAAAGAAAUUAUUAGAUAGGGGAUUCUCCAAUAAAAACCACCCCAUCUUGUCAGCAAGUCCGGAAACUUCCUUCACUUAGGGCGUAUUUGUUUUUUUAACUUUAAUAUUAAAGAAAGUUGGUUAAACCUUAUGACACUUUUAUAUUAUUUUAUGAAUUUUUUUUAAUUUUUAUUUUAAUGGAAUUUUAACUUUAAUACAAGUUGGAGUAAUUCUUAUCUUAAAAACAAAUCAAAAUUACUUUAAUUUUAUAUAGAAAUAAACUUACAGUAAAUUUACCAUGAAAAUUUCUAAGUCAAAUACACCAUAAGUGCUAGUAUUUUAUAAUAUUUAGAAACAUGUUAAAUUAUUAUUAUUAUUUUUUAAAAUUAUUAGUUUUCAUAUUAGUUUUAGGGAAACUUGUGCUUUAGGUCUUUUAUUUGCAAAUAAUAUGGUUUUCAAAUCCUAAGAAUAGAAAAUAUGAGAAUCAACUGUUAAUGUGGAAAAUAAUAUCAAUUUUGUGCAAUCUCUAUUGACUCAUUUUUUUGUGCCUAGAUUGCCUUCACCCACUUCCAUGUCAACAACCACAUUAAUAGAUUGUUUUUUUUUUAUAAAACAAAUAAUUAUUAUGUUUAAAAUUUUGGGGAAACUCUCUAUCUCUCUUACUUCUUCACUACAUCCGAGACCCAUCUUCCUUAAACGUUUGCCUCUCAUUUUGCCCUAACCCCAAAUCUCAUAAAUUUCUCAUUUUCUUGCCUCAUUUGAAAUAUGAAGAUGACCGAUUCUCAAACAUCUCUGUCUCUCUCUUCACGUUUUGACCAGUCUAAUUGGAAACCCAUUUUCCAAAAACCUUCUUUCUUUCAUUUUGCCCUAACCCCACUAUCUCCCUCUUCAAGACCUAAUCACCCAAACUCGAUAUCUAUCUUCCCAAAACCUUCAAGCAAACUGAACUAGACCCAUAUCUUCUUUUUUCAUCAUCAAAGGUGAAAUUUUUUUAAGGCUUUUGGAAACCGAAUUGGAGCUUUCCCUUCUUCUGGGAUUAAUCAUUCGCAAGUGAGUUUUCCAUUUAAGGCUUUGUUUGGCUGUUGAAAUCUUGGGAUCAAAGGUCUUUUAUUUUCAGGUUUCUUGUAUUUUGCUUUAUUUUCUUGUAUAUAACAAUAAUCAUUGUAACAUAUGCUAGUAGUUACCCUUGGUGCAACUUUACAUUUCCAAAUACCCUAAAGUCCAAAGCUUUUAAUUCCCUUUUCAAAGCUUUCAACUUUGAAAGCAGACUAAACCAUAAGAACUAUGAAACUUAUAUCUCUAUCACCACUAAUUAAGCAUGUCUAUGAAUCCUUCCACUUUAAGUCACUUAUUCUCAAACCAAGAAGGGCUCCUCUCAUUCUCACCCCACCUCAUCUAAAUGAGGGAAAUGAUCAAUUGCAGCCAUGCUUUGCACCAAAUUAGAGAAGUGAUCCUCCCAAUCAUCCAUUACCAAAAAUUGAUCAUGCUGAUGAGAUCAUAAGAGUCUAUUCGGAACUCCCAGUUUACUUGCCUCUUAUCUCAGGAUCCUCCAUUACCCCCUGUCUUUCCAACAUCAAAUCAACUUGCAAACAAUUCCUUUGUAGAUAAAAUGUUUUUAAUAUUGCAAAAGGGGACUUAUCAUAAUGGUUGAAUCGAUUUAUUUGAUAUAAUCACUCAAAUUCAAGCUUAAAAUUGAUCAUAAUAAAAUGUUUUUAAUAUUGUUAAAAGGAGAUUAUAAUGGUUUUAUUUGAUAUCAUUACUAAAAUUCAAGCUUUCAAACAUGCUCUACAAAGAAGUUCUAAAAGACUACAAGAAAGAGUUUCCACUAAAGAAAAACAAUGAAACCAUUUCUACUAAAGACAAACAAUGAAACCACAGAUGCUUUGUGAAAUAUGUACCCGCACAAUCCAACAAACUUUAGAAAUUCACAAACACUACCUAGAAUUUUUGCUGACCAGCAAAAAAUUUAUGCAAUUUAAUUCUUAUUGUUAUUAUUAUUUUCAAUGUGAACAAAUAUGAUUGAAUUAUGAAGUAUUUGGCCAGAAGAGGAUCUUGCCUAAUUAUAGUCAUUAAACAACCAUUUAUACCAUAGCCUCUAGACUUUAAAAAGUUUAUAAAACUCAAGGGCUUCCACCCAAUUUCUAGAUAUCUCCAUAACAUUCUUCUGACUAUUAGAAAGCAAUUACCACUUUAAUUUUUCAUUUCAUGAGUGUUCAAUUCAGAAAAAGACCAGGAUCGAACUUGCGAUCAUGCAGUCGAAAAUCCACCUGUGCAUGAAACUAUUGCCUCACGAUUGCAAACUCAAGUUGGAGUCCAGUAACAACUCUAGGUUUGCUGAUGUGCUCCAUUUGAAAUAAAGGAACUAAAGAAUACUUUAUAAAGAUUAAUUACCUUCAUAUUUUAGGUUGGGGUUAAGGCAAAAUGUGAUAGAUUGAGAGGAAGAAAAUAUAUCUUGUUCAGGAAGCCAAUAUUUUGGAGUUCACCUUUCCAUUCGAGUCCACUCUGCUAUAGCAAAAUCAGAGUCACAACUAUGCCUCUUUAAGCUAUCCUUUAAUUGGAUGAAUUGCAGAUUUGGUUGCUGAGAAAGUGGAUAAGAAAGAAAAAUGCAUACUGUAGCUUGAGAUUAAGAGUUUGUUUUCUAAAAUGAGAGAAAGGGAAAGAGAAAAAAUGCAUAUUGUAGCUUGAGAUUAAGGGUUUGUUUUCUAAAAUGAGAGAAAGGGGAAGAGAAAUGUUCGACAACUUUGAGAUGACAAAUUUUUAGAUUUGGAAAAUUUGAGAUGAGUCUCAGGUUUUUUUUUUUUUUUUUUUGUCUUUGUCUUUGUUUUUUUUUUUUUUUUUUGUUUUUUUCCCAAAAACAACCUGUUAAUGUGGUUGUUGACAUAGAAGUGGGUGAGGGCAAAAUGGGCAUAGAAAAAAGAGUCAACACAAAGUGCACAAAACCCAUAUUAUUUUCCACAUUAAUGACUGAUUCUCAUAUUUCUUGUUCUUGGGAUUUGAAAACCAUAUUAUUUGCAAAUGGACCUCCCAAAGCACAGGUUUCCCUUAGUUUUAUGUCUCCAUCUACAUUUUACAUAUAAAUAGAUUAUUUUAUAAAAUUUGUUUUGUAGAUAUAUUAGUUAAUAAUUAUAUAAUUAAUGAUAUAGAAAACAUAUAAAAAUCAUAUUUAAAAAAGAUAAUUACAUAUUCCUCAACAAUCCAUCCCAAGAAUUCGAGGUUGAGUUGAAAACAUGUAGAGUCUUUGAUGUUAUUAUAAUCAUAUCCAACACAUAUGAUUAUUGUUUAUGAGAUAUUAUUAGAAAGUUUGUCUUAAAAUAAUUGAUUUAUUACCCACCUUUAGCAAAUGCCCAUUUUUGCGUCUUUCAAAAUUUUCAUUUUUUUUUUGUUUAAAAGAAGUAUUGUAAAGAAUGAUGAAAUAAGAAAUUUGUUGAGAAAGUGUGAGUAAAUAAUUUUACAUAAAAAGAGAUUUAAUACUUGAUAAAUAAAAUAAUAAAAUCAUGAUUUCUAGUUGUAUAGGGCCGGGUGGAUGGAGUGGCUAAGAUGUAAUUCUUGAAAUAGAGGAGACAACAUCAAUGUAUAAAAGUUUAACAGAGAAGGAAAGUGUGUUUGAAUGACUUUAUUUUCUUCAUUUAAAGUUUUGACGAUGAGUGUUUAUACAAGAUAAAUUUUCAAAUGAUAGGACUCCUAUUUACAUGGAGUUUGUGAUAUACUAUGAUUAUACAAAUUUAAAAUUCAAACAGAUUCAUGAGUUGAUAGGAGUCUGCUCAAUACGCCCCUUCAAAAUGGUGGGAGAUAGCACACCAAUCUUGACUCGAAGGGCCUAAACUCGUGCAGAAGAUGAGGGCUUUGUUAGAGCAUCGACAAGUUGAUCCGUGGUUGACAUAUGGGACACCUUGAGCUCACCUGAUUAAACCUUGUUUCAAACAAAAUGAAAAUCAAUCGCCGAUGUGUUUCAUGGAGAGUGAAACAUGGGAUUUGCACAAAGAUAUGUUGCACCCACGUUAUCACAAGAGAUAGGAGGUGGUGAUAAAUUUGAAACACUAAGUUUUGAGAGAAGAGAAUUAACCCAAAGAACCUUUGAGGCUGUAGAGGCCACGACGUGAUAUUUCGCUUCAGUGGAAGAGCGUGCUAUGAACUUUUGUUUCCUCGAUGACCAAUACACAAGAUUGUGACCAAGAAAAACAAUGGGAGCAUUGGUGGAGGAUCUGACAUAAGGAUUCCUUGCCCAUUCAACAUUCGAAUAUGCAUGUAGAUUGAUGGGCGAUUUCUUAUGCAAGAACAGACCAUGCACCAUUGUGCCGACUAAGUAUCUAAGCAAUCUUUUAACACAAGACCAAUGUGUUGAUGUUGGAUGGUGCAUAAAUUGAGAUAAUUUAUUCAUCAAGAAGGUGAUGUCAGGGCUAGUAAGAGAGAAGUAUUGAAGGCUUCCAACAAUUGACAUAUAUUUAGUGGGACCAGGAAAAGAGGUGUCAUCACACAGAUUUGGAACAUUGUUGAGGAACAUCAAUGAUUGAACUGGUUUGGUAGCCACCAUUUGUGUUUUCUUAAGAAGCUCUCGAAUGUACUUGAGAUAAAAAUAAUCCUUUGGAAGUAUGUAUCAUUUCAACACCAAGAAUAAAAGAUGAAGUCCUGAGAUCCUUAAUGGAGAAUUUGACUGCUAAUUGAGAGAUCACGCGAGCACGAAAAACAUUAUUGUUACUUGUUAAAAUAAGAUCAUCAAUAUAAAUAAGUAGGUAAACAAUGAGACCACUCUUUUUAAAAAUGAAGAGGGAUGUCUCGGUUUAGGAGUUGACGAAGGCUAUUGAGAGGAGAAAUUGGCAAAGUUCAUGAUACCAUGAUCGUGGAGCUUGUUUAAAGCCAUAAAAAGCCUUACAAAGUUGGCAAAUGUGAUGAUGUGUGUAUUCGUGAACCCAGGAGGUUGAAUCAUGUAAACAUCUUCAUGAAGUGUCCUAUGCUAGAAUGCAUUAUUAAUGUCCAAUUCAUGAGUUGAUAGGAGUCUGCUCAAUACAAUGUGGGAGUGUGAUUUCAAAAUUAGGGUAAUUUCGAAAUGGAUUUUGUAUUCACAAGUUGAAUUUCAAAAUUAUUUUGAAAUGGUCUUUUAACUUUAAGCAGUUGUGUUCAAAAGGUCAUAACUUCUUCGUUUCAAUUUUGAUUUACACAUUGUUUAAAACAUUGGACUCUUUACUUCCCGAGCUUCAAAACGAUAUAUAGUAUGCUCAAAAAUGACAUCAGGAUUGGUUCAAAUUUCAUCUUGAUAUUAGAGUACAUGUUGUGAUUAGAUUUUGAGUUCCAAAUUUCCAUGUAAACUUGAUUGCAUUUGCUUCAAACCUCCUUCAUUAUGGUUGCUUGCCCUCUAUCUCACUUUGCAACAUUUGUUACUAGUAUUUUAUGUCCAUGACUUACUCAUUUCAACCUUUCUUGGAUUCUUCAUGGUUCACAAAUUAUGGAUUCUUCAUGGUUCACAAAUUGAGUCUUUCAAUUAUGCAUGUUUAACUCCUAUUUCCUUGGUUGAUAAUGACUUUUACACUUAUCAUUUUCUUUUAUUCUUUAAACCUGAAUUUAGACUUACAAAAAAAAGUUAGAUCCAUAACUAGGGUCUUAGCAUCAAUUUGAGUUAAGUUGGAUGAUUUGAAAAUUUUAUAUUACAUAAAUCAUAUCAUACAUGUGCCAUUGGAGUGCACAUUUUGGCUCUAAUCAUGUUCCAACCCAUUGUUUUACUCUUGCAUGAAGUAUGUGGCCAUUGAUUUUAAUUUUAUUUGCGAUUAGGUUCAAAAUGGUGCUUUUGUGUUGCUCAUGUGUCAUCAGAAGAUCAACUAAUGGAUUCUCUAACAAAACUACUACAUCAUAGUCAUUUUUUUUUUUCUUAAGACCAAGAUUGAGAUCUCCAAUCGGAGCCAACUCCAUCUUGGGGGCAUGUUAGUGAAAGAUAAAAUUUAUCUUUAAUUUAAAUAUUAAUAUUUAUCAGUUAUUAGUUUUAAUUAGAGUAAAAGAUAGAGUUUAAAUUGGAGUAGGAGAUAAACUUGUGUUUGAACUAGAAUAGAAGAUAAAGUAUAAAGAUUUAUGUUUGAAUUAGAAUAAAAUAUAAAGUUUGAAUUAGAGUAGAAGAUAAACUUGUUCUUUAUUUGUAUAUAAAUAUUCAUCAAUUCUUGAGAAGAAGAUUAUUUCAUAGUUUUUCUAUCUUCUUUUUUCUUCAUACAUAUCUGCAAGAAAUUGAAGAUUUCAAGUAAAAUAUUUUCUGUUUUAAAUAGUGAAAAAAGCUAGAAAUUCACUUUGUUAUCUCUUGGGGUAAAUUGACAAGGUUUAACGUUAAGAAGGUGAAUUAUUUUUUCAGAAAAACUGAAGUAGCUAGGAUAUCUGGCCAGUUGUGAUCGAUAAAAAAGUUGUAAAAUCUCUCAUAUACUAAACAGGUUUUGGAUGUUGGUAUGGUAAAUCCAUCUGCAGUCAUUCGUCAUCUCAUCUAGUGAGAUGUUUGGGAGGUGGUGACCGCCGGAUUGGGUUUCAUUUGGUUAAAUCUGUCAGUGGGUUGGCUACUACCCGAGCCUCUUGCUUUGGGGGAGGUGGGUUCUAGAUAUAAUGUUCAAACCAUUUUAGUUAUCAUAUGCAUGACAUGUAAGCAUAAUCUCUUUAUCACUUCUUCAAUGGGAGUUCAUGGUUAGGAAUUGACUUCUUUUCUUCUGGGAUGCUUGGCAUGUAAUGGACAAAGUUACUUUUAUAUCGAUCGAAUUUCUAGUAUUAUAGUGAAGACUUACCCUUUUGACAUUUUAUAUCGAAUUAUAGAAGAUGAAAGGGACAUACAUGCAAUCGACUGACGCUUUAGUGAAUAUGCUGAAAAUAUGCUGAUGCUGUGGAGAUCGUAUGAGGACAGAGGAAAAAGAUAGAAAUGGAUAUAUAAUUAGACCUAGGUUUUUAUUAAAUGAGAUGGGGAACAUAGAGUGAGGGAAAAUCAAAAUUUUUGGCUGCAGUUCACAUUGGUGAUAUUUUGGAUUGACAAAGACUAACGACUUUUCUAUUUUUCUUUUCGGCCUGACUGGAUAGUUGGACAUGGACAAUACAGAAUCCACAGAAGGAUUGUUGGGACCGCUGAAAAUUAGCUAGAAGAAGCUGAGGAAGUAGUCUACGUAGUCAAAUACCAAACACAAAGAAAGAAAGAAAUGGAUAUCAUGGAUGCCUAGAGUUAUACUCCUAAUACCGUCACAGGUAUUUUUCUUUCCUCCUUUUUUUUUCUACGAUAAUUAGAGCAUUUCUCCUCCUCCUCCUCCUCCUCCCCCCACCCCACCACCAAAAAAUAAAAAAAUAAAUUAUUGCAAGUAACACUUCAAAUAUUAAUUUAUACAUUCUAAAGUAUAUAUUCAUGAAAUAACUUGAGUAUCAUACAUUAGUUCUCAAAAAAAAAAAAAAAAAAAAAAAAAAAUUACUGGAAGAGAAAAGUUUAAGAAAACAUAAAAAUAUUCAACUACUAUUUUAAAGAGAAAAUUUAAUUUUUACACUAUAAAUUUGAAGAGAACUUUUACAUGCAUCUUAUAUAAACUACCAUUUUUUGCUAAAAGGCUUAAAUUUGUCAAAAAUACCCCUUAGGUGCUUAACGUUCUGGUCAUAAUAUAAUUGGCAUCUUUUCUCAAACAUAAGGCCUGUGUGUGGGAACAAGAUUUAAUGUUAAUGAGCUUCGCCACCGACAUUUAGUUCCAGAAAUCAUUAUUUUAAUAGAGUGGGCUCAAUUUACAACUUUAAUUAAACUCUAACCAACUGCAUUGUGAAAUGAAUAUGUUUCUUUCGUGGUGAAUCCAAUGAGUUGGGAGUCAAACUUUGCUUCAUUGUGUAUAGAUGAAAUGUUAAGACUCCAUGUAACCUCAAACAUUUCCGCAAUNNNNNNNNNNNNNNNNNNNNNNNNNNNNNNNNNNNNNNNNNNNNNNNNNNNNNNNNNNNNNNNNNNNNNNNNNNNNNNNNNNNNNNNNNNNNNNNNNNNNUUCUUUCGUGGUGAAUCCAAUGAGUUGGAGUCAAACUUGCUUCAUUGUGUAUAGAUGAAAUGUUAAGACUCCAUGUAACUCAAACAUUUCCGCAAUGAGCGGGAGUUCUAAAUUUAAUAAUUGAAAUUGUCAGUGGAACCAGUGGACAAGAGUUGGUUUGUGGUUGACAAACUUAUCCGUUUGAUCUUUACUUGAACAGUUCCAGUGUGUGGAUGGGUACUGAUGAAGUGUGCGCAUUUAUUUUGAGAAGCCUGCUUGUUCGCAUAGAUUUUAACGACAUGAACAUUGUGGUAAGGUUAGAGAGUAAUGCGAAUGUAGGAGCUUAUAUUAGAAAUGACACAAACACGUAAAUAGAAGUAAUCUAUAUAUGAUAUUACUCAUGGACUACAAGCAAAGAAGUACAAUACAUGGAGUAAGUGAUGAAAUGAGCAUUCCUCACUACUACUGCUUGACUGAUGGAACAUGAUGCACGAGAUAGCAUAAGUAGUAGUAGGAAGCAGCUCUUAUUUGUGGCGUCGGUAUACAUCAUACUAGGUAGAUGGUUCAAUUGGCAUGGAUGGGUGGUGGAGCCUUGAAGUGCUUGUGAUGGGGAGCCCACGGCUUCUUCUCAGGAGUUGGUGGCUUCUUGUAUGGAGUUGAUGGAGGUGUUUCUACUGGAGGGUGGCCAGGGUAGUGACCCUGGGGUGGUGAAGGUUCUUUUGUCGGUGGUGGCCUCACUAUUAUUGGCGGUAGAGUUGGUGGCUUGGGCGUUGGCGGUGGUCUCACUACUCUUGGGGGUAGAGUUGGUGUCUUGUGUUUUGGUGGUGGAGGUGGCUUAACAGGAGUUGGUGGCUUGUAUUCUGGGGGUGGUUUCUCCACCGGAGGUGGCUUAUAAACUGGAGUUGGUGGCUUGUAUUCUGGGGGUGGCUUCUCCACUGGUGGUGGCCUGUAAACAGGGGUUGGUGGCUUAUAUUCUGGGGGAGGCUUCUCCACUGGAGGCGACUUAUAAACAGGGGUUGGUGGCUUGUAUUCCGGGGGUGGCUUCUCUACGGGAGGUGGCCUGUAAACAGGGGUUGGUGGCUUCUCCACCGGAGGUGGCUUAUAAACGGGGGUUGGUGGCUUGUAUUCUGGGGGUGGUUUCCCCAGUGGUGGAGACUUGUAAACAGGAAGAGGUGGUUUGUGCUCAUAUGGGGGUGGCUUGUGGUCAUUAGCAAGUGAGGGAGUGGUGAGGACCACCAAUCCAAGGAACAACACGAGUGAGCAAGCAGAAGACAUGUUUGGGCUCUGGUGAUGCACAAGUAGAAGAAAUGGGAACCAUUUAUAAUGCUUCGAGACCUUGGUUAGCACCAAAAUAUGUCAAAAUCUUGAUUACUUCAUUUCAUACAUAGAUUUAAAAUUAUUUCAAUCAACCAUGAUCCUUAAUUUUCUGGGUGGUCCAUAAAUGUAAUGGGGUCAAUUUGGGACCUAACAAGCUGAGAAGUUUGACAAUGCUGCAAGGCUUCAUCCGAAAGUCCGGGGAAGAAUAUUAGGAGUUACACUCCGUUUCCUUUUUUGGGUGCAUUUUUCUCCUUUAACAUUCUAUUCCCUUUUACAUUAGCAUUUGAUCUUAGCUCAUUUCAAGUACAAGUUUCUUGAACCCUAUACCAUUGUCAAAGUUGAGUAACCAUCUCUACUUUGCUCAAGAAACAUAAAAGACAAUGACAAUAAAGAAAAAGGAGAGAGACCAUACGUGACUUGGUUUAUAGGUGGCUUUGUGUUGACAUUUGAGUAUGGAAGCCGACAUGCAUCUUAGCUUCGAUUUUAAUUAAAUUUGUACAUUAGUGUCUGUGUCAUUCAUUUUGGUAUAAAAGGUCUCUUGAUUUCGUAAGUUUGGUAAGAACCGUUGAAAAUAGCAGUAGCAGCACAUGGUCCACUUUCUUUCACAAAAUAAUUUUAAAAGUUUAGAAGCAUAGGAGGUAACAUUAGUGGCCUUGUGGCUCAGCCACGAGUACUAUGUGGUGCUCGAGAAAUUGAGUUUAAUUUCCUUCCGAUAGUUCAUGAUAAGGUCCGUCACUGUCCUGAGACAGAUUGCGUUUUUUCUUUUUUCCUUUUUUAGUGUUUUAUUGACUAGCUAGGUGUGACUUUUCCUACUUUAAGGCACGAGGCAGAAAAGAAACUGGGAUUUAGUGCUUAAGAAGGCAAAUUUAAUUCGAUUUGGAUCUAAAAUUUGCCAGCAACAUGAGAUUUUCCAGCCUAUCGUUGCUCCACAUAUAGACAAGGCACUUGUAGAAGUGGCUUGUUUGUAGCCAUUCCCGAUAUUUGGACUCACUUGAUUCACCGGACACUUUGAUAAAAUUUAAUAUUUAUUAUUUAAUAAUUUAAAUUGAUUUAAAAUUAAAUUAUACCGAAGUUGUGAUUUAAAAAUUAUUAUUUAAUUCUUACUUUUAAAUAUGAAGAUUAUUUGAUAAAAAUAAUUUAAAAUUUAUUAUAAAUUAUCAAAUUAACAUAUUUAUCCUUAUAAAUUAUAAUUAAAACAGAAAAGGUCAAAUGAUUUGAGUAUCCAUAGAUGUGGUAAAAUAAUAAAAAAGAUUAUAAAAACAAUUAUGAUAAAUAAAGAUAAAAAGUAAAAUGAAUAUGUGAAUUUAAAGAAUAAAUUAAUUAUUUUUAUUUAUUACUUAAAAUUAUUUUUGACUUUAAAUUAUAUUAUUAAAUUAUUUUACCAAACAUACUUAAUUUAGUUAAUAAUUUAAAUUUAAUUUAAGUUAUUAAAUUGAUUCACCAAAUACCCACUUAAUCAAAGACUGAAGUAUACAUUAUUUGGCCAAAUGCAGCUAUUGAAAUUUAACUUUUUCCAAACUUAUUCAUUUUGUGGAAAUAUUUUUAGAAAUGAUUUUAAAAAUGCACUAUUCUGUGUGUUGAUUUUAUAUUUUGGCAUUAAUCCAACAUAGAAAACGGUUCUUAUUUUCGCUGUUAAAUAGGUACCAGAUCCUUAAUUAGUGCCGUGAAUCCGGCAGCUUCCAAUGAGUAAUUUGGACUUGGGUAUUGACAAUGUGUGGCCAUGCUUCUACUAUUUUAUUAUUCUUGAAACAUAUAUGAUAUAUUGGACUUUAUACAGGGAAAAAAAAAAAAAAAAGUCUUCACCAAAAAUGAUUCCUCCUAAAAAAUAGACUCCACAAACUAGGUUUAACAGGAAAAUGAUUCUAAUCUAGUAGUUUCCAGCCACAUGAGCAUUUACGUAACAAUAGUAUAGUUGAUAACGACUUUUAUUUUAUUUAUUUUUAAAUAGUUAAAGGGAUAAUUUUUGAGCUUAAAUUUUAUUUUUUUAUUUAGAAACAUUUUACUUUAUUUUUUAAUCAUAAUUCUAUUAUAUUAAUGUUUUAUUUUCUAUUUUUUAAUAUAUAAGGAGAUACUAAAUUUAUGUGAUUAUUUUUUAAAAAUUUAGUAUAUGAAAUUAAAUAAUUGGAUAUAUAUACAUAUAUCAUAUAAUGUUUUUUAAGUGUGAUUUUUGAACUUUUUAGUCAUUUUAUAAGUUUAAGCUUUUGAUUUUUUUUUUUAAACUUUGGUAUUUUUUAUUUUAUAUAAAACUAUUUUGAUUUAAUUUUAUUAAAAAAUAUUGGUAUUAUAAAUUAUUGUAUUAAUUAUUUUUUUAUAUUAUAAUGUAACUGGUAUAUACUAAAAAAUGUAUGCAAGUUCAAUUUAAGUUUCAAAUUAAAAAAUUUCAUUUAAAUAUUUAAUAACUUGUUCAUAAUAAAAAAUUAAACAACAUAAUACAAAUGAAAAGAAACAUAAAAGAAAAAGGAAAAAAUGGUCCUCUCUGUGUGUCACAUUACUAGGUCAUCCUCUUUUUCUAUGACCCUUACAAUAGAAUGGCAUAUUUGUCAAAUCUACUUAUGAAAGUUGGAAUGUUUCUACAUGUGUAGGGUCCAUUGGAACUAAUGGAGGAAAGGCUUAACGUCUAUGUAAAUCACAACGUUGCCUAGGUGGGCAUAGAUCUAGUUGUGUAACAUGAGAUGGUGUGAGAGUACAAUAUAUGCAUUGUAGUCUCUAUGGGAAGAGAGAUAGGUAAUGGUAGGGUGGUAGACGGUAGGGUGAUCUCUAAUAUAAUGACAUUUGAUGUGGUGGCUUCUAAGAGAGGAGAUAUAAGAGAUGGUAGAAUGACAUUUGGUGUAAUGGUCUCUAGUGCAAUGACAUGUGAUAUGGUGACCUAUAAAGAAGAGAUAUAGGUGAUGGUGAAGUGGUAUGUGGUGUAGUGACCUUUGAGAUAGAAAAUAGAGGUAAUGGUAGGUUGGCAGGUGGAGUGGUCUUUGGUGUAGUGACAUCAAUUAUAAAUGUCUCCAAGGGAGGAAAUAAAGGUGAUGGUAGGUAGUAAAUGUUGAGGUGGUCUUUGAUAUGUUAUGCUCUAAGAGAGAAGGUAUAGGUAAUGAUAAUAGGGAAUUUGACAUAGUGGUGUUGGAAAUAAAAAGUGAAAGUGACCGUAGAGGUGAAAGGGCAAGUGUAAAAGCCUCAAGUACGAAUGGAGUAAUUAAUGUGGAUGGUGCUAACAUAGUCUUAGGUGGAUACACAAAUAGUCAUAGUCAUCAACUAGCUUGCCCACCAUCUGUCUUUCUGCUAGUGAUAGGUUACAUCUUAAUAGUAAUGGCCAACAUAAGUGGUGUGGAUCCGAUUUUUUUACGUGUGUCCCCACUCAAUCGACAAGACUUAUUUUUUAUUAGUGAAAAAUUAAUUUUGGAAAAGUUGGAGUCACCACUUAUUUUAUUUUAUUUUAAAAAGGAAAGUAAAACAAGAAAGAGAACUCUAAAGAAGUGACUUCAUAGUUUUGGAAAAGUUAGUCUUAAAAAAUCCAAGUCUUGGUCCGGAGAUCAGGUUACUUAUUGGGAAGAUACCUCUAAGAGGUAAUACCCCUCUAAACCCUAAAGAAGUCUCUAAUGACUAAGUUGAGGAGAAUGUGGUAAUUAAUUAAUUGAUUGAGGGUACCUAGGUAGACUAAGGUGAUUUCAGAAUUAACAUACCAAGCUAGAAAGUCCAAUCAUGAUCAUAAAAGAGAGUCAAAGUAUGUACCUGAACUGCUUCUCAAACGCUAUCAUAAAACAUCAAAGUUAGUAUAGAAAUAUAACACAUAAUAUUUGUUUUAUCCAAGCAAAUAAAGCAUACAUCUAAGCACCCAAGAAUCACAUCAAGUAUGGAUAUAGUCAUCAAUAGCAUACGUGUCCAUAGAACUAUCGAAAGUAAAUGUGGAGGAGCGUAUCUGGACAACAUAGAUAACUUAUAAUGUGCUUCCACAAGACAUGGGGGUUAGAUAAAAGUUAUAAUAAUAAUUAGUAAAUGAAAGAAUUCUAGCAUGUUUGGUAUCUAAAUAACAUAGCAAAAAUGAACAAGAGUACACGAAAACAUCAAUUAUCACACGAGUCAUAUUGGCUAGUAUUUAAUCAAUAAACCAACAAUAAAUGACUAUAAACAUAUAAAAUGACAUAUUCAAAGAGACCCAAACAUAAAGAGCCUAGAACACAAGCUUACACUAAAUUUAGAAAACUAAAACAUGGAAUUUUAAAAGCAUAAAUUAGCAAACAAAUUGAUGGAAACUAAAUUUAGAUAACUUAAGAAUAUUUUUCUUAUCCUUCAAUUUAAAUCAGUAAGCCAACAAUAAAAAAUUAUAGAAACAUGGAAUAUCAAGAUCAAUGGGAUACCUAAACUAUAAUUUUUAAAAGAAAAUAAACUAAGCAUAAUAUCUACAAAGCAACUAAACUAACAUUUUUUUAAAAAUAAAUUAAACAUGACAUUAAUGGAGUAACCAAACUAAAUUAAAGUAAACUAAAAACAUUUAUGAAUUUUCAAACAUGGAAUCAGCUUUCUUAGUAAAUUAAAAUUAUUAAAAUAAAAUCUAAGCUUAAAAAUGAAUUAAAUACUAACUAAAGCAAAUCUAAAACCAAAUAUUUAACACAUAGGAUCAAUUAUAUUAACAAACUAAAAUUUUAUAAGAACACUUAAACCUAAAGUUGAAUUAAAAACUAACCAAUUUUUAAAACUAGAUCUUUAACCCAUAGGAUCAAUUAUAUUAACAAAUAAAUAAUAAAUAAUAAAUAAAUAAAACUCAAACCUAAAGAUGAACUAGAAAUGUACCAAAGUAAAUUCAAAACAAGAUCUUUAACACAUUAGAUCAAUUAUAUUGACUAACUAAAAAAAAAAAAAAAAAACACUCAAACCUGAAACGAUGUAUUAGAAACUAACCAAAGCAAAUUUAAAAUAGAGUCUUUAACACAUAGGAUCAAUUAUAAUCACUAACUUAAAUUACAAUUUUUGAAACAUGAACUAAUUAGUGUUGGAUUAAUUAAACUAAUUAACUAAAAAAAACUAUAAACUAGAAUACGGUGAAUCAAGAAUUCAAAUCAACAAACAUAAAAUAUGGGUACAAUGAAAUGAAAAUCUAUUAAACUAAUAAGACGGAAAUAUGACAAACUCAUGAACCCACAUUUUGAUCAACUAGGAAAUAGAAAUUAAUAGACCUGUAGCAUGGAUACAAUGAAAUGAGAUCAGUUAAAUUUAUUUGCCGAAAUUCUAAAAAACACAUACACUCAAAUAAGAUCUAAAUCUAAGACCAAGCAAAACUCAAACUUUCUCAAUCUAAUGCAAUGAAUCAAAACUAAAAUUAAAUAGAAAUCAAACCAUUUUUUUUUUAUCUAAUAUAAUAAAUCAAAGCUAAAACUAAACAAAAUCGAAUUUUCUUAAUUUAAUAUGAUGAGUCAAAGCUAAAAUUGAACAAAGUUCAAACCUUUAUAUAAUGGAUCAAAGUUAAAUCUAAAUGAAAUCCAUACUUCCACAAUUUGAUAUAACAAAUCAAAAAUAAAACUAGAUAAAAAAAAAGUCAAAGCCUUUCAACUUGACAUAGUGAAUCCAAACUGAAACGAAACAAAAUUUUAACUUUUCCAAUGAAACCCAAUAUAGAAAAAAUUAGCUUACCUUCUUUAGAAUAUAUGUAUGGGCCAUAAAGAAGUCACCUUGGUGCAUGUGUUCCUCACUUUGACGCCAAUGGACGACUUUCUAUGGUAGCAAAUGGAGAUCCUUUUUGGUGGUAACUUGCGUGUGGAAACCUAUGGUACAACCAAUGUCAUCUUUUAUUGUGCGUGUGGACCAAUUUCUUCUCGAGAACUCAUGUGUGUUGUGCUCAAAAUAUGUUGCCUGUGAGAAUCUAUUGGUAUACCCCACAUAUGGUUUCCUUGAGAGAAUCUGUGGUUGUGUGUGGGCGUUUUCUUCAUGACAGCAUGUGGAUGUUCCCAUCUAUGGUAGAUUGGUUGUGAUGCUUUAGUGCAUGGUCUCCAUAGGAAUAGUGUGUUAUGGAAAUUUGGUUUUUUUAUUGGUGCAUGUUGUCUAGACUUUCCCAUAUGCGUGGACUGUGUGUUCAUGCUUUUCUUUUCGGAUGGUCGCCUGUGUUAAUGUGUGGCGGUGUCUACAAUGAAAGAUACAACCCUUUCUCUCCUUCUGCGUGAUAGAAAAGUCAAUCCCCCAUGGUGCGACUAUGUUCCCUCGUCCUUUUUGAAAAAUUUUGGUGUUUUCCCCCCAAAAAAUCCCCUCCAAAAAUCUAAUUAUAAAUGUCUGCUUUGGCCUAAUGUGUGUGCUACUUUUUUUUUCCUUCUUUUUAUGGUUGUGCGUGCUUUUCUUGAUACGUGGCUUAUUUCUUAAGGAUAUGAUUCGCUCCCAAUUGGUGUCUCAGCUGAUUCAUGUCCUUUCAAUGGUCCCUGACAGUGGUGCCAUUUGAUUCGUGUCCAGCUGGUGUCCCUUGAUUGUGGUCCUCAGAAGGGAGUAAUCAAUAAAAUUUAUAACCUAUUACACCAUGUAUUAGGAUAGCCUUAGCUAGCAUAGCAUAGUGGCUCUAGGGUCGUUUAUUGGGAUGAGUUUUCACUUCACAAUUGAUAUUAAUUCAAGAGCUGAAUUGGUGCCUUUUCAUUUCAAGGUUAGCUUUAAAAGAAAACAUAAUCUUUGGUGGAAAAAGGUUUGGUUUUAAACUAACCAAAAAUAGUAACUGAUUUUACUUACAAAGAAAAGUGUUCUUUGGAGUUUAGAUCACUAGGCUCAGGUUCCUCAUACAAAAAGGAGAGUUCCGAUCAUUUGUUUCUUUUCCUCGCAUUAGAGAAUUAACAUAUAGUUAAUUCUCUAACCGGUGCGGUACAUAUGCUUCCCAUUAAUGGGUUCAAACACUAAAUACCUCUCACUGAUGCACCUUGCAAUGGCUCGUGCCUCUCACCUAGCAUUUAUCAUUCAAGGUGAUCUUUAACCUUGGAUUACCCAUCAAAAGCUCGCAAGAGAUAACUAAAGGAUGUCUCCUUAGAGUCCAAAAGCUUACCAAGUGUUGGUUAUUCUAGAAAAUCCUACCUUCAAACCACCUCCCAAAGGCUCGCAAGAGAUAAACAAGUGCAUCUCAAUGGAUGAAGAUCACUUGCCUUACCAAGUUUUGGCCCAGAUGAUUUAAUGACAUUUUAAGUUAACUAAAAAGAUAAAAACCAUUAACGGGUCACACUUUCUCUUCAUUAAAAACUAAAACAACAAAACUUCCAAUUUAUGCAUGAGGAAACUUACCUGGCUUUCUUCACUUCAAGAGAUGAAGAGCCUAGCCACUCAUCAUUUGAGGAAAAAUCCUCAGAGUUUGAUUUGCUAGAAAUAAAAAUAAUGAGAAAACAAAAAUAUAUAUAUGAAAAACAGAGCAAGUUCUCUGUAAUAUAUUUUUCUUCCUUAUACAAAAGGUUGUCUCUAAGAACAAGUUCCCGAGAUCUAUCUGAUUGUAAAUAAAAUUACAACUAUAUAUAAGAGGUUAUUCACCCCUUUGUUCUUUCUUAAAGACUAAGGAAUCCUAUGAUAGGUGGGUUACAAGGAGAGUUUGGGGAUUUAGACAUCAAAUAUCUAAAGCAAAAUAUCUCAAGAUGUUAGUCGGAAAUAUCAGGAAGCUUCAGGAGAACACCGCGACACUGUAUACUGAGAGAAAAACUCUCCGGGUAAGCUCUAUCAAAGGAUCCAGACAUGUCUGACUGGGAAAGUUGAAACGUCCUUCUCUCCCAUCCGGAUGUGAGAUAUCCGGAGAAAGUGAAAUGUCGGUCGGACAGAAUUCUUUCCCCGGGUGGAAUGAGUUGUGUUGCGCGUCGCAAGGGGGACCGUCUGCGUGUACAAGUUGUAGGGACCCCUCUCCCGGAUGACACCGAGCGCGUAAGGCUAUCCGGAUCAACUCCAUUCGGAUUCCCCAAGAGGACAUGUGGCGUGCUCCCCUAUCAGGACUCCCUUAGGGAGAAGCACACGACACUCGUGAACAUCAUACCCGGACGAUAGCAUGUCCUAUCCGGAUGUGUUGUCCGGAUCAUUGACUAAAGUGAGCAAGCCUUGCUACGUCAUUCGGACAGCUUGCCACAUACCAUGUUCCGUCGCCAUCUGAUGGUGUGUCCGAACGCCUUGUCCGGACAUCUUUUGCUCCUUGCAUUCCGGAUUUGCUUAUGACAAAGGACUUCAAAGCUUCGGUUCUUCAUGUUUCUGAGCUUUCCAUUGCUUUGCCAUGGAUUCCAAAGAACUCUCCUUAAUCACGGAUUGCUUUGGUGAUCAAAAAGUUAUCAAAACACAAAAACUUAACAUAGUUUGAUUAGAAUUGAUUGCAAGGGUUCUUAAUAUGUUAAUUGGGUUAAAAGGUGAUAACUACUACUCAAAAGUGUUUAUAAGAAUUAAUUACAAGCUAUGAAAUAACACUUUUUGAGUAGUAAUCAGGAUACAUCCUAGUUUUUCAUGGAAUUGAUAGUGGGUUGUUGUGCAUGAAUGCCACCAUUUCAACUAUGCUGUUGUUAUUUUUAAAAAAAAUAUGGAUUAUGCGCGAGUGGCAAUUCUCCACUAUGGAAAGUGGAUUGCUCCUUCAACCCAUGCAUGGCUACGUAUUCCUAUGUCUUUCUACUUGUGUUUGAUCCUCCAAAAAAAAUUUCGGUUUAGUGCUAGUAGAUUUUAAGUGGUGGAUCCCCAUUUUUUGAAAAUGAAGUGGCAGCCUCCCAUUUCAAGACAAAAUGGUAGCCUGCCUUUAAUCUUUGGAGAAAAAUCUGUGCAUGACCUUUUUUUUUCCCAAAAAAUCCGUGCAUGGUGUCCUUUAAUAUUUGGAGAAAAAUCUAUGUUGGAUCUUUUCUUUUCUAGAAACAUUUGUGUGGUCUUUUUUGUUAGCCCAAGGGUUCUUCUAAUCAAGUUUUGAUGAUAACAAACCAUGGUUAAGUGACUAAUUGGUUUAAUGAUUAAGAAUCUCAAACAUAAAAUCGAAAAUUCAUCAAAGGACCAAAUGGAUACAAGAUCGAGACGCUUGGAAGACUUGUAAUCAUAGGAAACUAAUGUAAGAUGAAUGCAUGAGUGCACUUAGGAUUUUCACACGUUUCAUGCAACUUAGAAAACCCAGUUUAUUCUUUAAAACUUCAUCCCAGUUUAUUCUUUUUAUGGUUGUGUGUGCUUUCCUUGAUACGUGGCUUAUUUAUUAAGGAUACAUCCCAGUUUUUCAUGGAAUUGACAGUGGGUUGUUGUGUGUGAAUGCCACCAUUUCAACUGUGCUGUUGUUAUUUAAAAAAAAAAAAAAUGGAUUGUGCGCGAGUGGCAAUUCUCCACUAUGGAAAGUGGAUUGCUCCUUCAACCCAUGCAUGGCUACGUAUUCCUAUGUCUUUCUGCUUGUGUGUGAUCCUCCAAAAAAAAUUUUGGUUUAGUGCUAGUAGAUUUUAAGUGGUGGAUCCCCUUUUUUUGAAAACUAAGUGGCAGCCUCCCAUUUCAAAACGAAGUGGUAGCCUGCCUUUAGUCUUUGGAGAAAAAUCUGUGCAUGACUUUUUUUUUCCCAAAAAAUCCAUGCAUGGUGUCCUUUAAUAUUUGGAGAAAAAUCUAUGUGGGAUCUUUUAUUUUCUAGAAAAAUUUGUGUGGUCUUUUUUGUUAGCCCAAGGGUUCUCCUAAUCAGGUUUUGAUGAUAACAAAUCAUGGUUAAGUGACUAAUUGGUUUAAUGAUUAAGAAUCUCAAACAUAAACUCGAAAAUUCAUCAAAUGACCAAAUGGAUACAAGAUCGAGACGCUUGGAAGACUUGUGAUCAUAGGAAACUAAUGUAAGAUGAAUGCAUGAGUGCACUUAGGAUUUUCACACGUUUCAUGCAAUUUAGAAAACCCAGUUUAUUCUUUAAAACUUCAAUUUCAUUAAAACCCGAGUUUUUAACUAAUGUACCUUAGGCAAAAUGUUUUAUAAUUGGCUUAAUAAUUCACCUAAAUACAUUUUCUAAGUGUUAGAAAAGAAAGGAAUUAAAAAAAGGUUUUCGGGGCAAAAAAGGCUCAACCGGUCGAGGCUAUGGUCAACCGGCUCAACCGGUUGAGGAACCAAUCGAUCGGUUGUGCUUGUCCGAUCGAAGACCAAUCGAGGGAUGCCAAAAAAUUUCUCUCUCUCCUAGUGGCCUUCUCUUCCCGGUCGAGGUUCGGUCUAGGCAACGGUAACAUGUCAAGCAUUAAAUGCUCCGACGACUAGUGAAUCGGUCGACCCCUAGCCCGAUCGGACGAGGUUGCCUUUUGCUGUUUUUGACUCCCGAGCUUAGAAACCUAUAAAUUGAGAGCUCCACUUCAUUUAUUGAUAAAAGAGAACACUUGCAUUCAAUAGUCUACCUACCUUUUCUUGAUCAAAAAGCUCUCAUUUCCUUCAUAGUGCAUUAAAUCAUCACUUGCAUAUCCUUUAGUGCACUAUUGUGUGUCAUCCUAGCUUUGUUUUGUAUUUGAGCUAUCCUUAAGCUAGGUUGAGGGAUUAUUUCUUAUAAAAAUCUGAGUGUUAAAGCCUUCAAGAGAUUUGAAUCUUGAAGAGAUUGUGUAAGAGCCCAUUGGAGCCGGAGUCCAAGUGUAAGAAGAUUGGAAGCUUGGUUGAAGCUUCAAGUUAGUGGAACCCUCACUCGGUUAGGAGGUUGAGGAGAGUGGACGUAGGUAAGGAAGUGUCGAACCAUUAUAAACCCGAGUUUGAAUUCUCUAACUCUAUCUCUUUAUUUUGCUUAUAUUGUGUUUGAAUUUGUUGUGAUUGAAAAGAUUUUAAAAACCUAAUUCACCCUCCCCCCUUUUGGGUUUUUUUUUCUUAAUUAAGCAUAACCUUUGUUUUCUAAUUUUCUUUUUAGGAAAAUCCAUGCGUGGUAUGUCCAAACUCUCCAAGUGGCAGUCUGCCUUCUUCUAAAAAAUUUGUUUCUAUUUCUUUAUUCGACUACCUUCCAUGUCUUCCUAAUGAGUGCUUGUGCUCAAUGGUCAAUCCCUGGUGGUUGCCUCCUUUUCCCAUAUAUACGUGUUGCAAAAUCAACAUCCCACUAUAUGUGGGUUGCCUCUAUGGCAAGUUCACAUUUCCCACAUGAAACCUAUGAGUUUCCACCAAAAAUUGCCAUGAAAAAGUCUUUAUAUGCAUCUCAUGCAAUAAAAAGUCAAGCCAAUACUCAUCUUAUCUCGAAAAAUAAGUAACCAAAAUCAAGAUCAUGCCUAAGUGAACUAUGCCAAAAGAAGUGUCCAAGUGACCUAUUAUGAAAAAAGUGCCUAAGUGACCUAAGGUGAAUGUGUGUAAGCUGGAAGGUGUCUAGGAUGUUUAGGACAAUGCCUAAGCCUAAAAUAGGGUUGCCAAGGGUCACAAUGGGGUUAGAUAAAUCUCUCAAUCAGAGUCUCCAAGGUGGCUCAUAAAAGAUAAGCUACACGAGUAAUGAUGGGCCACCAGGGAAUUAUUGUAAAGCACCAAACGAACACAUAAUAGGACAUGUGUUAGAAUGAAAAAAUGGAGGGUUUACAAGUGGUCUCAUGGAUGAGCUUGAUAAUUUAAAUGACUCACAUAAUGAACGUAUGUGAUGUUUCUCUCCAAUAACAAGCAAAACAUCACUAGCAAUAUGAUGAAUGUCUCCUAAAUCACUUGAAGUAGUCCUAGCAAAUCAAUUAGAAAAAUCACACAUAUUGCUCUAAUGUAAUAUUAUAUACAUCUGUCAAUGAAUGGGAGAACUAAUGACACAACCAUCAUGUUGAUAUCUCGAACCCUCUAAUCUCAUAUGUAGGUGGGAUCACACUUAGAAACUCAUAACACAGUAAUGACCAAUCUAAGUCAAAAUGUGUUGGUGAUCGGAGGCCCAUGAAUAUGAAGUUCUAGGAUGAUAAUGACAUCUUAUAAAGUAAUGAUCAUCUCCUUAAUAGAUAGGUGAAAUGUGUGUGUCUUAGGACACCAUCUCUCAACAAGACUUGUGAUCAAUCCCCAGUCUAGUGUAACAUGCCUAUUAUGACAUCCAUCGUAAAAUCUAGACUAGAUAAUAUAAGGACAAAUGUGAGGGUUCAUCUCCCUUUCCCACAUAAAUUUAAAAAAUUAUUAUUGACAAGUUAAGACCAAACUAAGUUGCAAAAUAUAAAUAAGUCCAUUAGAUAACAAAUUUAUGUUUUCUCAUUUUCUCAUUUUUAAAGAGAUAUUAUGUGCUUCCAUGUACAUACAUGCUAAAGUCAAUUAUACGAGACUUAUAUCCAUCUUGUAGAACCAAAUCGAACCUAUCUAAUAGAUCCAGAUUAGAAGUAUGUCCUCUAUACUCCAUAUUUAUAACACAUUUAUAAAGAUAAAUGCUAAAAAAAUGUUAAAGAUAUAAAUUUAAUGAACCAUACUUUAUGAUUUUAAUUCUCAAUUAUUGUUCAUAUUUAUAAGAGAAAAGUUAAAAAAAUUGAUAGAGUUUUCCCUCUAUCAUGGACAUUAUCCCAAAUAAAAAUAAAUUGAUUAUGCAAAUUACAUUAAUAUUUGUAACCAAAUGAUCAAUAACUAUCUUGUAUCAAUUUAGUAAAUAAAUUUAAGUAUAUCUUUUCAUUUAUGACUAACAAAUAACUCAUACUUGUCCAAUAAAAGCCACACCUAAUUUCUAAAAUUUUGUCUUCACCUCAAGUGAGUGUUACAUUGAGAAAGAAAAAAUAUGAAAGAAAAAAUGAACACCUUUUUCUUUUAAUAAAAAAAGGCCAUAACGAAACAUUAAAUCUCACUGUUACACCUAUCUUCAAUGGAAACAUGAGGAUGUGAAUGGUGGCGGUGAUAUUCUUUGCUUGAAGCUCAUAAACAAAUAUUCCUUACUAAGCCUAUGCCAUUUAGUAUUUCAAUAGUGGACCCCCCCCCCCCCCCCCCCCCCCUCCUUGCAUUUCAGAUUUAGCAAACUUAGAACCAAAUAACAAAGUGCAUUUGAACCCAUAAAGAAGUAAUGAGACUCUCCUAUAUUGGCAAUAGAAGAAAUUUUUGGAGGUAUAGGAGAUUCACGGAUGAAGAAGUUGGGCCCCAAUUGAGAUAAGACCCAAGAAAAGAUGGGGUAGAGAGGGAUGGUUGGAAAUUGUAAAGUAAGAUUUUCAAAAUGUAGUUGAUGACUAAGAUUUUGACAAUUUAAAAAAGGUUUAAAAAUGUAGUUAGCAAUCGGGGUUUUGUAACAUUUAAAAAAUAAAAUAAAAUCUCAGGCCACAUGGUAGCCCAUGUGAUUCAGAAGCUUGAGAAUUAUUUUAUAAGAAGACUUAAUUUGUGAUUUUUUUAUAACUAUAUUAUUUUUUUUCUUAACACACGAAAAAAAUUAUGAAAUAAGACAAUUUUCCUAAGAAAGCAUGUAAGUGACUCUUGGUUAUUUUAUUUAACUUCUUCUAGUUUGGAGAGGAUUAAUACCUUUGCUUUUACUCACUUGCUUGGAUAUGUACACGUUGUUCAUGUCACUUUUCAUUUAAUUUUCUGAUUAAGGGAAUUGGAACCGUACGUAACUGUCUUUAUUCCCUCUGAAACUUGGACUUGGAGUUGGACUUUCAAUCUCAUCAGUCGUGUUUCCAUAAAAAAGAAGAUGGAUUAACCAAUUUUCCUAUGCCUACUAAUCAUACACAAAACUCCACUUCCAAAUAAAAAGGAAUGGGAUAUCACUUGUUAAUAGUGGCUAAAGACUAUUAAUAACCAUGCAAAGAAAUGUCACAUUUUUUGUUCUACGCAAAUUUUAUUCAUCAACUACUAGAACCAUUUCAUACAAUAGUAGCUUUUCGAUCCUUUGAUAAAUGGACACUUGAUGUGAUAACACCAACUACACCUAUAUAUUCAAGCAAUCAUGCGUAUAUAAUAGUGGAUAUGGAUUACUUCUCUAAAUGGGCAAAAGUUUUGUCAUUCAAGGAAAGUGAACGAGGAAACACAAGUUUACUUUCAUCGGAACUAAUAUUAUAUAUUGAUAUGACUUCCCAUUAUUACUUACGAUGGAAUAUGCUUCCAUAAAAUGGCCUAGAUGAACAAACUAUCCAAGAAGUUUGGGAUCAAAUAAUAUAUAUAUAGUUCAUGUGUGAUUCUUUGGUUGACAACCUUGUUAAGGGGUGAGUGAAGCACUUUGGGCAUACCACAUACUACAUGCUAGACUUCCACCCAAGCUACCCUAUAUUCCUUAUGAACAAAGUAGAAGUUGUCAUCUCUCUUGAAUACCAAAUCCUUUCACCUAAUAAUGCUAUCUAAAAAGGUCUUAAAAAGGAUAAAAAUGCGCAUAUUUGAAUUUUUGAAUUAGGAGUGCUACUUAAAAAGAAGCUAGAUAUACAAUAAUAGAAUGUUAUCAAGCAUAUCUCUUCAAAGUUUUUGACCAAAAAAUAUAUGAUUUCUCAUUUUAGGUAGGAGACUUAGUACUCACUAUUCAAAAACCAAUUAUCAUUACUCAUAAAAACUAAUAGAAAGUUUGGGCCAAAGUAGGAUGGACCUUAUAUUAUGCAACAAUUAUGCCUAUAAAAUUGUUGCAAAAGAGGUUUUAGAAUCAAAUCAAUGAAUGAAAAAUUAUUAAAGCAUUACUAUGCUUGAAGGCUAGUCAUUUUCCCUUAAAGUGCAAUAUUAAGUUGCAUAGUACUAUGUGGAUCCGCAUUUUUCACAUGCGUUCCCACUCAUUGUCGAGACUCACUUUUUAGAAGUGAAAAAUUAGUUUUAUUAAAGUCGAAGUUGCCACUGGGGAUUUGAACCCUAACAAAAGGUUCAAUUUAAGGAUAAAAAUAUCGAUAAUCACAUAUAUAUAUAUUGGUACUUUGAUUUUAUGAAUAUAUUGAAGAAAUAUGGACAAAUAUUUUGACACAAAAUAUGUACAAAAUAAAAAUUAUAUAAAAAGUAAAAAUAAAUAUUUUAAAAUUAUUUUUUUAAAUAUAUAUAUAUAUAAUUUGACAUAUUUGAUAAUAAUAUAUAAGGGUCUCCAAAAAGCCCGUGGCCCGCUUUAGGCCCGGUCCGACCCGACAGGCUAAAGCCCGGCCCAAGCCCGCCGGGCCCAAGCUCGGCCCGAGCCCGUUUAUGGGUGGGCCGGGCCGCGAGCCCGUAGGCCUGCUCCUUUAAAAAAAAACUACAAAAAUAAAAAGUAUUAAAAAAAAUAUUCAUUUCAAAAUUUUAUUCAUUGAAUGUAUAAUUACAUUUGAAAAUGUGGGAAAAGUUUACAUCACUACAAAAUAAAUACAUCCCAACUAGGUUGGCACCUAUUUAUUUGUCAAUCAUCUGUAUUUUUCAACCACAAAAAAUAAAAAUAAAAAUAUAAUAUACAUUUAGUCAUUAUUUUCUGGCGGUGAUGGCGAACUAUCAUGCAUCCAUGAAGAUCUUGAUAAUUUUAAAGAUUCCAUAUCGGUAAGCAUCUUUGUUUCUCGAAUGGAAUCAUACAUCCUUUUAUCUGCUAUUUCCCAAUCUUUCACACAUAUCCCUGCUUUAAUAACAUCUGACGCUAAGUUGCAUCGUUUUUUACUAACUACUCUUCCACCUGCACUAAAAGCAGCUUCUGAUGCAACUGUACUCACAGGAACUGUUAGUACAUCACGAGCAAUUAUAGAAAGCACAGGAUAUUUGUGUUGAUGUGAUUUCCACCAUAUUAAAAUAUUAAAAUCUUCUUGAUCUUCAAAUGAAAUUAUAUCAGUAUUAAGAUAUUUAUCUAAAUCAGAUGUAUUAUUUGGAGAAUUAUUUGUUGUCUUUUUUCGACUUUUCAACAUUUCUAGAGCUCCUUUAUAAAAAGAUGAGGAGUUUGUAGAUGUAGGUGGUAAUUUAAUAGUAUUAAUAUCAUUACCAUAUUUUUCUUUAUAAUAGUUAUAUAAAUUAUAUAAUAAUGAAUUUAUUUCAUUUUUAAUUUCUUCAAUUUUUAUUUGGUCAUUAAAAUAAAUAAUUGUUAACCAUUCAUCCAAAGCUUCAAAUUUCAAUCUAGGGUCCACAAUUAAAGCAAUAUAAAAAAUUAAAGGUAUUUCUCCCCAAUAUUUUCUAAAUUUUUAUAUCAUUACAAAUAUUGUAUCAUUAAAUAUUUCAAAACUUAAAUAUUUUUGAAGUACAAUAAAAAUAUUAGUUAUUUGCGUAAUAACUCGAUUUGAAGUUGGAUAAUAUACACCACAAAAAAUGUUUGUUGAAGUAUCAAAAAUUUCAAAAAGAUCUCUUAAAACAUCCGCAAUAUGCCAAUCAUAAUCAUUUAAUGCAUAAAUAUCUGCUUCAUAAUCAUUGUUAAUUAAUUGUAUUUCAUAUAAUUCGACUACUUUUCUAUAUUUUGUAAUAUUUUCUAAAAGUUUAUAUGUGGAAUUCCAUCUAAUAGCCAUAUCCAAAUUUAUAUUUUUUCUUUUCAUAUUUAACAUUUUGCAACAAUCAAAAAAUAAUUCAUGUUUUGCUUGAAAACUAUUAAUACUAUAUGCAAUGCCUCUAAUUUUUUUCCAAUGUACUAUCAACAUUUUUUAAUCCAUCCUUUACAAUUAAAUUUAAAAUAUGUGCACAACAACGCACAUGAAAUAUUUUAGCAUGAUCUUCUUUUACUUGCCAAUAUCGUUUUAGUCUAUGUAUUGCUGCAUCAUUAUUAGCAGCAUUAUCUAAUGUUAUUGUCAAUAUUUUAUCACGAAUGCCUAAAUCUAUAAUUUCAUCAUUUAUUAAAGAUGCUAUAUUUUUACCACUAUGUGGAGUAUUUAUUAAUUUAAAUAAAAUUAUUCUUUUAUUUAAUUUCCAUUCAUUAUCAAUGUAGUGAACAAUUAUAUAUAAAAAACCAGUAUGAGUUAAAGAUGUCCAAAUGUCAGAUGUUAAACGAAUAUUUCCUUCAAAAUUUGCAAAAUUUUUUUUUAAAAUUUCUUUUUGUGUAUAAAUUUUUUUCAUAAUAUCUCUUUUAACUGUAUUUCCAGAUCAACCUUUAAAUUGAGGAUUAAUACCUCGUUGAAUUGUUCUUGCAAAAUCAUGAGUUUCCAUCAUGUUGAAAGGUUGUUCUGCUCUUAUUAUAUAAUCAAUCAUUUCUUCACAACAGUUAGAUUCAUCAUAAGAAAAUGUUUUUAAAUUUCCACUUUCAUUUUUACUUAAUUGCAUAUAAUUUCUAAUAUCUACAUUAUUUUUAGUUUUACAAUUUUCAUGAUGUCUUUUUAAAUGACUUGUAUCUGCAUUUGAGCCACCAGUAAGAAAUUUAUUACAAAUUUUACAUUUUGCUUUUAUUUUUUUUUUAUUAUUUUCUAAAAUUAUUUCUAUUCUAUCAAAAAAAUUCCAUAUAUUUAAAGUAAAUUUUUUGUUUGAUGAUAUUUCAUCACAUGGACUAGACGAAGAAGCACUUGUCAUAUUAUAAUUAUUGAUAAAAUAUUAUGCCAAAAAUAAUAAAGUAAUAAAUAUAAAAAAAAAUGUAACAAAAAAAAUAAAGUAGUAGGGGUGAAGUAUGUUACUCAAUUAGAGAACCUAUGCAGAAAUUCCUAGCAAAUUUGAACUCUUGGAGCCACCAAUGCUUGUUUUGCACCAUCAACAAUAUUGUAUAAUUUGAGGGAAAAAUAAAAGAAUUUAAAAUAUUGUAGAAUGUGAGAGAAAUAGAGAGAAUUUGAUGAAAAAAUGAAAAGGAAGAAAAUGUAUUUAUAGGAAGGUUAAAAAUAAUAAUAAUAAUAAUAAUAAUAAUAAUAAUAAUAAUAAUAAUAAUAAUAAUAAUAAUAAUUGGCCAUGUGACCGUUGGAGGCUUAGCUCCAACGGUCACAUGGGCUGGAGCUAGGCUCCAACAGUCACAUGACCGUUGGAGCCUUUAAUUUUUUUUUUUAAAAUAAUAUACUUUAUUUUUAUAUAUAUAUAACUAACUCAAUUAAUAAACAUAAAAAGAAUAUAGUUCAGUUGGUUAGAACCUUGAAGUUUAAACAUGAGGGGAGGGGUUUGAAUCCCUCCCUCUCCCUUAGGGGCUUUUUUAAAAGCCAUUUUGGCUUAUUUCAAAAAGCCUGUCGGCCCGACCCGCCCUGCAGCCCGCGGGCCUAGCAUUUUAGCAUGGCCUGGUCUGUUGACUAGUCAAAUGGCUCAUAGGCUCGGCCCGAACUGGGCCGCGGGCCUCUUAUUUACGGACCGGCCCGACCCGGCCCGCCCGUUGGAGACCCUUGAUAAUAUCUUCUAUAUUAAGUUACAUUAUAGUUUAUUUUACAAUAUUAUUAUGAUAAUAUGUCUAAUUUUAAAAUAUAUUUAAUAUUAAAAUUAUGAUCUAUUUUAAUUUAAAUGUAUUCAAUGAUAUCAAAUAAAUAAUAAUAUAUGUAUAAUUCUUUUAUUAUUUAUAUUUAUUAUUUUUAAUAAAUAUAUAGAUUAUAUAAAAAAGACCGGAUAUAUCUUUUCAAAUUUUGUAUCGCUCUCCAAGGAUAUUAGAUGUAUGGGAAUUUGUAUUGCUAUCUACGGAUACGUUGAUAUAUGGGUGAUUUAUCAGGAUAAUUAGAAAUUCUAAUUAUGUAAGCAGGUACGGAGUUCUGUGUCGGUGCGAUCUUGUCGACAACAGCUCCAAAUUGUGCAUCUUGCUCAUAGAGAGUAGCGGAAUGCACCAAUCGUAGGCUCAGAGUACCACUGAGUCGUCUGGCAGAGACCCAACUGAAGGUGCCUGUGUUGUUCCUGAUCUGAUCAGGCUUCAAACUACAAGGUGGAAUACUGGUUCCCCUAUAUCAGAAGCUGGAGAUACCCACCCCAUAUGCUCGUCUGGAUGUGCUCCUACCCUUUGAAGCCUUCUUCCGAGUCAAGUCCGAAUUGAUAAGGCUAGUGAGUUCCCAACCAACUGUACUCAGCAUGCUGCCAGGUGGAGACCCUCCAUAUUUGAUGGCUUCCUAAUAUUAAAAUGCUGACCACUGGUCUUCAUGUUCCACAGGCUUAAUUGUGUCCUUUGCUGAAAGAAUGGAUAGUGAUCCAUUUUAACACAUGAUUCACGCCGUCUUUGCCAUUCUUCAUGGUCUAGCCCUUUUAUAUAUAUGCUUCCUGAACUGUUGCUAUUAAUAAAAUGUGGUAUCUAUCCCGUACACCUUCCUGAUGGCCAGCGAAUGCAGAAGCUACAGAAACGGUUCCAUCUUUUGCUUCCGCCACUUUGGCAUCCUCCAUGAUGAGAUCGAAGGUGAAUAAUCAUAUUCUGGGGAUUUAUGUCCUGGAUAUUCUCAGUAAUGCCCAAUUUCCUGGUGCCGGCCUCAUUUCCAUGGGAACUGAUGGAUAACUUAAGGCUUCUACCAUCUGCGUGGUUCGCUUCUAACACAGGAAACUUCACGGCUAAAAGCAAGAUACCAAGAACAUCAAGGCUGUGACAAAAAUUAGUAUUUUUAACUUGUAGGAAUUUGAAAGGCAACCAACCAUCUAGCUCUGUUCUUAAAGCUCCCAUAGGAGGAUCAGAGGCUGGAUUGCUCAAGAUGAACUCAUCCAUUGUUGCACUUAAAAAGAAUUGGCAUGAAUUGUGGCCGCUCUAAUAGGUUCCCUAAACCAUCAUCCAAGUGGGCUUGCGGAAGGUAGCGAGUUUAAAACACCUAGGGCGAUGAACAGUGGACUGUGAUGCUCACAAAAGAGAAAAGGAAGAAUUCAAUAAUUCCUAAGAAUCCAUUUGCCUGUCAUCCAAAUUUUUAUAUUCUCUUCAGUCUGACGCGUUAUGCCAUAUAUUAAAAAUAGCGGCUUCUUCCAAGCCGAGACAGACUGUGCAAAGUUCGCAAGGCCAAUCAUCACCAUAAUCUGAAGUUGGCCUCCUCAAUCGCAGCUUGUAUCCGAAUGCUCACUUCACGGGAUGGAUUGUAAUGAAAACUAAUCUCAGUCCCAGCUAUGGCAGCAUCCUCACUUGACAGCAUUUUCUGCAUAUUCUAGAACAAAGCAAUAAACCCUCAAAGGCUCCUUCGGAUCAGAGUUAGAAGACUGUCCCUCAGGAACGUGAACACUAUGGUGGUUCUGAUAAGCAGUGAUAUUGCAUUAGAGCCUUUUGGAACAAGAGGAUCUUUUCAGGUGGAAACUGUAAACUGCUUCAUGUUGGGCUGCAACCUUUUCUUCAAGCAAUACUUUCUUUCUGUAUCACGACUUAUGUUGCUUCCGGAGCCAUCCCGUGUGGACUGCCCUUCAGUGAAAGAAUAUGUGUGUUGACAUGUUGGAUUGUAAUCUUUGUUCCACUCUAAUGGCUUUUGGUCCUCCUCUUUCUCUUUAUGACAGAGAACCAUUUAGUGAUCCAUCUCUAUAUUGUAGCAUUGCUGGUGCUUUGCAAUACUACACUCUCACCAAGCAUAACAUCUAUUUUUCCGUGACCAAAGUAUGUCGGUUUAUGCAUGCGCAAACUCUUAUUCAUUGGCAAGUUGUCAAGCGUAUCUCAUGAUUUCCCAAAGCCACAAGUUCUUAUGGUCUUUCUGUUCAAGCUUACAAUGAUCUAUCUUUUCUUGGUUAUACUGAUGUCGAUUGGGCUAGUUGCCCUGAUAACAAGCACAAUACUAGUGGGUACAACACUUUUCCUGGUCCUAAUCUCAUUUCAUGGGCAUUUUCAAAGCAGAAGGUUGUGUCUCACUCCAAUAACGAAUCUGAAUAUAGGGGACUCACUAAUUAAUGUUGUUGCCAAGGUCACUUGGAUUGAAUCUGUCUUACGUGAGUUGCGUGUUUCUCUACCCCAACCACCAAUUUUGUUGUGUGACAACAUUAGUGCUACACACUUGGACAAACCAUGUUGAAAUACACUAUCAUUUUAUCCAUGAAAGGCUUAUGCAUCACACACUCAAAAUUCAAUACACCUCUUCUAUAGACCAACUAGUCAAUGCUAUGACCAAAGCUCUUCCUUCAUCUCACUUGUACAAUCUUCAGUGCAAGCUGAUUGUUCUUCCCAAACCACUCAACUUGAGGGGAGAUGUUAAGCCAAUUUAAUAAAUUGAUUUCUUUUGGUUAAUUUGUUAGAAUCAUUUUUAUUAGAGGUUUGUUUGUACAAUUACAUCCAUUUAUCAGGAGAGUACACGUGUACAACUCCUCUUUUAAUCUCACCAUUGUAUAUAUAUGAUACACGACCUUACUCAGAAUUGCAUAACAUUUCCUCUGCUCAUUCCUUUUCUUCUUUGAAUUUUCCCUUACCUCACUGAUUUUGAUUUAUACCUGGUGUUUUCACCUUUGGUCUCUACCUUUCUAGCCAGUUUUCUAAUUAAUCCGUAUAUGGUAUACCUGUCAACUAAUGAGGAGAAAGAGAAAAGGGGAUUGCUGUUCCACCAGCUACAUAUAAUAAUUAAUUACAAUCAUGGUAAUGGAUCCUGAAAUCCAUCCUUUGUGGAUUUUGUACGGAAUAUUGUUGUUAUGUAUGUGGGCUCACUUAGAUGUAUAUUGCUAGCCUGUCUGGGAAAUGUGAUUGCAGGUCCAGAUUAUGAUGUUGAUAUUAGUGGGAUAAGCAAGAGAUGCAGUUAACACGUAUGUGAUGGACUUGAGUAACUUUUCCAUUUCAGUCCAUUUUUUAAGAUUAUGCUUAGUCUUAUUACAAGGAAAGACCAUAAGAAUCAUGAGUCAUUGGCAAGGUAAUAUCAUUCCCUCUUUACAGGCUUCUUCACCUUUUGGUUUUUUUAAUAUCCAUCAAGAUCUUUUAAUUGGAGGACAAUUACAAGUAUAUAUAUAUGUAUUAAAAGGGGAAAAUAUUAAAACAGGAAAUUUUAGGGAAAAUAUAAUAAUUAUUUCUUCCUUCUUUCCCAUAUAGAACUACACAAAAUAAAACUUUAAUAAUUUUUUCUUAUCUUUUUUAUUAUUAUUUUUUCUUAGAAACAUCCGUGGUCUCACAAGCUUGUAAUCCUAGAUUGUUAGGCUCCUUUAACAGUGCCCCAACAUCGUGGUCCAAUGACAAGCUUCCACGCCUUAAAAUCAGAAAAUGCCAUUAAACUUUAUCAGACAUUACAGUUCAAGACAAAGCUUUCAUUUGCUUAAUGUGAUAAUGAAAUUGUUAAUUUCAUUUCGUGGGCAUCUAAAUUUGGACGAGCAAGACCUCUGAAUUCCCUGUUUUUAUCACCAGCAGAGGAGAUAAAAUCUUAAUGGUGAGAAUCUCCACGUGAAAUUUAUGUGUACUGUCAACAUAUUUUUGUUUAUAUAGUCCAGUAGCUGCAGGAAGUCUAGAUUAUAUAGGUAGCAGUAGCACUAUUUAUAGCACUCGAUAUUCGCUGUAUGAAUACAUUAAACCUUGUUUUCAAUACGCAUCACAAGCAAGUACUAGAUACUACAAGGAGUGACAGUCGCAUCAACAUUUCUUGAUAAUAGCAGUGACUGAUUUAUACACAGAACAGUACUGUACACGUACCAGUCACCAGAGAUAGGAUCUUAUUCCUACAUACGACUCUUAUUGAUCGAAGUCACUCAGUUGGGGUAGCCUGGAGUUGGAGGUUUGUGUGGUGGCUUCUUCUUUGGAGGAGGCUUUAUCUUUGGAGGCAUCAUCUUUGGAGGCAUCUUGUGUGAGUCUUCUUCAGCAUUCUCUACAGGAGGAUGGCCAGGCUUAUGACCCUUAGGUGGUUUGCCAACUGGGAUUGGUGGCUUGUGUCCUGAGAGUGGCUCCUCUUCUUCGGGAGGUUUGCCAACUGACGUUGGUGGCCCGUGUCCUGGGGGUGGCUUGUGUUUUGGGGGUGGUUUCACUCCACCGGGAGGUUUACCAAUUGGUGUUGGUGGUUUGUGCUCAAUCGGUGGCCUCUCAACUGGGGGGCGCUUGGGGUAAUCAGCGAGUGAAGAAGUGGUGAGAACCACCACUCCAAGCAACAACACUAGCAAGUAUGUGGAAGACAUCUUUGAGUUUGGCUCAGAUGGUGUAGAACUAGAAUCCUGGGUGGCCUUUUAUAUUAGUUGGGCCCUAUGCCCGAACGACAAGUGUCAUGGUGACACAUAAAGUGAUGGGGUCGAUUUGGGCCUACCGGAUUUGAAAACUUGGACAAUUCGAGAAGCGUCUCCUGACUCCGGGUUGUAAAGUGAAAGAUUAGGUAUCGACCAUUGAAGUAUGAUCACAACUUUUGGCCUUUGGCUCUCUCUACUGCCGUAUAGCUUUUUUCCUUUGGAUAUUUUUCUUAGCUAGACACAAUUAUUGAGCAGUCUAAUCUCGAAAUGGGAUUAGUAUAGCUUUAAGCAAAUUUAUUAUAGUUAGUGGAGGACUUUUAAGAGUGCAGACGACAUUUAACACAUGCAUGCAGUAGUAUAGGGGACAUAACACUAUUCUUUUUCCAAAGAUUCACAUGAUUUUUAUAUUAUAGUAUUGGCACAUUGUAUGUAGCUGGUUUUGUGGUUAAAAUUCCAUAUGUAGACACUGGCGUUUCUCCAUUUCUCACAAUUGAUGUUUACCUCCACGAUUACUAGAUUAGAUAUACCAAACAAUAACACAUUGUAUAAUCUAUCCGCCCUUCAAAAUCUACUGUAUGAUGAAAUGUUUCAUGUGUGUGUGAAGUGUUAGAAAUGCACUAUAGGCAACAUCAUCUUCUUUUGUCUAGGCUUGGGCCUCAAAUUAUACUCCCAUGCCAUGAUAAAUUUUCAUGUGCAUUCUCUAAAGAAGAGUGUCUUGAAUGUGCCAAAUCAUUUUGAUUGAUUUUAUGAUGUUAAUUGCUCCGCAUAUGGAUGGGUAUGUGCUUUAUUUGCUUAUUCAAUCCACAAUUACCUUGAACUGAAGUCCUAUUGGAGCUCUAUUAUUUUAGCAACGUCCUGUCAAAUAGGCUGCUAACUUGGGGUGGUAUGGACCCAAUGAUCCAUCUUAAUCUUGGGUUGAUUUUGUCUGACUCUAUCUAUCUCAGAGAGAACCAGGAUCACCAGUGCUGGUCUGCUUAAAGAAGACUCAGUACUGGAUUAAUAUUGGUUUGGGUCAAUAGCUUAUAAUGCAUUGAAUGCAGAAUAAACAAGAUCAAUGAAACCCAAAACACACUGCCCACACAACUUCACUCUGGUGUCUGUUAUUCAUCAAUUCUAUUCCCACAUGAACUGGUUCAAGUUUAAGAAAAUGACAACGGAUCCACUGUAUUAACUUGGUUUUGCUUGGUUUUGAGCUAGUUGCCAAACCAGCCAUGAGUUUUACCUCUAAUGUCAAUGAACAAACCCCAAAUGAACAACUGCAACAGCUUAAAGAGAAGGAAUGGAGAUGAAAAUCCCUGUUUCUUCUCAUUCUGGGGACAAAUUAGAACAUAACUACAAAGGUUCUAUUAAUUGACUUACUCUACCAUGAAUUAUGGUUCUUUGGUUUUCCAAAUUUAAAUUGUACAUGAGAUUAUUUUUUUCCUUUAUAUAUAAACAUAUUAAGGUUUUCUUAUUUCGUGGGCAAAUGCGCUAAGGAUGAAAGUCAUUUCAUUUGGCUGCAACAGCAUCUUAUAAUCAACAUGCAUAAGCAGCAGUUUUAAUUGAUCGAUUGAACACCGACUCACAAGAAUAGAUAGAAUGGUACAAGACAGCUCUUAUUAAUUUAUACUCGUUACUCAUUUUAUGUAGCCCCAUUAAGAUGGCUGGCUGGACCACCGAGGUCUGGGGGUGGUGUUGCUUGUGUGAUGCAGCGGGCCGGGCAGACACUUCUCUAGUUGCUUCUAUUUGGAGUUAGAGGAUCAGUCUCUGCCAACCUUGAGGACUCUCUACCUCAGAGGGUCCAGGUGGUGGACUCUGGUGUCGGUAGCUUUGAACUCUCAGUAGACUAGUGUGUCUUAAUCAGUCACUGCCAGAGGCUGGCGUAGGCAGUGACGAUAAGGUGAGACAAAUUACCGAAUAGUCAAUAUCGACUGCACUUGACCAUUAUAGAUUUGUUCUGACAAAAGUGAGAAAAGGGAGAAAAUCGGAUGUUGACCUUUAUAGAAAAAGAUAAGAUUUACUGCAACACAGAGCACUGAUUUGUUACUUGGAAACCAAGUUAUGCUAUUAGCUAGCCUCCAUUAGCAGCAGGGUACCUUGCUGCCUGAUCCUAAUCUGAGUUCCCAAGGUUUCAAUCUUCGUUUGUUAACGCUUCAGGAUUUGGAUAUUUCAGCUUCGUUUCUCCAUUUAGCCAACGCUGCCUGGUUUGGAUUUCAAUCCUCAUCUGGAACAUUCUUUUUUCGGUCUGAUUCAGGAAGUGUUUGGUGAUAGUUGAUUAAAAUUAAACAGUACUAUCAUACAAAUAAAGCUGAUCUAAUUUUGGUGGGCAAUAUACCAACUCAUUUAUUCUUGAAAACACCAUGGGGAAUUGGAGGUCCAUCCGAAGUACUAUUUGAUGGGACUCACAAAAAGAACAGGUGCACAUUUAUGAGAUCCGUGGAAGAGAUAACUAUGACAGCUAUGCAUGUACAACAGAUUUAUGUCGAGUUCACCUCGUAGAUAUUUUGUUUUCAGUGUCGGUGGACCCCAAAAUGGAAAUCGGAAAUUAAGGUUAUAUUUAUUUUUUUAUUUAAUUUUAAAUAGAAUUUUAAUUUUUAAUAAUAUUAAGUAUUAAAUUAUUUUUUUAAGGGUAUUUUAUUUUUAUUAAGUAUUAAAAAGUAAAAAAAAUUAAUAUGUUGCUUUUUUAUUUUAAAAAAAUUAUAUAUUUUAAUUUUUUCUAUUUACUAAAAAGUUUAUAAUAAAUUAUAAAAAAAUAAAAAAAUAAAAAACUUAAAUUCUGAAAAUAAAUUAUUUUUAAUAAAAAAAUCCAAAAAAGCAAACACCACCUAAAUUUGAGAUGACUCAAAAUUUUAUAUUUUUUUUCACCUAAAUUAUAUUCAUAAAUUUAAAAUUAAAAAAUUAGGAAGUUGAAUUUUAUUUUGGAUAAUUGGAAACUACAAGAAAUCAAUAAAAAUAUUUGGAAAAAAAAGAAAAAGAAAAACUAUCUAUAUAUUCACCCCCUUCUAAGAAACAUAACUUUAGUUUUUAACUAUUUUUUAAAAUAAUUUUUGAAAAAUGUUAUAUAAUAUUUUAUAAAACAAAAAAUCUGUUUGACAAUUUGAUAUGUCUUUAACUUAUUUUUAAUAUUUAUAUAUAUAUAUUUUAAAAAUAAUUUUAUAUUUAGAACUUUAUCUUUAAUUAUUAUAUAUAUUUAUAUAAUUAUUUUUUUUAAAACAACUCUUAAAAAAUAAGUGAAAGUAAUUGAAAACAACUCAAAGAUAUUUGAUGAAAACACUCUAAUUUGUAUUUUUGAGAAUAAAAAAAUAAAUAAAUAAAUUUCUAGUUAUCAAAUGUAUUUUUUAAUUCUUUUAUUCUAAAAAAUAGAAAAUCGUUUUUGAAAAUAAUUAUUAAACAACAUUCUUAAAAAUUCACUCGUUACAAUCUAGAUUUAAUGCAAGAAUGAUUGAAGGAGUCCUCCAAUAGAACCCAAAGUUAUAAACAUGAACAAGAAGCCCUAGAAACACCAAAGAUCUCAUAUGGUAUAUAUAUGAGCUUGAUUGAGAACUGUUUUAAAUUCAGUUUUUUUUUUUUUUUUUUUUUUUUGUUUUCAAAGUCAAAACAAGUUUACUUUUAAUUUUUACUUCUUUUUUUUAAUUUUAUAAAUAACAGUUUUUUAAUAAUUUAUUUUGAAAACAUGAUUAUUUUUAAAACUUAUAAUGAAAAUAGGAAUUUUUUUUUUAAUAUCAUGGUUAUUUUCCCUUCUUUUAAGGAGGGCUAUUUUAAAAAUAAAUUUACAAAUAUGAAAAAUGAUUCAAACUAAAGCAGUACAAAUAAAAAACAUUUUUAAGAAAUAUUUAAAAAUAGAGAAAAUUAUUUGAGAACAUUUGAAGUCCUUAAAUAGACUUUUGUUUUAGAAAAGGCAAGAUAAUUAUUUUUGAAAAUUGUUUUCAUAAUGAUAUGCAAAAACCUACGUAAAAACCAUAAUUAUAAUCGGCCACAUAUCAAAUCUACUAAAUAUGAAAAGUAAGUACAUAAUUAUAUUUGACUUAGAUGCAAGGAGGAAAAUGUCGCGAUAUUAUCGCCGAAAUAUCGUGUGUCGAAGGGUAUCGACACGAUUUUUCUUGCAGAAAUAUCGGCCAGUCGAUUUUUCGGGAUAAAUCUCGAGAAAUCGGCAAUUUAUCGCGAUAUAUCGGCGAUUUUUCCUCGAUAUAUCUUCUGGUCAACGCGGGUCAACGGAGUCAACACGCUACAGUGAAAGUCAAAUGUGCUACAAUGUCCCCGCUACAAUCACCUCCCCAAACAAAUUGCCAAAUUGCUUCCGAGGGGAUUUGAACCAGCCUUCUUGCCAUUUGGGCUAACUCGCCCUUAUGAUAUAUAUUGCAUUAAACAUAUAUAUACUUAAAGUCCUUAUAUAAAGAAAAUGUUAAAAAAAUAUUUUAAAGAGCAAAUUAAUUAUAAUUAUUUUAUAAUUAAAAGCAAAAUUUUCUUUUAAUUAAUUACCAAAAAUAUAAAAAUUAUAUAAUUUUCUUCAUAAUGUUUUUAAUAUCAUUAAUAAUUAAUUAAAUAUUAAAAAAUUAUAUAUAUAUAUAUAUAUAUAUAUAUAUAUAUUAUAAUUUAUUUUAUAUUGUUUAAUACAAUUGAAUUAAAUGGAUCAUAUUUUAAUAUUAAUAUAUAUUUUAAAAUUAGACAUAUUGUAAUCAAAUAUCAUAAUAUUAUAUGUAAUUUAAUAAUAAAUGUACACUUAUAAAAUUCAUAUUUUUAUCGAUGCAUACAAUAUUAUUAUCAAAUAUGAUAAAUCAUGUUAUACAUAUAUCAAAAUUUUCAAUAAAAUAACUUUAAAAUGUCUAUUAUACUUCUAAUUAUAUUAUUAUGAGGUUUUCUUUACAUUUUCAUGAGUUUUAAACAAUUUUAAGCACCAAUAUUUUUUUCCAAAAUAUCCACCGAUAUAUCUCCGAUAUAUCCAAUAUAUCUCCGAUAUCUCCGAUAUAUCCGUAAAAUCGAAGUACCGAUAUAUCCGUGAUUACCGAUAUUUUCAUCAUUGCUUAGAUGCAACCUUCUUCCAAAUGACAUACUUUAGUCAAUACUUAUAUUUUUUCGUUUCACUUCUUUGAUACAACACCUCAUGGAUUUAUUGUUUAAUUUAUUUGUAAUUAUAAAACUAUUUUUCAUUUUUAAUAAGACUUGAAUUAAUUUAAUAAAUAUUAUAUAAUUUGAAUUUAUAAUUCUUUUUAUAAAAUCAAAGUAUAUUAAAAAAAAAACAAUUUAUCCGAAGAAAGUUUUUUAUUUUUUAUUUUUUAAAACCGAUUUUAAAAAUAACUAGCUAGACACCCUUAUUUUGAUAAAAUACGAAAUAAAAGUGUAAAAACAACAUGGCCAAAUAGGGGCUUAAAUUUUAUUUUUAAAACAUUUUUUUACACUAAAGUGCAUUUUAAAAACACCAUCAAAACCAACUACAAGUUAUGCUUCUUCCCGUAAUAGAAAUAUUUUAGGCCAAAAUAGAACCUCCCCAAAUAAAGACCCUAUACUAAACUCCUUUUCAUUUUAUUAAUACAAAAGUGGGGAAAAAAGGUCUAUGCUCACCUAAAAAACAUGAAUAUUGUGAAUUCACCAUUUCUAUAAGGAAGUUGAAAACUUCAAAAUUUUAUCAACAAAUUCUCUAAAAUCCUCAAAAUAUAUAGGGCCUGUUUCACAAAGUUUUUUAAAAUUUGUUUUUAUAAAUUGCUUUUAAAAUAUAGAAUAAAUAACAGUUUUUUAGAUUUUUUGAAAAAUAAGAGUGUUUGGUAAGAUGUUUUUUUUUUUUUUUUUUUUUUUAAGAAUUAAAUAAAAAAUAAAAAAAUUGUUUAGAUAAAAGAAUUUGUAUUGUUUUUAAAAACAAUGUCUUACUUUUAUGUUAUAAAAAUUUUAUUAAUUUAAUUUAUAAUAAUAUGAAAUGAAAUUCAAGUUAAGUCUUAUUAAAAAAUACAAAUUAAAUCUAUAAUUAUGCAUGAGUUAAAGAUAAAUAUAUAUUUUUUAAAACUAUAAAAUAAAUUUUCUAUUAUAGUGAAACAAAAAUUACUAUAAAAUAAAAAUAAUUUUAAUAUUCAUUUUUAAUACAAGUCAAAUAAGUACUUUAAUUAAUUUUUUUUAUCAUGAUUUCUUAUGUUUUUUUUUUUUUCUAGAAAUUAUUUUAAGUAAUAUAACUAAUUUUUUUUUUAAUGUUUUAUAAAAAUAAGGAUAUUUGGCAAGUUGUUUUUAUAAAAGGAUUUUAAAAAUAAAUGGAUUUUUUUUUUUUUUAAAAAAAGAACAAAAUGAUUUGUUUGAAUAAAUUGUUUUGAUUUUGUAAAAACAUUUUAAAUUCAAUUUAUAUAAUAUUAAUUAAUUAAAUUAAAUUGAAGUUUUAUUGAAAAUAAAAAUAAUUUUGUAAUUAAAAUUAGAUUAAAAAAUAUAUAGGUUUUAAUAAAUCGUAAAUAGUAAUAUUAUAAUAAAAUUAUAAAUUAUAUUUUUAACAUAAAAUAUACUAUUUAUUACAUAUUAAAAAAAAUAUUUUAUUAUAUUAAUAAUUUUAUGGUAUUAAUGAGUUUAUUAUUUAAGUUUUAAAUUAUUUUUAAAAAUUAAUAAAUUUGUUAACAAAUGCAAUGUACUAAAUGUGGUUUAAUUUGGAGUUAAUUUGUUUAGGGAAAAAAAUAAAAAAUAAAAAUCUUAUGUAAAAGAGAAAUAAUAGAGUGUGUGUGUUUUUUUUUAUUAUUUUUAAAAAUCAGUAAAAAGAACUUUUACUUAUUGCCUAAAAAUUAUUCUCUAUUUUAUUUUAUUUUUUAAAUCUAGAAAUAGAUAACAAUAAUAAAAAAAAUUAAAAAAGAAAAAUGUUUUUUAAAACUCAGACUUAUAAUUGCUUUUGUUUCUCAUUCGCACCCCUGGAUUCCUGGAUUCUAAACACAAAAUUAAGUUGAAUCGUCCAUCUAUCUUGUAAGCCAAGAAUUCACAUAGAAGAAAUAAUCGGAAUUUGAUUUGAUAUCAGAUUUAGAGUGGCUCACUACUCAUGCAUUGUCCCACAAUAGUAAUGCUUUGGGCCGAGAUAAACCCAUUUGUGGGCCCAAAUAAAACCCCUGGUUUGAAAACAUCGAUUUUACAGUGGCCCAAAAGAUUAUCUAUGAGGGGAAGAUAACUUGGAAGUCAAGCAAACACAUUUAUCGCUAACUUUUCUCUAAUUAUAAAAUUAUAACUUGGUCUUCUACACGUCUCACUUAAGAGGCGGAGCCACUUGGCACUACCUUUCCAUAUUGUAAAAGGAGAAGAAGCAGAAGGAGAAGAUUCUUAUGCCAUUCCACACACCAUGGCUAGUACUGCUAUGCUGCUUGGCCCGCCGGCUCUCCGCCAUCCUAAUUCUCCCGCCGGCACUGUCUUUGAAGAUGGGGUCAUUCUAACGGAUUCCCUGAUCGUCCGCACCAGUAAUCUGGAGCUUUCUGAAAAACCGCCACUGGAAUCCCUGGCGUAGUGCUCUGUCAGUGGGGAUAUUGCUAUGGAUUGUUUGGAUUCCCAAGCCCACAAUCUUCAUCUUCCCGGGAAACCGCCGAUGGGCUUAACGGAAAACAAGUCUCCGACCUUUUUGUCUUCCGGGAACCCGUGCUUGGACUUCUUCUUCCAUGUGGUUCCCGAUACGUCGUCUGAUGAUCUGAUCCGACGGUUUGAGUUGGCUUGGGAAUUCAAUCCGCUGACGACGUUAAAACUGAUAUGCAACUUGAGAGAGGUGAGAGGCACCGGAAAAUCUGACAAAGAGGGUUUCUACACGGCGGUUCUCUGGCUCCACGACCACCAUCCCAAAACCCUAGCCUGCAAUGCUAGGGUGUUGGCCAGCUUCGGUUAUUUCAAGGAUUUUCUCGAGAUUCUCUACCGGCUUCUGGAGGGCCCUAAAAUUCGAAGAAUCGAAAAGAAAGACUGGCUGGAUCGAAAAGGAAGGAAGAAAAAUUCCCGGAAAAGGAACUCAAUAUUCAAGCGAGAAAAUAGGCCUGGAGUUGAAUUUCCUGUAGAAGAGAAGGAUGUGGAGUAUAUGGUGGAAGAAUUUGUGGAUAAAGAAAAGGCUAGGGUACUGAGAAAGGAGAGAGAACUUGCUCUUGCCAAAAGAGCCCUGCACAAGUAUUCUACUGAUUCUAAUUAUCAGUUCUUACAUGAUCAGAUUUCAGAUUUAUUUGCUGAACUUCUGAAAUCUGAUAUUCAGUAUUUAAACUCCGGUGAGCUUUACAAGAUUAGUCUCGCAUCCAAAUGGUGUCCCACAAUUGAUUCUUCUUAUGAUAAAUCCACCUUGAUAUGUGAAAAUAUUGCUCGAAAGGUUUAUUCUCGCGAGGAAUAUAUAUCCAGAAUACCAAGGAAUUGAGGAGGCUCACUAUGUUAAUAGAGUCAGGGAUAGGUUGAGAAAACAAGUACUUGUUCCAUUACGUAAGGCCCUGGAGUUGCCAGAGGUUUUCAUGUGUUCGAACCAGUGGGGAUCACUUCCCUACAACCGUGUGGCUUCAGUGGCCAUGAAAUCAUACAAGAGCCUCUUCUCAAAACAUGAUACAGAGCGGUUUGGUGUGUAUCUUGAGAAAGUGCAAACUGGGAAGGCUAAGAUUGCAGCUGGUGCAUUACUUCCCCAUGAGAUUAUAGCUUCAUUGAAUGAGGAGGAUGGCGAGAAAGUUGCAGAGCUUCAGUGGGCGAGAAUGGUGGAAGAUUUAUCAAAGAAUGGGAGGCUCACAAAUUGCAGUGCGGUAUGUGACGUAUCAGGAAGUAUGAGUGGAACUCCAAUGAAGGUGUGUGUGGCUCUGGGGCUGUUAGUUUCAGAGCUCAGUGAAGAUCCAUGGAAAGGUAAUGUAAUUACUUUCAGUGCAAGUCCUGAGCUUCACAAGAUCCAAGGAGACAGCCUUGUAUCCAAGACUGAAUUUGUGAGGAUGAUGGAAUGGGGUGCGAACACUGAUUUUCAGAAAGUUUUUGACAGAAUCUUACAAGUAGCAGUGGAGGGAAAUCUGAGUGAAGAUCAAAUGAUAAAGAGGGUUUUCGUUUUCACUGAUAUGGAGUUUGAUGAAGCUUGUGGGAGGUAUAACUAUUGUGAAUAUGACUAUGAUAUGGAGGAAAUUGAUGAGAGUCAGAAGGCAUCUCAGAAGUGGGAGACAGAUUAUGAAGUGAUACAGCGGAAAUUCCAGGACAAAGGAUAUGGAAAAGUUCCGGAGAUAGUGUUUUGGAACCUUAGAAACUCAUCAGAGACUCCAGUGAUGGCCACAGAGAACGGGGUGGCCUUAGUAAGCGGGUUUUCGAAGAAUCUGUUAGACCUUGUUUUUGGAAGGAGGUGGAAUUCUGACCCCUCAGGAUGUGAUGGAAUUAGCCAUCUCUGGUGAAGAUUACAAGAAACUUGUUCUAUUUGAUUAAGAUAUCAAGAGAUUUAUCAAUAAUAAUAUGUUUUUUUUUUUCUAUGUGAAAUACAUGUAAUAUUAACUAUGGAGUUAUCAAAGUUCUGGAAAUUUAAUUAUUUCUUCUUUUCAAGUUUUGUUUGUCUUUGUUAGGAAUUCCCCUUGGGCGGACCCAGCUGGGGACUUGGAUUGAGGAAGUAAGGAGGCGAAAUUGUGUUCUUCUAUGGACAGAGAAAAAAGAUAAAAAUAAAAAAUAAAAAAGGAGGUUAUUUGCAUUUGGAUGUCAUGUGGUUUCAGGGUACAACUACAAGUUCGAAAUUGUACAUAAUGUGAAAAUUCCUGUGUGGAGAACAGCAUAAAUAUGUAUCUCAGUGUGUUUUGUUUGAGCUAAUUGGCAAAUUCGCUUUAAACAUGGUCACAUGGAUGCAUAUUUAUUUGUGAAAUGAUAGUAGUCGAUUACUUGGUCAGUAAGGUUUGUAUCUCUAACUCCAACAUCUUAUUGUAGUCUUUUAAAAUGUCAAAAGUUUAAUGCUAGCUUGAGAAAUUUUGGAAUGGAGACAUUCUAAACAAAGUUAAUAAUCCAUGAGACUUGGUAAAACCGAUCAGAUGAUGCUUACGUACAUGAAUGCCUUCUUUAAGCCGUAUCCUAUUUUCAUUGAAUGAGACGUGCCAUCUAGUUUUGUUCUUGUCUUGAUUGGAUCAUGAUCCCGGGAAUUGAUUACUGUUCUGAAUUUGCGAAUGUUCAAGGUAUUAGAGAAAGUUAAUAUUAUCGUUAAUUUACAUAUUAGUAUUUAUCUAGUUAUUAUAUAUUAGUUUGAAUUAUAAUAUAAUAUAGAAUUUGAAUCAAGUUUACUAUUAGUUUGAAUUACAAUAGGAAAUAAAGUUUGAAUUAUAGUAUAACUCAAAUAUAUUUGUAUAUAAAUAUCCAUCUUUAUCAAUGAGAAUAGUAAACCAUAUUUUUCUCUAUCUUCUUCUUUCUCUAUAUAUAUGGUAUCAAAGCCUCCAAAUCCUAAACCUAGUCUCAACUUAGAGCAAAUUUAGGGUGCAGGGUUUAGGCCCCGCCUCCCCCAACCCUUACCACAAAUGGUAGUGACCUUGUUAUGCCUAUGUAUUGUCAAUGCCUCAUUUUCUAUGGUCUUCAAUACAAUAUCUAGUUUCAAUGUCUCUUUCCUUACUAUCUCCAAUGCAAUAUAUUGAUUUCAAUAUCUCUUUACAACCAAGAGCUCCAAAUUUUCCUGGUUCAAAUCUACCAUAAUUUUUAUUCUCCUUUGCUUUUUACCAAUAUUAGUUCCCCUAAUUUAAUAUAUAUCUCUUUAUUACCUUCAACUCUACCUCUCUCUUUCUUUAAAAGCUUCCUCAAAGAUUUGAUUGCUUUCUUGCAUGUUUUGGGAAAACAAACAUGCUCAUAUUCUAUUACCUCUACUUGAGAUCUGCCUUAUACUCUACCUUCUUCUUUACCUCCUAUAUCAUCUACUACAUUAGCUUCAAAAACAUUAUUUAGUUUGAUGCUAAAUAAGGCUCCUAAUCCUACCCUUCCUUCAACUAACUUUCUUUUACAAGUCCCUCAAAGUUUUUUUUUUUUUUUUUUUGGAAAUUUGGCUUAGAAAGAUUUCAUUACUCUUACCUAAUCUUUCAACCAUCAAGUCGAAUCCACUUAUCUCUUGAAUCCAAGGAGACUACCCUCCACAAAAACAAGGAGAUUGACCCCCACAAUAACAAAGAGAUUGUCCUCCAUAGAAACAAAGAGAGCUUCCUUCAUGGAAGCCGAAUACAUCGCAAUCUAUUUUCUUUCUCUCAAGAUCAAAUCUCCAAUCGGAGCUCCAUCUUGUGGGGAUAUAUUAGAAAAAGUUAAUAUUAUCCUUAAUUUACAUAUUAGUAUUUAUCUAUAUUAUAUAUUGAAUUAGAAUAGAAUAUAGAAUUUGAAUUAAGUUUACUAUUAGUUUAAAUUACAAUAGGAAAUAGAGUUUGAAUUAUAGUAGAACUCAAAUAUAUUUAUAUAUAAAUAUCCAUCAUUAUCAAUGAGAAUAGUAUUCCAUAUUUUUCUCUUUCCCUGAGGCUUCAGAAUGUGAUCUUGAACAUUUGAUCUUUUGGAUUCUUCUUGUUUCGGUGGUUUAAUAUAAUGGAAUGUUUAAUUAUAGCCUACUUUAUCACCAUGGAUGUGCUCCUGCAGAUUUCUUGAGGGUGAUGGUUAUUUUGUCAUGUUUCUUGAAUGGUUUGCAUCAGCUGCCUGAGCUGUUGUUGCUGGUCACUUUUGCAACCAGGGAAAGAAUCAUGGCUUUGGAGAAGCCAGCUUCUGUUUUUGUUGCCCAGCUGUUAGUUCACUAAGAUUGGGGGUCCUAACAUGUAUGUAUAAUCAUAAGCAAGGAAAUUUUAUGUCUUACGCUAGAUAGGUACCAUGAUAUGAUGUUUGAUUGAUUUAUUAACUCUACCUGUUUCAAAAGGCAUCAACAUUAAUUUUACCCUUUUAACACAUUGGAUUGUUUGACCUUACGAGAUUUUCUAUUUCUGUACUAUUUGAACUGCAAUCGUUAUGGUCCUUAGGUCUCUAAACCUUCGUUUAAAAUAAAAGUAAGGAGCACACAUAGUAAAAGUUAAUUUUGGGUAACUUUUAAAACAAAGAGAAAAGUAAAAGUUGUUUUUGAGAAAAACAUAUAGAAAUUGAAAGAUUUUUUAUUUUGAGAAAAAAAAGUCAUAGAAAAGAAAUAAUAUCCCCAUAUAAGUAGAUAUGAUCUAUCCGAAGUGUAGCUACUCUCCUGGAUUUAUUCUAACAUUUUAAAAUUUUUCUCAAUGGGCAAAGGAAUAUCAAAUCAAGCUUGAGUAGGAUUAAUUUCUUAAUUUUUAAAAUAACUUAUAAUUAAAAUUUUUUGGUGUUUUCUUUUUUGGACAAUUUUUUAUGAAGACUCUGAAUCAUGCAAGAGAUAUGGUUAUUUUAAAAAAAAAAAUAAUUUAAAACUCAAAUACAUAAUCAAUGUCACAAAUUUAUAAACAAAAGGUUUUUAAAAAAUACUAUUAUUUCCCCUCUACACAUAAUUUUACUUUUCCGAUUUAUUUAUUUUUGUUGGAAAACAGUCUUCAAAUCAAGUAAAAUUAAUAUGUUAAAUUUGUUAAACAAAUAAAUUUUAAAAUACAAUUUGGAACUCAAAAAUCAAUUCAAGUAAUGCUAAAAUUCAAAAAAUCAAAUUUGGAAUAAAAUGACUUUGUAAAUUUUUUUACUAAACAAAUGAAUUUUAAAUCAAGUGAGAUUUAAUACAUUGGAUUUUUAUGAGAAUAGUAAUUUUAAAAAUUAAUUUGGAACUCAAAAAUAGACACAAUAAAUACCAAAAAUCAAUGAACCAAAAUUGGUUUGGAAUAACUCCAUAAUUUUUUAUUUAUUUAUAUAUUUAUUUUUUUGUGCACACGAAUUUCUUACUAAGCAUAUUGCUUCCAAAUUGAGAAAAAUUUACUAUUUAGAUUUUUUUAAUGAGUUUAAUGGUAUUUAAAAAUAAUUCAAAAAUUCGAAAAUUGACUAAUUUAAUAUUAUAAAUUCAUAAACCAAGACUAAUUCAAAAUGCAUUGGGGGCUAAGGGGGUUGAAAUUAAUGCUCCAUUUGGUUGUGGCCACCAAUUGGCAAUGGCCACCAAUCAACCAAUCAAGGUGGCUAAGGGGGUUGAAAAUAGGGACAAUGGGGUGGGUUUGGGACAGGACACUCAUAUCCCAUUCCCAUCCCAAUUACACAGUUAUUUCCCAUCCUUAUUCCAAACUUGUGUUGGGGCAAGUUGAUUUGUUCCCAUCUUUGUUAACGAAAUGACUAAUAACCUCAUCCUCUCCUUGUCUUAGAUGUACAUUUUCUCAAAUUUGGUCAGGUAUGAUUGAUUCAAGCCCUAACCUUAAUUGGUAAUGAGUGGAUACCACACCUAAUUGCAUUCUUCUUUCGUUGCAAAAUAAUGAGAUUAUAAUAAUCUAGCAAAUAAGAAAAAAUAGUAUGGAAGUUCAAAUUAACACCAUAACUAUCAAUAAUUUUAAGCUUAUAGAUGACUUAAAUGAUUGAAAACUAAUGCAAAAUACUAAAAAAAAAAAAAAUCAUCUAAAGAAUUCACAAGAGAAUAGAACGAACAAAACCAAAUAGGAACAUGGGUCAACAUUAGUUACAGAUUUUGAUCCCUUUCAAGGCCAAUCUUUGAACCAAGACUUCAUCAAAUCUACUACUUCAAAGGCUUUUGUGUUCUUCUUGAGUUGUACUCUGGAACAAAGACUUCGAGGUGAUGCUUUAGAUGAUUGCAUUACACAUAUUUAGGGUAGGGAGAUUGGAGAAGCUUGAAGAUGCCAACGAUGGGUACAAUUGAGUGGUCAAUAAGAACAAUGUGGCCUAUGACUAGUUUGAUGUCAUGGUAUAGGAGUUUUGGGCAUUGAGGUGAAAGCAAGAGCAACAUGGAAUUGAUUUCAAAGUCUUUCAAUUAGUGUAAAGGAGGAAGAAGAAGUGGUAUUGAUCCUAGAAAUAGUGUUUUAGGUGUUGCAUUAGAGGAAAAGAAAAAGAAAAAGAAGGAACCAUUGGAAUUAGUACGAGUGUGAAGAGAGAAGUGUAUACAUAAGGGGAAGUAAAAGCAAAGUUCUAAAAAUUUAUUUUUUUAUUGGUGGUGUAUGGUUGCAUGAUUAUCCCUAUAAAUAAUAGGAGUUUUUUGGUGUUCUACUAGUAGUUGAAGGAUAAUUUCAUAAGAUAAUAUUUAGAGCGGGGUGGGGUGAGUUGUGACAAAAUCCAUACCCGUCCCAAACAUUGGUUCAGGUUUUUAAAAUAUUUUCAAACUUAUCAUAUACCCAAUUUUAUAUUUCAUACUUGUCCUAAUAGAGACAGGUUAGUCAGGGUUACUUGAGUAGCCUACAAAACUAUCAUCCCUAGUUGAAAUGCUCUUUUUGGCAGUGGCAGCUAGAAGCUCGAUCGAUUGACCUACAAGACUAGUUGUCAUCAUUUUAAAAAGAGUUUUGGCUUUGGUUGUGAGUGCAAUUGAAUCUAAACUAACAUUUCCUUAAUGCAUCUACUUCAAUCCUAAACUUCUUACUUAAGCCUCAAUUGUUGUUAAGAUUUUGGAAAACCCAUUUCCUUAAAUUGUAAAUUUAAGAAAAAAAAAAUUAAAAGUGAGACAUUUCUUGAUUGAAUGUUGUUAAAGGUCCCUUGGAAUUAAGACUUGGUUGAAGCCUUGGAAGAUUAGCAGAACUCUCAACUUAUGUUUGAACCUUGAGGAGAGUGGACGUAGGCCAAAAUUUUGUCAAACCAUUAUACAAAUUGAGUUUGAAUUCUCAUUUCUUGAUUUCUUAUUUAUUUGCUUUUUCUUAUUAUUACUUGAAUUGUCAUUUGCAUUCAUUAAUGUUAAAAUUGGUUAUAAUUAGCCAACACUAAUUCUCUUUCCCCUUCCCUUAAUUUCUUGGGUGUAAACCUAGGUUGGAUUAACUAGAUUUUAUCAAAUCUAUUAAGAUGGUAAAAGAAUAAUUAUUCUUAACAUACAUAAGAUCAUCUUCAAUCAAAUGACUCAUUGGCUGAUAUGUUGAAUUUGCUUAUUACUUGCAACUCAAAAUUGUGUUCUAGUUGAUAUGUCAAGUCCUGAGUGUAUGGACAUUAAAUUUGUAGUACGUGAUGAGUAUUUAGAUGGUCCAAUUCCAAGAAAGUGAUUGAAAACUAGUUCAAGAAAGGUGCAAAAGGGAAUUGUUUUGGUAUUUUCGUUUUUAUUCUUGAAGGUGGCAGAGCUAAAAUUUGAGAAAUCAAGCAAAACAUACUGAAAUUACAUUGAAAGAAAGAAAAUGGGAGUUAAUGUCUUGCAGUACAUGAUAAGGACUUCAUGCAUGUAGUGUGACCCAUGUCUUGGACUGAUGCCACACUCACGGUUACACUUAUACCCUUAGUUCUCUCUUUACUACCUUAGCUAACCUAGAUCAGGUUAUGAGAUAGGCACCUCACCACACCAUUACUUGCCCAUUAAUUAGUGACAUUUUCAAGCAAUGAGGUAACAUGGUGACACCAAGAGGGUAUAUUCCUCACCCCCAACAAGCCUAGACCUGGUCUAAAAAAAAUGGAGAAAAAUGACGUGUUGUUAUGCAGAAAUAUAGCAACCAUGCCUUCCUCAUUACUUAGAUUCAGAAUGUGAAGGUGAAAUUGAGAAACAGAAACUCUUGAAACCAAAAUGAAAAUUGAUACUUUUACGAAGAAUUACAACAACAUUAGAGGAAGACUACAUUCUUCCUCUUUAUUCCUACAUUUCUACACUACUUCUACUCCACUCCAUAUUUCUACAUACAUCUUUAAUCAGUCUUCCCUCCUUUAUAUAGAGCCAUCUUCACACAAAUUCCGCAAGGUAGAAAAGAGGAAUGAAACUUGGAGCAAGGUUCGACUACUGGCUGUAGCUUGUCAAGGCUGAAAGUGAACUUUUUUUCUUGGCUUUUCUGGGCAUAGGUAGUAACUUGUAGGUUCCUUUUUGGAAUGAAAAUGGUACGGCUAGAACAUGUGGCACUCUCUUGUUGGAUGAUGUGUCAAGCAUGUGGCAGCCAUCUAGUGGAGAUUAUGUCAAUUUUGGGAUGGAGAGUUGGCAUCCAAUUGCAAAGAAAUAUGACAUCUACCAACAUGCAAUGUCAACCUAUGUAGAUCAUAUGAAGAUAGAGAGGAAAAAUAUAGAAAUGGAUAUAUAACUAGAACUAGCUUUUUAUUAAAUGAGACGGAGAGCCAACAAUGAAGGAAAAUCAAAAUUUUUGGCUCAUAUCAAAGAAUUCACAUUGUGUUACCCUAGGUUUUCUUAAAACUUACUUUUAUGAUAAUAAAAAAUCAUUAUUGUUUAAUCCUUUGUUUUAAACGCAUGUUUAGCAGGUUGUAAAAUGUAAAUAUCUUUCGAAAUUCAAAUAUGAAGAUAUGACAUCAUUUCAAGCAAUAUAGUCUCUAGGAAUUAAUGUAAAGCUAAAUUAAGGUGCAAUUAAGUUAGUUCAAUGCAUUAUUUUAAGAAACUUGACCUAUCAAAACCUUGUCUUACUUCAAAGCCUCUUUUUCUUUUCUUCCAACUAACAUUUUAAUAAGUGAUCGCAAAAGUACAAAAUUAGAUGAAAUCCAUUUCAAUGGUUAAAAUGAUCAAAUUCAAACUUUUUCUAAGUAUCUUUUAAAAGCAUCAAUAUUGAAAGACAAUUUUAUAUUUAGUCAAAGCUUGGACAGAGCCAAAAAGCACACAAAAAUUUAUAUUUUCUAGCUCUCUACCUUGGAUGGUCUCUUGAUCCUACUUGGAGAUGUGCAUAAAUAAAAGGAUUUGAAAAUGACAAUUGACUAAGUAUGUAGUCAAUCAAUUACUCAUUGAUUGACUAGUUGAUCAAUUAACUUUGCAACAUCAUAUGCAAUCCUAAUAGCUAGUCAUCUAAUCAACUAGGUAGUAAAUCAAUAGGCCAAAAAUAUGUUUAUAAUGACUAUUUUGUACAAAAACCACUUAUAUAGUUAAAUAUAAUGCAUUUCAUUUAUAAAUCUUCUAAUUCUUGAAUAACAAUCCUAUCAUCCUUUGAAAGUUUUUAUUACACCUUUUCUACAUUUGUUCUAAAACUUAUACAUCACCCUUAAUUGUACCAUGAGAACCUAGCAUUUUUUUUUUUUUUUUUGUAUUUCAUCAAAGUUAGCUCUUGUACUCAUUGUUGUAUUAUUUUUAUUGUAACUUAGAGAGCGAGUGUUUUCAAGUGAGUGAAAUUGACUUGUAAAUAUUGUAAAGAUUCAUUGAUAUGUAUCUCAAACUAGGUGUACAAGUUGAAACAUUUGCUAGUAGAUUUUCUCAAGAUUUAGAAUGAGCUUAAGGCUAUCGAAUUAGGUGGGGUUGCGCCAAACCAUAUCACAUCGUUGUUUGCACCUUUUUUUUCACUCUCUUUUACUUAGUUGCUCUAUAUAUAUUGUCUAGCAAUAUCCUAAAGGCUUGAUGGGCUAGGGAGCAUCCCUCUGAAUGAAAAAUUUUCAUUCAAUUCUUAGUUGUAUUACGCAUAUAUAAAAUGCCUCAUUGUUUUAAUGGUAUUCAGUCGUGGCACCACAGAUAUGGACAUCUAAAUUUUAAAAGUUUGAAACUUUUAGCUAAAGAAAAUAUGGUGCUUUGCCUUUUUGGAAAGCAUGUUGAUGAAAUCCAUGAGAAUUGUAUACUUGGAGAGCAACAUCGAGAUAACUUUUUUUUUUUCUUUUUUUAUAAUGCAUUGUUUGUCCAAAUUCCGUACAAAUUAGGCCACCACAUGUUCAUAAUUCUCCCUUCUUGAAUUUGAAAACUCGGACAAUUUGACAAUGCGACACCUAAGUCCGGUUUUUAAAUGCUAAAGUGAAAGGGCAGGUAUGGACCAUUGAAAUGUGAUAACAACUUUUGGCCUUUUCCUUUUCUCUGUAGCCAUGUUGUCUCUUUUUAAUUUCUUUUGCAUGAUUUUCUUACCUAAACAGAAUCAUAGACUUGUUUAAUCUCUAAGUGGGAUUUCAUCCACCUUAAGCUACUGUAUUAUAUCUCGGUGGAGGACAACCGACAUAGAGCACAUGCAAGUGGGUAUAUGGGACAUGAAAUAUCUUCUUAUAAAGCUUGUUUUGCAGUUAAAUUAAUUGGAUAAGUAGACACUGGCGUUUCUAAAUUUCCCACCUAAGAUAAUGACCUUAUCCUUGACUGCUAGAUACACAAACAAUUAUACCUUCAAAAUCUACUGUGAAGUGCUUCAUGUAUGUGUGAAGUAUUAGAAAUUUCUUUCUUGGCAACUUGUUUUUUUCUUUGCGGUCUACUGAUAGGUUUGACUAAAAUUAUAUUCCCUGUCCUGCUAAUUAAUUUUCACGUGCAUGCUCAAAAGAAGAGUAUGACCUUAGUGCACCAAAAUCACUUUCAAUAAUUUGUGAUAAGUUUUUUUGCAUGACAUUAACCUUAUUCAUUUAGAUAAUGUUUAGUUCUCAUAAAUAUUAAGAAAAUGAAAAUAAAUAUUAAGAAAAAUAUUCUUAUAUUUGAUUGUAUUAUGAAAAAUAUCAUAAAAAAUCAAAUAUAAUUAAAAUUAAUUAAUAAUUUAUAUAUUUUAAAAUUAUUUAAUUUUUAUAUUAAAGAUAUAAUAUAAAUGAAAUGAGUUUUAAGUAUUAUAUAAAAAUGAUUUAUUUAUUUAUUUAUAUAUAUAUAUAUAUAUAUAUUUAGUUUUUCUCUUUAUUUUAUUUUCCUUAUGUUUUCCUCACAUUUUCCGGAAUCAAAGAUAGGGAAAUCCACAAUUACCUUCAACUGAGUAGAUUCUAUUGUUUUAGCAAUGUUAGGCUGCUAACUUGUGGUGGUACGAACCAAAUGAUCCAUGUUAAUCUUGGCUUGAUUUAAUUUGGCUCUAUCUCAGAGAACUCAAGGAUCACGUCAACUCUGGUUUCUACUAUUCAGGUCCAUUCCCAGAUGAACUGGUUCAAAUUUGAGAAAAUGGUAACAGACCUUUAGUGAUAUUGGUUUGGAGCCAGUUGCCAAACCUGCCCUGAGCUUUACCACUAAUGUCAAGGGACAAAGCCAUUUGAACAAAAACAAUAGCUUCAAGAGACUGAAUCGUGGAUGAAAUCUGAUCCACAUUUCUUCUCAUUUUGGGAAAAAAUGAGGACUUAACCACAAAGAUUCUACUGCCUCAUAGUGCUUUUCCUGAUCUAAGGUUGGCUCGUUUCCCAAAUUGUGAGGUGCACGUGCCACUCUCACGCUCAGGAGUGUAUCCACGUGGUGGACAUAAGAUGGUGGCUUAAUAUCUGGUGUCGGUGGCUUUACUUUACUAGGAGAGUAGUGUGUCUUCAUCUCAUUCACUGCCAGAGGGUGGCGUAAGCAGUGACGCUAAGGUGGGGCACAGUCAAUAUCAUUUGCAUUUGACCAUUAUAAUUUUCUCCCGGCUUUAAAGUAACCUUAUCGUGAUAAUGGAUUACUAGCACUAGUUCAGAUGACAGUCAUGUUAAAUUCGGACCAUGUUUGUGUCACAUUAUCAGCAACCAUGUGCUUGUGGUUCAUGCUAUCUGCAACUAAACUUGAUAUAUAACCAGGUGAACUUCAAUCUAAAUUCUGGAAGUACUCAUGUGAUAGAUGGUGCCUGUCUGCAGUGAGUGUAUCUAUAAGAGGGAAGGCUUGGCAAAUGUUCAGUUUUCUGGGAAUUCAACAGGGAUCUAAAAUAGAUUGUUUUCUUUGCUGAUUUCAAUGGUUGAAAUUUGAGAAGAUUGUGUCCACAUAACACAACUAUUACUGGUCCUUCUGUUGCAAUUUAUCCUCUAAGGCUCUAACAUGUCUUCCAAUUCCCACUUCCCACUUCCCUGUUACUCCAGGAAAGCUGUUUCUGUCAUUGUGAAGAAGAAAAGAGACUGUACAUAUCGAUGCUUUUAAGUGGACUGGAGAAUUCAUAUCAGGUGGUCUGCAGCCAUACAUGCCACUUUGUGAAGGUUGGAACAGUCAAUCACUAGGCUAUAUUAGUGGGGCCCAGCCACUUCAAUCAAGGACAAGUCUUCAUACUUAAAGUCAAAUUCUGCCUUUAGUCUCAUUAUAAAUUGCUGUUUAAAUAUCAAGCAAACAUUUGUUUAAUGCGAUUAAGACAGCACUAACUCAAUACUUGUUCUAUUUUUGGAUGCAAAUGCUUGAUAGUUUCAUCAUUGGAGGGGAUAAAGGUGCAUUCAUGAUUAUGAAUACUUGUAGUUAUAUUUUCAUUCUCUUUUUUCUCAAUGGGACUUGUUGGCACAAUUUUGCUGUUCAGAAACCUACCUCUCCAUGGAAAAUCAGUUGUGAUUGAUAUUACUGGAUAUAUUCAAGAAAGCUAAAUGUAGAUAGCACAAAAUAUUAUCGACAUAAAUAGCAUUAACAGCGUACGUAUGUCUCAAUGCUCAUCAGCUAUAAGCAAGGGGCAAACACUUACUAUGAGCAACUUACGUCAAAAUUCCGGAAUAGGACAUAGAAGUGACAGGUCAGUAAAUAUAGAACACUGCAUAUGAGUCACAAGAAAGGAAAUUACGGGUACAUAGCAGCUCUUAUUUUACAUCCUACUCAUACUGAUCAAAGUCACUCAGUUGGGAUGGGUGGGAGUGGGAGGUUUGUGGGGUGGCUUGUGCGGAGGAGUUGGCAGCUUCUUUCCAGGACCUGGUUGCUUCUCUGCUGGAGUUGAAGGAGGCUUAAUCUUCCGAGGUGGCUUGUAUGAGUCUUCAGCAUUCUCAGCAGGAGGGUGACCAGGGUUGUGACCACAAUGUGGUGGCUUCUCUCCCUUAGGUGGUUUGCCAACUGGGGUUGGUGGCUUGUGUUCCGGAAGUGGCUUCUCUUUGUGUUCAGGAGGUGGCUUCUCCACUGGAGGCUUGUGUUCAGGAGGUGGCUUCUCCACCGGAGGCUUGUGUUCAGGAGGUGGCUUCUCCACCGGAGGCUUGUGUUCAGGAGGUGGCUUCUCCACCGGAGGCUUAUGCUCUGGUGGUGGCUUCUCCACCGGAGGCUUAUGCUCUGGUGGUGGCUUCUCCACCGGAGGCUUAUGCAAUGGUGGUGGCUUCUCCACCGGAGGCUUGUGUUCAGGAGGUGGCUUCUCUACCGGAGGCUUAUGCUCUGGUGGUGGCUUCUCCACCGGAGGCUUAUGCUCUGGUGGUGGCUUCUCCACCGGAGGCUUGUGUUCAGGAGGUGGCUUCUCCACCGGAGGCUUGUGUUCAGGAGGUGGCUUCUCCACCGGAGGCUUGUGCUCUGGUGGUGGCUUCUCCACCGGAGGCUUAUGCUCUGGUGGUGGCUUCUCCACCGGAGGCUUGUGUUCAGGAGGUGGCUUCUCCACCGGAGGCUUAUGCUCUGGUGGUGGCUUCUCCACCGGAGGCUUGUGUUCAGGAGGUGGCUUCUCCACCGGAGGCUUAUGCUCUGGUGGUGGCUUCUCCACAGGAGGCUUGUGUUCAGGAGGUGGCUUCUCCACCGGAGGCUUAUGCUCUGGUGGUGGCUUCUCGAAUGGGGGAUGCGUAGGGUAAUCAGCUAGUGAGGGGGCGGUGAGAACCACCAGGCCAAGCAACACUACUAGCAAGUAUGUAGGAGACAUCUUUGGGUUUGGGCUCAGAUGGUGCAAAACUAGGAGAAUUGGCUAGCCUUUUAUAGCGGAUCGUACCCAAUAAUGAAAUGACACGUGUCAUUAUGACCCAUGUGUCAUGUGGUCGAUUUGGGUCCUACAGUGUUGAAAACUUCGACAUCCACUUUUUUGGCCUUUUGCUUUCUCUACAGUCGCCUUGCUUUUUCCCUCUUUUCUUUUGUUUUCCUCCUGCCCCAUUCUAUCAACUAAUCACAAUUAUGUAGUUGUUUAAUUCUUAAAUGAGAUAUUAUCCGUCAAUCAUAUUAUCUUUUAUCAAGAGAGAACGGAGUGAAAAGUGGCAAUCCAAAGAAAGAAGAUCCAUAAUGCAGCUGUAAUUUUAUCGUUUACUUUUAUCUCUAGGACCACUGCAUUUUUGUUGAGAGGUGCAAUAAUACACGUCUUUAUCUGCCAUUCAAUGUUUACAGUAAAGAGAGGGCACAAAACUCUUCACUGCUCUGCAUGUGCCCCAAAAAUGCAAUUGGACAAAUUAUGAUUUGCAUGCUAAAAAGAGGCAAAUGAGGUUAAUUAGCACCAAAAUUAUUUUGUUUUCUGGACACCCCGGGGCCCUUUGGUUGGUUUGGGGGUCAGAAAAUGAACAUCAUAGGGGGUUUUUCCCUAAUGUGCAUUUGCAUUUGUAUCUGAUGGCUUUAACUCGCCUUGUUACUACAAAGAAAUUGUCACAGAUAGGAACUUAUUCCAGGCUGAGUAUCUCCGCAUGGACCCUAUAAAAGAAGACAAGUCAUAAUGAACAUCUAACCUUUGUUCAAUUUGAUUCAAUGCCCCUAUUGUGUCCAUCUCACAAAUCUGAAUUAUUAUAUCCAUUGAAUACAUAAAUUAAUGAAGAAAAUAUGAAACCCAAGAUACAUCUCUGCACAACCUCAACCCUGGUUGCUAUGUUUCACUUCUAUUCACAUGAGGAUAUUGAUUACGGAAUAAGGAAACCUAGCAAGGGUUUACUCGGCUCUGGUUUGAUGCUAAUUGCCAAACUUGCAACAAGCCCUGAGUUUGACACCUAAUCGAUGGGCGAAUUAAAAGUCUCCUCCAAACAUAUAUUCCACAGCUUGAAGCUCACAGAAGAUGCUAUACAGGCAGGGAAAAACCUUCAGAGUUAGCUACCAAAGAUAAUUAUCAAGGAGAUAUCACCAAGAGAAUUCCAUGGAGUCUGAAUCAAAGACAAAUUGCUCGCUCGUGGGGGUUCUUACUUAAUUUCUUUUGGGUAUAACUCACUGAGGGCACUGGCUUUGUUAUUUGCAUUUCGCAUUUAGAGUUCUGUUCUGGAAGGUUUGUUCUGGAAACAUAUAAAAGGAGCAUCAUUUUGUUCUAGGGUAACCCAUAGUUGUGAGUGGGUCCAUUUGCAUGCUACUUAGUUGAAAAGUUGGACAAUUUGCUCCGACGCCUACCUCCUGGAUUCCAUGCUCGGAUAAAGCAAGAAUAAUAAAAUAUUUAUAAUUUACAAAUGGGGGAAAGAAAAAAAUGUCAACAACAAACUAGGAAAAAAGAGUAGUAAAAUUUAUGCCACAUGCUAUUGAUAGAAGGGGCAUGUAUUAGAUCCAUCACCAUUUGGUAAGAUUUUAGUAUUAUAUUUUUCAAGGUUCAUUAUUUGAGGGUGUGUUCUUCAUCUCUGUUGCAUUGCUUCUUACUAGGCCCACUGAGGUGGGUUCUUCACCUUUUGUAUAUUCUCUGCACUAGAUCAAUGAGAAAGGGGGAAUUUUGGUGAAUUUGCAGCCGUUGGAUGAUUGAUUCUAGGCUCAGUCCACCAAUGAUGCUCUCUUCACUCUUUCUCAUCUAGUGUCAUUCACAACUAUGUUUUGAUUCAUAUUUGUACUAUCAAAGAUAUCUCAUUAUUCUAGCUCAUUAGGUAGAGUUCCUAAUCUUCCUCCUUUUUGGUCUAUGGACAGUAUUGGCUUCAUAUUAAGAUCAUGUUUCAAUAAUUGCACAUUAAUGAAUGGAUCAUGACCCACAUAAACAGAGUCAGGGUUGAGUCAGUGAACCCUAAAAUUUCACAAUUCUAAAUUUGGGUUCUUUAACAAUGCAGGGUCAAGGACGCGUGGUGAUGAAGGAAAGCUGGUAAGCUCAGUGUUACUUCAAUUCCUGCCAUGUAGGAUGGUGAGGAGAUAUUCACUAUGCAAUUAAUAAUAGACAAUAUUCACUAUGCAAUAAUAAAGCAUAAAUUAAGUUGAAUGAAAAGCAUUUUCUUUGCAAGGAGUUGAUUUUGGUUUCAUAGUUUGUUCAACUGCUAUUUUGGAUAGGAAAGUGUGAGGAGAAGAAAAUAAAAAAUAAAAAUAAAACAAAAAAUAAAAAAUAGAUUUUAUAAAUUCAUUUAAUUUAUUUUUUUUUUAUAAAAAUUAACUAAUUUAAAAUAUAUGUAAAUUUCUAAUUAAUUUAAUUACAUUUUUUUUUUCAGUUUUUCAUAAUAAACCAAAUAUUAGAAAAUUAUUUUUAUUAAGACACCCAAGAUGAGGUAAUAUGCAAUGAAAACAUGAAUUAUAUUAAAAUUCAAAACAAAUUAAGAGAAAUCGGAAAAUAUACAUAGAUAUCUAAACAAAGAAAUUUAAAGAGAAGGAACCACAAACUUUAUUUACAUAAUUUGAAAAUAAAAAACAUAAAACAUACUUAUAGUAAGGAGAAAUUGAAUAUCUUACAAUGGAAGAAGGGAGAAAAGCUUUGAAGAAAGCUUUUGCUUGGAAGCUUACAUGGUGAGAGGUAGAGAAAGGAGAGAGAGAGAAGAAAAUGAAAAAUGAGAAGUGGAGAAAAUUGGAAGUUUUGUGUGCUUACAACUGAGGAUAGAGCCUCCUUAAAUAGCAAAAAAUGGAAUAUUAAAUAGUACCAAUCAGGAGACAAAAUAUUGUUUGCUUUUGAAACCCGUGCAUGAAUAGUAAUCCCGUGAGUGAAUAGUGAAUAAUAAAAGUGAAUAGUAAAAGUCACUUUCUACUAUAGCACUUUAGACUUUUUCAUCGAGAAUCUUACUUUCGGCUGAGUGAUGAUAGCUGAUAGGUUGCUUUGGAUUGUGGAGUCAUAUGUUUGAUGUUUUCGGUGCUGAAACCGCUUAGUUGGAGAAUAAUCUCGUCAGUAGAGCAUCAUGAGAAGCUUGAAUGGAGAGAGCUUAAUGAUGCCAUAUGAUUGGAAGGAAUCCUAUUUUAAUUUCCUUAUUGGAGGGAGAAUACCCUCACAAUCAUCUUCAUUAUCUUGAAGGUAGUUUGAUAUAGAGUCAUCUGACUCAGCAUAAGAGUCCUCUUGGGAGAAGCUUGAACUGCUUUUGUCAAGGAUUUUCUGAAAUUCUUGAGGGGUUUUUGCUAUUGCUAACAUGGUUUGGAGUUGCUGUUUCUUAAGAAGAAACUGUGCAAUAUCAUAAGAUGAUGAAGCUUGUGUAGGAUGCUUUAGGAAAUAUUGCUUUAUUGCUUGUAGUGAGGUAUCAUUUUUCAAGGCAUCCCACCACUUAGACUUGAAAGUCCUUCCAAGGGUUGGAAAGGCUGCUGAUUCAUCUGCUAUAAUGAUAUAAUCCCACUGGACUAUCCAGGCAAGGCCAAAUUCACUAAAAAAGAAUAAUAAUUGGGGAAAACUGAAAGUUCUCUAGGGAUAACAAAAGAACUUUGGAAUAGCUCAAAGCCAUCCAAAAUGGGUUUUGGGAGAAUUUUAAUAGUUGGACCAAAAUAUGUCCACCAAUUGUGGAACCAAAAUGGAAAAGAGGGGAGUUGAUGCUUAGAUGGGAAAUAGAACAUCCCUGAAUGAUGGAAGUCCUUGUUCUGGAUCAGAAAAGCAUUGAACCAUACUCUUUGGUAGUCUCAAUAAUUGAAAAUUUUAGGUUUUGAAGGCUUAGAAAAUUCUCUUGAAAAAUUAGGAUUCCCACCCCACUGCUUAACUGUAAGGAUUUUAUAAAUAUGGUAAGUGGAGAAUGCCAAAUCCAAAUUGCUGAAUUUAUCAGCAUUGUGCUUGAUUUUAACAGAGCCGGUUUCCAUAAGGAUUGCUUCAUAAAAUUCUCUUGUUUUUAAAAGAUCACCAAAGGGAUAAUGAAAAUUUUCAUGAAAAGCUUUUGCUGCAAUAUCUCUAGGGUUUUUAGAGAAAAACUCUUUUUCAAUAACCAAAAGAGGUUGAUUUAAAUCUUUUUGCCAAUAUCUUGCUUUUGCUGAAAGAGGUGUGGGGUUGGCUACCACCACAAUUUGCUUAUUUGAAAAAGAAGAGCUUGAUGCUAAUUCAUUUUGAGAGGGAUUAGCUUUAGUAACCUGCUUAAAGGUCUGAGACACAGUAAUAGUUGGAUACUGAGUAGCCUUGACUGGUUUAGAAGGAUUCGAAGGAUCAUAGUACAAGGACAAAAUCUUAUUAGGCAUAUGGUCAGAAGAAUGAAGCCUUGCUUCUUCUUCUAGCUCAACUUGUUGGCUCCAAAGUAUUUUAUGGGGAGAAGGUUCUUUGCUGGUUUUAGAAGACUAGGAUUCUGGAAGUUUAGGAGCUUGGGUAUUCUUUUUAGGGGCCAUGGUUUCGUGAAUCCUGUAAAAUUCACAAGUUAAGAAAUCAGGGCUCGAAGAAUGUUCUCCUUUAAUAUACUCAAUUUGUAAAUUAAAAUUGCUUAAAAUAGCUUGAUAUAUAGCAAAAAUAUGCUUAGAAGUUAUAUUCUUAACAUCCUUUUGUAAAACUAAUUUUGCAAAUUUACAAUCAACUCUUAAUAAAAACUUUUGAUUCAAAAGAUCAUCUUGAAAUUUUGAAAUGCAUAAAACAACGCUUAAAGUCUCUUUUUUAAUGAUGUUAUGAAUGAGUUGGGUAGUAUUCCAGGUUCUUGAAGUAUACCUAACUAACAUCUCAAGGUUACCAACACUUUGCUUAAGAAUCCCACCAUAACCUAUGUCUGAGGUAUCGAUCCCAACAAACUCAAAGGUUUCUGGAUUGAUAGAGCCUAAACAUGGUAGGGUCUUGACUUUGGACUUAACAUCAAUAAUGAAAACAAUGGUGAAAACAGAAAACUGGUUAAAGUUUUCAUCCAUUAUAUUCUGGAAUUCUGAGGUGCAUUCUUAAGAUCAAAGGGCAUUAUGAACCAUUCAUAAUGUCCAAGAGAUACCACAAAGGUGGUCUUAUUUGGAAUAGGACACCUAAUCCAACUUAAUGUAUCAUUAAGAGGCAUGUAGUUGACGACUAGUCUAGGUGUUCCUUUUUCUGAUUCAACUUGUUCCUGAACAUAGAAGGUUGAACAACUCCAAAGGGACUUAGACUUCCUUAUCAACUUUUUAUCAAGAAGAUCCCAAAUCUCCUUAUCACAAUAGCUUAACAAACCCUUGUUCAUCUGGAUAGGUCUUGAUUUAGUGGGAAUAUUCUUGUCACUAAAGUCUAGUUCAUAAGGUAAUUCUACCUCAUGUUGUUUCCUAUGCCAAAAUGCAUUAGGAAUGUUAGAGCAAACUUCUUCAACAAUCAGAUUAAUUUCUUGCUCAUGACUUUCCUUAGCUUGAAUCACCUGAUCCCUUAAGGUGUUUAUAUUUUUCUUAUUAGGUGGUUGGCAAAUUCAAAAAUAAUUUCCUUAUCUAAGAGCUUUGUUCUUAUACUUUGGUCAUCUACCCACAUGGGAUAGAUGGAGCUUAAAAAGGGGAUUCCAAGGAGAGCUUUCUCCUUAAGAUCCUUAACUAGAAUGAAGGUUUGCUUGAUGCAAAUGCCUUGGUUAUUUAUGUGAGCAUCUGACAGCUUAUACUCAAUGUCAAGCCUUUUACCAUUAGCUCCAAAGAGAGAUUCUUUGGUUUUCUUACAAAACUUAAUAGGACCUAGACCUUCUUGUAGGCAAUUCAAAGCUGUUCCUGAAUCAAUCAAAGCAACAAUAUCAAUGACAAAUUUACUCUUAAUUACUAUAGUAAGGGAGACUUUCCACCUCUGGAAAAUAACCCUACUAACAGUAUUUAAGUAUCCAUCCGUCUUUUCAUCAUUAGCAUGUGAAGAUUCUAGAACCUCUUCAAGGUUUUCCUAGUUAUCAACAAGAUUUUCUAUAACAAUCCUAUUUAUUUGUUCUUGGAGAUCUGAAAAACCUAAGCUUGUGUAUUGUCUUAAAUCUUUAAUUUCCUUCUUAUACUGUCUUACUUCUUCUUGAAGAUCCUUAAUGGUUACGUCUUUGGUAGACUACUGGUUAAAUCUUCCUAAGAUUUCAUUUAAGUUAUAAGAAUUUACUGUCUUCUUAAUCUCUUGCUUAUCGACAAAUUUCUUAAAAACUUCAUAAAGAUCUUGUUUAGUUUUUUCAUCUUCAACUUUCCUUAAAACAUCUAGGACAAGUUCUUGAUCUUGGCUUAUGACAUUUAUAGUCUUAGGUUGGCAAUCACAAUUAUCCUUAAUGUAUUCUUCUUGGUCACUAGAAGUUUGGCUUGAGAUUUCCUCACCACUACUAUCUAGUUGGUUAAUACCAUUUUCAUUAUCUGAAUCAAUCCUUGAUUCAGACUCUGUGGAAUUUAACAUUACUUUACAAAGCAUAUCUUUUAAGUCUUCUGUGACAUUUAAGUUAUUAAUUUUCUGCUUAACCCUACAAUCUUUCUUAUAGUGGCCUAUCUUACCACACUUAAAACAAACUGGCUUAGAUUGUGAAGGAGCUUCUAGCUUUUUAUGGGCUUCUUUGUUCAUCAUUCUUUGGAUGUGCCUUUGUUUCUUAGUUUCAUUCAUCCUAUAGUUGCCAUGAGUUCCUCUCUUGUUGUGAUAGGACUUUUCCUUACUAGGCUUUGUACUUACUUGUUUCUUACGUUGCUUAGAGGGGGGCUUAGUUUCUUUUUGGUUGAAUCCAAACUAGCUACAAAAUGAACCAAACUCAUUCUUGUAGAUCCUUUGUUCAUUUUUCAUCUGUUGCUUAAGCUUAAAGUCAUUGCACAGUUUAAUUGCUUCUGAUGUGACAAUGCUUAUAAUUUCUCCAUAAGAAAGCUUAUCAUAAGGGAUUUGUCCAUUAAACUGUUCCCUUAUCUUAAUCCUAAUCCUCUCAGAGAAAAGUCUAGGUAGUCCUAAGAUGAAUUUUUCUUUCCAAAAAGACUGGUUAUAGUUUGAUCUUAGUAUGACUUUGGUUAGGAAAACUUCUCUAUACCAUCUAAAGUCAUGAAGCUUGGGACACUUAAGGUUGGUUAAGAGAUCUACAAUCUUAUCCUUAAUCUUUGCAGGAUCUCCAAUGAAGUGCUUUGAAAUUGAAUAGAUUAGAGUAGCCACUACAUCCUCUAUAUCUUGUCCAUCUUCAUCCUUAACCACUUCAUUUUCCUCAUUAAUCCUAUAGGCUUUUAGGAUACCAUUUCUAUCCUCAAAGGUGAGAUAAUUAUCCCACCAACCCUAAAGUUGACCUGUAAACCCAACAACAAUUGUUUGAGCUACAGCAUGGCCUGACAAUCUAUUGUUUAACUUAUAGGUUGUACUAACCAUGGUCAUUUCUUGAAGCUUAGUGAGUAUGUUGUACUCAAUCAUACCAUCUAUGUUCCAUUCAUAGAUAGUGUCACUAGUGUAGGAAGCUUGAGUAUGCUGGUUUCUUUCCUCAUACUACAUAUCAGGAAAAGUUGGUCUAGGGUAGUAAUUCCUAGUUCUUGGUUGUUGAUAAUCCUCAUAACUGUUUGGUUAGGAGGUUCCUUAAAAAUCUUAAUUAGUUCAUCAGCCUCUGCUUCAGAACUAAUUUCUCCUUUAACCAUAUUGAUUCUCUUGUGAGAUGGUUGAGGUGUCUCAGAGACAACAAGGCUAUCCUUAACCUUUUGGCUUAUCCUAUCAAUGAGGGCUUGAUCAAUAUGGAGAUUCUCUAGGAAUUUCUUAGAGAAUUCAAAAGGCUUAAAUAAAGACUUAUUAUCUUUCUUAACAAACGUAGUCUUAAUGUAGUCUUGUGUUUCAAUGAUAUCCUCAAACUUGUUGAGUUGAUCGCCUGUAGUCUUAAGAAACAUGUUAGUGUAGUUGUUUUGUUCCAUGAUUCUUCUAACGUCAACAACACUAUCAAUUCCUUUAUUCUUUGGCCUAGUCUUAAAAGGUGAAGCUUUGACUAUGGUUCAAUUAAUGUUCUUUUAUAUCUUAGCUUCUAGAGGGUGGAUGGAUUCUAUGAUAGUAUCGUCACUAGUUUUCCAUAUCUUAGUUUUUUUGGAUGUGUCAUUGACACGCUUACUAGGGUAAUCUAGAUAUUCCUCUUGUUUGAAGAGUUCAAACCAGAUCCAAUACUUAAUGUUCUUCUUUUCUUGUCUUAAGUAUGUGUAGAAUUCUUCUUGGUAGAGGGUUCUAAUGUCUUUAAGGACCUUGCUAAAGAACCAAACUCUCCUUUUCUUAUUGACUUCAGAAUAGAAGUCUUUCCUUAAGAGGUCCUUGUUGAUUCAAAGUCUUCGUUAAUUAGGCUUACAGUGUUAAUCAACUGAGAAUAAGUAGGAGACAUAUCAGGAGAUUCGUCCUGAUGUGAUUCUUGAGUAAACUCAUUUUCCUCCAUGUAAAAGGGUUUGGCCACGUUGGUGUGACUUCUAACACCUGUUAGCUUAAUAUUCUUAGGAUUUGCUGAACUAGAUCCUUCCUCUAUCCUAGUGGUUCUUAUUGGGAUAGAUGAACUUGAAGCUCUAGAGGGCUCAUAAUAUGAAAUUCUAAGGCUGCUAGAAUGAUGAAAAGAGUUGGAGAAAAUUAGAUCUCGUUCUCCAUCAGGAUAUUGAACAAUCUGUUCAAUUCUUUCAGAUCUUUGCUCUAUGGCUGGGACAACAUUAGCAAAAUGCCAAUUUUCUGGAAACUCAACCUCAUUCCACUUGAUUUUCAUGGGGACUAUGAAAUUAGACUUGUUUAUCAUAUCUAAGUGGAAGAUAGUGGUUUCACCCUUGGGACUGGUGCACAAUGCUCCAAAUCCAACGCUUAUGGUCAUGCUCUUAUAGGCAAAUCUGGUGAUGAUGGAAACAUGAUUGUUUCCUUGCUUGAACUUAAAGUCAUGGGUCUUAACAUGAAGGACAACUGAAUCUAAGAUGUUGACAUCUCUUAGUCUAACUGUGAAGUUAGGGAAACACUGGAAAUAAACAGGACCAUCAUUUAAUCCUGCUUGGGUAGCUCCAAUAAUAGAAUCUCGGUAAUCAAGAUGUCUAUUAUCUCUUAAACACAUGACAAUAAAGGUGUUUAGACCUAGUCUUGUCAAGGGCUUAGCUGCAACUUGAAUCAUGCCAAAGUGUAUGAAGUUGUAGUCUCGCUUAUGCUUAUCAAUGGACUUACUAUCCAAGAGUCUUAUGACUUGAUCGUCGUGUUCUAAACUUACUGACAUUUCAGGGGUUUUAAUGGUGUAAUCUGUAAAGAACUUAAAGGUUCCUUUCUUAUAAAUUUCUUGAUUAGGUACCUUGGGUAACUUCCAAUCAUCUAAAUCAUCUUGGAUCUUAGGAUAAUUGAUCUCUUCAUUGUUUACUCUUGAGAAUUUGUGGAUUUCCUAGACAUGGUUCUGAAAAUCAAACUCAUUUUAAGGUUUUAAUCUAGAGCCUAAUAGCAGAUUAACAGACCUAGUGAGUAAUCACCCCAACCCUUUUCCAACCUUAACAAACGCCUAUCUCCAGCUAACAAUGGGCUCAACUCGGCAAGGAUCGCACUCAGGCACACUACUAUCUUUCCUAGGAUAGAUCAAAACACCCAAAACAAACCCGACUUCCUUUUCCUAGGAUAUAUAUAGUAUUUUGGGUUUGAGUAGGAGUUCAUGUUUUGUAUGUAAUUGUAGUCUACGUUGGACUAGGUUGUUUGCUCCUAAUUGAAAUAGGAAUGGUUGGUGUCACAUCUCAUUCAUUUUCUCAUCUAUUUCCAUGUUUAGAUAACUCAAGUAAUCAUAGGAAUGAAAUUAAGAAUGAUUUGAGGGAAAUGAAAUCUCACUUGUAAGUGGGAUCUCAAUUCAUCAUUAAUAGAAGGUAUUUUGAUUACAUAGUGCAAGUUAUUUUUAAAAACACUUUUCAAAAAUUGAAAAACCAAAAACUCUCUUGGAUAAGUUGUUUUUAAAAAGAAUUUUUGUAUUUUUAUUUUGUAAAAAAAAAAAAUAGUAAUUCAAUUUAUAUAAUAUAAAUAGACUUUAAUUUUAUUAAAAAUAAAAAUAAUUUUUUAAUUACAAAUAAAUUAAAAAAUAAAUAUUUGUAAUAAAAUAUGAAUAGUAAUAUUAUAAUAAAAUCAUAAAUAAAUUAAAAAUAUUUUUAAAAACAAAUAAGUUUAAUUUUUUUGAGGUACAAAUGAGCCAAAUUUUUCAUUAGGUACACAACCAACAAUUUUUAUUGGAAACAUUCCUCAAAAAAGAAUUCGUUUCCCAUAUAGCAAAGAUAUUUAUUAUUUAGUAUCUAACCAUCCGUAGUAAUCAUAUCAAUUCUACUAAGUUAUUUAAUAAUUCAUUUAUAUAUAGUACUCAAUUAUGAAUUUUUUUAUUUGAUGUAUAAUUAAUUAAUCAAUGUUUUGAAUUUUGAAUUAUUCUUAAAAUUUAAAACAUUAAUUAUGUCUAUUACUUUUUAUAGUCAUUAUAUAUAUAUAUAUAUAUAUAUAUAGAGAGAGAGAGAGAGAGAGAGAGAGAGAGCUUAAAUUUAUCUUUAAAAAUUAUUAAAUUUAUUAAUAAAUUCAAUACAAAGACUCAUUUGAUUUGAAAUUCAUUUCUUUAGUGAAAAUUUUGAAACUAAAUAGUACUUUGUUUUACUUUGUUUUUAAAUCAUACUCACAAAUAAGUUUUUAUCAUUUAGCCAAAAAAUCUCAAAGAUGUUUCUAAUUUUAUUUAUUUAUUUAUUUGUAAAUGAAAAUAAAAAAUUAGUUUAAACUAAAUAUGCGGAUAUUAUUGUUAAUUUAUUUCAUUUUUUAUUUCCAUUGUUAUUUAACAUUGAAACGGAAACAAAUAAUCAUUCCAAUCUUACAUUCUUAUAUGCAUCUAAACACAAGAAUUGAAAUCACCAAAUUCAUAUUCAAGGCAAAAUAGAAAUGGAAAAAAAAUAUUCAUUUUCAUUCCUCAUUCUCAUGUGCUAAACAUGACAUUAGUUCUACUACCUAUUUCACCAUUCUUCUUGAUAAAUUUGGUAUAUGCAAUAUUGAUCUAAGUGUGAGGUGAAUAAGAAUGAUGAUGGGAUGGGCUUGGAAAUAAGGGCAAAGUUUCUAGGUGCUAUCUAGAGGGGCAACGCGACUUUUUCAAAUUUCGAAUAUUUGUUCUCAACAUAAAGCAAAACUUUACUCACACAAUAGAUAAGACUCUGUUUGUUUUCUUCAUCCACGACUAUAUAAUGUAUAGCUCUUACUCAAGGGAUGAGCUACUUACUAUUAAGGAUUGGGUAAGAUAUUGCCUAAUGGCCAAGAAGGCAUGUCAAAAAAUAAAUCUAAUCACCAUAAAAAAUAAUAGGGGAAAAUUAAUAUAUUAUGAAUGAUGACUUUACUAUUUCUCUAUAUACAUAAUUAUAUAUUUUGAAUUUUCUCACUAGGUAAUGAGAUUCUAAAUCAACUGAAACAUAAUUAAUAAUUUAUAUUUUUAAUGAAUCUUUUAAUUUUUAAAAAUAAUUUAAAAUUUUAAAAAACAAUUCAAUUAAUUACAUAUUAAAUCAAAACAUUUCAAAAUAUUGUGUUUGUAGAUGAGUACUAAAUGCUUGCAUAUAAUAAUAAUAAUAAAAAAAUUGACUCAUUUAGAUGUUAAAAAAGUUAAAUGUUUUUCAUUAUUCAUUUUAAGUAAAAUAUUAUUGACAUUAUUAUUAUAAAAUUAUUAUUAUUCAUUUUUAACAAAAAACAAAAUAAGUUAUUCUUUUACCAAGAUGUCAAUAUCUAUAUUUUUCUAACAUAUAUUAAAAUAGUAUACUUUUCUUUUAUUAAAAAUAAUAAUUAUUAUUAUAUUAUUAUUCAAGUUUUAUUAAAAAAAUUUAUCUUUUAAUUCAUUUGUAAUUACAAAAUAAUUUUAUUUUAUUAAGAAUUUAAUUUAAUUACGCUUUUUUUUUUUAUAAAAAAAACAGUUAUGCUUUUACCAAGAUGUUAAUAUUCAUAUUUUUCUAGCUAACAUAAAUAGAAUAGUACACUUUUUCAUAUAAAAAAAUAAUUUAUGAUUUUAUUAUAAUGUUACUAUUCACAUUUUACUAAAAAUAUUUAUUUAUUUUAUUUAUUUUUAAUUAUAAAAUAAUUUUAUUUUCAAGAAUUUAAUUUUAAAAAAAUAGAAAUCAUUUAUUCUUUUACCAAGAUGUUAAUAAACAUAUUUUUCUAACAUAUACUAAAAUAAAAAAGUUUACUUGUUCAUUAAAAAAUAUAAUUUAUGUUUUUAUUAUAAUACUACUAUCUAUGUUCUACUAAAAAUAUUUAUUUAUAAUUAAAAAAUAAUUUCAUUUUUAAUAAGACUUGAACUAAAUUAAAUUUAUAAUUUUUUUUUAAAAUAAAAUAGAAAAUUAUUUUUUAAAAACAACUUAUUGAAAGAAAUUUUUUAUUCUUUACUUUUAAGAACUGUUUUUAAAAGCAACCUAUAAACCCCUUUGGGUCUGUUUGGCUAUGUUUCAUGCAACUUGUUUUUAAAAAUUGUUUUUUAUUCUUUAAUUUAAUUUUUUUUAAGUUAAAGAAUAAAAAACAACUUUCUAGUGUUUUAUAAAAAUGAGAGCUUUUGACAAGUUGUUUUUAAAAACCAUUUUUAAAAAUAAAAAAUAAAAAACUUAUUUAGAUAAAUUGUUAUAUAUAUAUAUAUAUAUAUAUUUGUAAAAACAUUUUAAAUUCAAUUUAUAUAAUAUAAAUUUAAUUUAAUUUAAGUCUUAUUAAAAAAAAAUUGUUUGGAUAAGUUUUUUUUUUUAAAUAGUUUAUUAUUUUUGUUUUGUAAAAACAUUGCAAAUUCAAUUUAUAUAAUAUAAAUUAAUUUAAUUCAAGUCUUAUUAAAACCAAAAUAAUUUUAUAAUUACAAAUAAAUUUAAAAAUAAUUUUUUUAGUAAAACAUGAAUAAUAAAAUUAUAAAUUAUAUUAUUGUGGACCCUGCAUUUAUGCUCAUGCGCUUCCACUUGUUGGCGAACUCAUUUUUUAUUUGAAAAUGAUUUAUUUUUUUAGAAAAUGACUUAGAGUCGCCACUUAUUUUUGUUUUAUUUUUAAAGGGCAAGCAAAAUAAGAAAGAAAACCCUAAGUGUGACUCCUUAUUCGAAAAAGGUAGUCUGUGUAAAACCGGAUCAGGGUUCAGGGAUCAGGUUACUUAUUGGGAAGGUAUGACAAUGACCGUAGCACUCCUCUAAGUCCUUAAAAACGGGCCUCUACUAAAAAAAAUAAAGUAAUCAUGGCAAUCAGUAAGGAAAUCACUGGAUACCCAGAACAAUUAUGCACAUGUGAGAAUUAAAACAUGCAUAAGAAUGGACAAAGUGAGAGUGGGUGCGUACCUUGACAACGAACCACAAUGCGUUAUCAAGAAAUGGGGUUAGUGCACGAUCAAUGAACAUAAAACACGUCACACAUGUCACUAAGCAGAGUGAGAAAUCAUCAGAUAUUACAAUUCAAUCAAAUUUAUUUUUAGAAGAAACAUCUGUUGAUGUAGAGCCCCUACCAAAGCCUAAUUUAUUUUUGCAUGAAUCAAUUUCAUAAAUUCAAUCGCUUGGAAUUACAGAAUUAAAUUCAUGCUUAUUUUAAAACAUCUUUUUAAAAUCAUGGAAGAUGUGAAAAUGGUUUUCCAAAGAGAAAAUGACAACUGAUUUUAUUGAAAAUGGGAUUUUGGGGACCUAAACGUUAAAGAGGGAUUAGGAAUUGAAAAUUAAAUCAUUUGAAAAUUGAAUUUUUCAAAAAUCAGUUUUGAAAGCAUGCAUGCAAGUAUGGACUGUGAAAGUGGGCCUAGGGAGGGUGGCCAUGCAAAAUGAGGUCAUACACGUGGGCCUUGGGUACAAUUGGGACUACUUUGCUGGUGCCAGUGGUGCUUGCAGCUGUCAUCCAUGAUUUCUUCAUUGGGAUCAAUUUCCAUUCUUACUGCCAAACAUUCCAUAACAAUUGACCAAACUAGUAACCCUGACCUUGCAUGAAAAUGAACGUUACCUAGAAACUCACUGCCAGUGAGAUUCAUUGCUCUUUCAAAAGGUCUCAUUUUCUUUCUCAUCCAAUUGCUUUAAGGAGCAUUCUAGCGUCACGAUUGGUGACUGCGCAUCAUCUAGAGCCUUCUUUCUUCUCAGAAUCAGGUUUGCGUGCAGAGGCCUGUGCUUGUUCAAGGUUGACCUAAAUUCAUCUAGGUUUAGAACCGACCAGUUGAGCUUGGGGAGCAACGACAAGAAUAUCAGUCACUUGCGAAGAGAAAACUCGAGAUCUUUCAAGUAAUGCCUGACAUAGAUUCCUCCAACCUGUGGCCAAUAUCUCAUUCCUUGUUGGCCAGACGCCUAUUAGGGCGUAUCUCAAUCAAUAAUAUGAUUUUUCGUUUGUUCACAAUAAAGACCGGAAGCCAUGGUUGUGAUUUAUGCAGUACAGAAGAAGUUGCCAUGGCUGGUAUCCUUACAAAUUCUGGUGUUUCUGCUAUCUGUUCAAGUGCAAAACACAACAGCUUUAUCAAGUUUGUCCCUAACAACUGAUAUUGAGCCCUCUGGAGGAAACCUUGAUAAAUUCAUAAUCACUUUUGACUCAUGCAUGGGCUGCCCAUCAAAUUUUCCUAGCAACGAGACGACUGCUGUCAUCUACUGCAAAGAGAAUUUCUUCUCGCAAAGACAAGAGGAGUUUAAGAAUACACACUAUUCUGCCAUUUCAUUUCCUCUUUCUCCACAACCAACAUAAACCAUAGUGUCUACAUUAGAGUACUUAGAAAGAGCUUAACUGAUGACCGUUUUUCCACAACCAAAUGCCCCAGGUAUGGCACAAAUUUCACCGAAAACAGAAGGGAAAAGGGCAUCAAGAACACGCUGUCCUGUAAGUAGUGGGGUAUCAGGACUACUCUAGGGAAGUUAUUUCUGUCAUUUUGAAAAAGAAAAAUUAAAGAAUGUACACAUGCUUUCAAGUGGACUGGAGCAUUCUACAUAUCAGGUGGUCUGUAGCCACAUGUGCCACUUUGUGGAAGUUGGAACAGUCGAUCACUAGGCUAUUUAGUGUGGCCAAGCCACGUUAAUCAAGGACAAGUCUUCAUACUUAAAAGUCAAAUGGUGCCUUUAGUCUCAUUACACAUGGCUAUUUAAAGAUGAACUAAUCUUUAGUGUAAUGUGAUUAAGACAGUACUAACUGAUCAAUAUUUUUUCUAAUUUUGGAUGCAAAUGCUUGCUGGCUUCAUCAUUGGAUGGGAUAAAGGUGCAUUCAUGACUCUGAAUACUUGCAGUAAUACUUGCAGUAAUACUUCAUUCUCUUUUUUCUCGAUGAGACUUCUUGGCACAAUUUUGCUUCUCAGCAACCUACCUCUCCAUGGAAAAUGAGUUGCGAUUGAUGGUACUGGAUAUUUUCUAGGAAGCUAAAUAUAGAUAUAUAGCACUCAAUGUCAACGAUAUAUAUAGCAUUAACAGUAUAUGUCUCAAUGCUCAUCAGCUACAAGCAAGGGACAAACACUUACAAUGAAUAACUCACGUCAACAUUCCUAAACAGGACAUAGAAGUGACAGAUCUAUAUAUAGAACACUGCAUAUGAGUCACAAGAAAAGAUAAUACGGGUGCAUAGCAGCUCUUAUAUUACAUAUUACUCAUACCGUUCAAAUUCACUCAGUUGGGAUGGGUGGGAGAAGGAGGCCUCUGGGGUGGCUUGUGCGUGUGAGAAGUGGAAGAAAGUUGAAUGGAAUGAAACUGAAAAACAGGGUAGAAUAGAGGUUUCUUGAAUCUUCUGAAAUCUUUAUUUUUCUGAGAUUUAUUCUCUGUUUUUGUGAGUCGUGACUCUACAUAUAUACAUGUAUUUAAAGUUAGUUAUGCCUUAUAACUAAUUAUCUAACAGUACCAAAACUAAUCAUCUAGUUGCAUGUUUCUAAUUAAUGCUAUUUAGUUACAACUAUAUAUGGCUUAACAUCCUCUCUCAAACUCAAAAGUCUAGCUAGAACAGUGAGUUUGCUUCAUAGAUUGAGAAAUUGUUGAAUAGGUAAGGCUUUGGUAAGAGCAUUAGCAAUCUGGUCAUAAGAAGGAAUGUGUUGAACCACCAAAGUCUUAUUGAGCACCUUUUCCUGAACAAAAUGGCAAUCUAGUUCCACAUGCUUAACUCGAGAAUGAAAAUAGGAUUGGCAGCAAGAAAGGUGGCUGAAAGAUUGUCAUAGAACAAAACAAAAUAGGAGAAUAAGAAGAUGAGAUAGAAAACUCCUGAAGAAGAUGUUGAAUCCAUUGAAGUUCAAAAGCAACAUUUGCUAAGGCCCUAUACUCAGCUUCAUUGCUGGAACGAGACACAACUUUCUGCUUACUGGAGUUCCAGGAGACUAGAUUAGAGCUAAAAAAGAUGCAAUGACCACUUGUACUUCGACGAUCAUCAGGGCAACCAACCCAAUCAACAUCAGCAUAAGCAGUAAGUUGAAAAUCAGGAGAAGAAUAAAAGGAAAGACCAAAGGAAGUAGUGCCCUUAAGAUAAUGCAACAAUCGUUUAACAACUUGCCAAUGAAGAUCAGUUGGUUAUUGCAUGAAUUGGCAAAGUUUAUUGAUAGAGAAAGAGAUGUCAGGCCUUGUAAUGGUACAAUAUUGCAGGGCUUCAACAAUGUUGCGAUAUUGAGAAGGGUCAGCCAAGAGGGAACCUUUAGAGGCAGAUAAAGUGUGAGAGGUAGUCAUUGGUGUAUCAAUAGGUUUAAAAUAUGGAAGACCAGCACGAGUUAACAAGUCCUGAAUAUAUUUGGUUUGGGAAAGAUGAAGAGAAGAUCCUUGCCAACAUACUUCUACACCCAAGAAGUAAUUCAGAAUACCAAGGUCCUUGAGAGCAAACUGAAAGUGUAAAGACGAAACCAUUUGGUGGACUAGCACGGUAUUAAGACCACUAACAAUAAUGUCAUCAACAUAGAUGAGAAUAAUGAUCAUGUCAGUCCCUUUCCGAAGAGGAGCUUGCUUCAGACCCUACAAGGCUUUGCGAAGUUUACAGAAAAAACCGGGUUUAGAAUGAUCAACAAAGCCUGGAGGUUGAACCAUGUAAACCUCUUCUUCUAACUCACCAUUGAGAAAGGCAUUAUUAACAUCUAAUUGUUCCACUAACCAACCAUGAGAAAUAGCAAGAGAAAGAACAAUUCAUAUAGUAGUUGGUUUAACAACAAGGCAAAAGGUUUCAAAAUAAUCAAUACCAUAUGUUUGAUUAAAACCCUUUGCAACUAAGUAGGCUUUAAAACGAUCAAUUGAGCCAUUAGCUUUGAGUUUCAGCUUGUAUAUCCAUUUACAACUAAUAAUGCGUGUAUUAACAGGUUUAGGAACCAAUGUCCAUGUGGAAUUGGUGAGAAGAGCAUCAUACUCAGUCUUCAUAGCAGCUUGCCAAUUAGGAUGCAAUAUUGCUUCUUUGAAAGAGGAGGGUUCGACAACAGUAGUUUGGAUAGCAAGGCUAAAUAUUUUUUUGGGUUUAAAAAUACCAUUUUGGCUACGAGUAACAAUAGUUCGGUUUGGAAGUGAAAGAGGAUCAGUGGAGGAGGCUGGAACAAGGGAUUGUGGUAAAGUAGGAAAGGAAGGUGGAUGAGAUGGAACAAAAUCAGUAGGGACAAUAAUGGGAGAAGAAAAAUUAGGUGGAGAAUGAUGAGGAUUCCUUGAAGAUGGUGUAGGAAUAGAGAGAAUACCAGAAUCAAGAAGUGUUAAAGAAGAGUUGGAUGAUGAUACUGGUUGACAGGAUAAAGACUUUGUUAAAAAUGGAAAUCGAGUUUCAUCAAAUACAACAUGACGAGAAGCAUAUAUCCGAGAGGAAGCCAUAUCCAAACAGAGGAAUCCCUUGUGUUUAGCACUAUAACCCAAAAAACAGCAAACAACAAAUAUAUUUGCUAGCUUGUGAGAAGCAUAAGGGCGAAGAUAAGGAAAACACAAGCAUCCAAAACUUCAAAGAGAUGUAUAAUAAGGUAAACGAUUAUAAAGAACUCCAUAAGGAGAAUUUUGUGAAAGAACAGCAGAGGGAAGGCAAUUUAUGAGAAAAAUGGCAGUUUGAAAUGCAAAUGACCAAUAUUUGAGAGGGUAUACCAGCUUGUAUUAACAAAGAAAGACCAACUUCCACAACAUGACGAUUCUUUCUUUCAACUCUUCAAUUUUGCUAAGGAGUAUAAUGACAAGAGACUUGAUGAAGAAGACCAUUUGUAGCCAAAUAAUUCUGAAAAGCUGAAACUGAAACUCAUCAAAUUGAUUUUUAGUAUCAAAUUUUCUUCAGACUGAACACAUUGAUUUUUAGUAUCAAAUUUUCUUUCAACCAUGGCUUGAAAAUGUUGGAACAUAAGUAAAGCUUCAUCUUUAGUUUCCAAAAGGUACAACCAUGAGAAUAUGCUAAAAUCAUCAAUUAGCAAGAGGAAAUAUUGAGCAUUACCAUUGACAGAAACUAUAGGAGUUGCACCCCAAAGAUCAACAUGGAUGAGACCGAAUGGUUUUAUUGCUCUAGAAGUGGAUAUUUCAAAUGGAAAACGAUGGCUUUUAGCCAACUGACAAGACUCACAUACAGAGUUAUUAUUGUCAUGUUUCAAAGGUAUUUUAUAAAGAGAUAAGAUUUUGGAAACUACAUUAAUAGAGGGAUGACCAAGUCUAUUAUGCCAAAGCCUCAAAGAACCAACGGCUAAAGUACUACUAGUAGAGUAAAAUACUAGUGGAUGACCAACAACUCUUGGUGUAGCAAGAAGUUUAUAGAGACCCUUCUCAAUUUUUCCUUGAAGAAGAGCAAGUCUCGUUUCCUGAUCCUUUACCACAAAAUGAGAAGAACGAAAUUCAAUAAAGGUGCCAUUGUUUGAGUAAAAUCGUUGCACGCUAACUAAGUUGGUGGUAAUAGAAGGAACAUGUAAGACAUCAUUGAAAAACAAAGAACCACUUGAAGAGGCAAGAGAAAAUUUACCAAUAUUUGCAAUGGAUAAACCCUUACCAUCUCCAACAAUUACUUUGUCACCACUGGUAAAUGGAUUAUGGAUUGUUAAAUUGUUAAGAUCAGAUGUGAGAUGAUGGGUAGCCUUUGUAUCAAGAAACCAAUAAGUGUCUCCCAUUGUUGCAGAAGUUGUAGUCAUAGCCUCAGGAUUGUUAGAGGUGGAAUGUUUAGAAUCUUUUGGCUGAUAAUCAGAGUUAAACCGAUACCAGCAUUGUAAAGCGGUGUGUCCGAACUUACAACCGAGAGAAAUAAUCUUUACUUAUUCUCUAAAAACUGUUCUUUAUUCCACACAUUAUUUCUAAAAACUGUUUCUAGAUAACAAUGACAAAAUAGUAUUAGGAAUUUUUAAAAAUAAAAAUUGUUUUUAAAUUACAUGAUCUAUAUCAUUCACAUUUGACCAUUAUAGCUUUGUUCAGGAAAACACUUGAAAGUAACCUUAUCGUGAUAAGAGAUAUAAGUUGGCUGUAGUUUCAAACUGAAAACAGAGGAUGGCAAUAGAAAGCAAAGCAUUAGUUAUCUGCAAUCAGUGGUGAUCAUGCCCCAUGUCAAUUUCGGACCCAUAUCUUAAAACCGUAUAAUUUGCAUUUCAACAUUUCUGAUUUCUCAGAUGUUUCAUACUCCACAGAAGAACAUUGUUUGUGAAAGCAUGCAUUUAUGCUGGAUUUUGGAUGAUGUGGGAACUGGGGCAAGGAUCAUAUGGAAGAGUGGUCGAUUUUUUCUGUACUUUAACAUUUGAAAUAGGAGCAGCACGGGCAUUUGUGGGGCUUAAUUGAUUUUGAAGCCUGAAAUUGCGUUUCUGUCAUUUUGUAAAAAAUAUGGCAGAUUCCAUGCUCUCAUAUGUUUGGUCUGUGGCCAUGUAUAGAUGCCACUUAGUGACCAGUUUGUAACUGUCAAUCAUAGUGUUUUGACUCUGGCUCAACAACAUCAGCCAUUGACGGAUUUUCAUACAUGCAAAUCAAAUAGUCUUCUUCCUCCCUUAGGAAUUUCGGUUUAAAUGUUAUUAAGCAUACAUUUGGCUGACAAUUAUUAACCACUUCAUGAUAUGGUUUCUUACCCUUAAUCAAUGGUUUCUAAGUGAAUAUAUGCAGAAGGAAAUCUGAACUGUAGACAGCAGUAUUGAUAAUUAUCAAUAUUCUUUAUAUAAGAGAAUAAACAACGUCAUAGUGAUCGUCGCCUACAAGAAAGGUACAUUUCCCAACAAGAUGUAGUUGUGACUGGUACAUGGACGUAAUUAACUCGUAGAAAAGGAUAAGACCAGUGCACGGCAGCUCUUAUUUUACAUGCUAAUUAUGCUAACCAAAGUCACUCAGUUGGGAUGGGAGGGAGAUGGAGGUUUGUGCGGUGGCUUGUGGGGCGGAGUUGGUGGCUUCUUUUCAGGAGCUUGUGGCUUUUUCGGAGCUGAAGGAGGCUCAAUCUUAUGAGGCGGCUUGUACGAGUCUUCUUUACUCUCGACAGGAGGGUGGCCAGGGUUGUGACCAUAAUGUGGUGGCUUCUCUCCCUUAGGUGGCUUGCCAACUGGGGUUGGUGGCUUGUGUUCAGGAAGUGGUUUCUCUCCCUUGGGAGGUUUACCAAUUGGGGUUGGUGGCUUGUGUUCUGGGAGUGGUUUCUCUCCCUUGGGAGGUUUAGUGGGUGACUUGUGUUCUGGAGGUGGCUUCUCCACCGGAGGCUUGUGCUCCGGUGGUGGCUUCUUGGUUGGAGGGGGCUUGGGGUAAUCAGCAAGAGAUGGGGGGGUGAGAACCACCACUCCAAGGAACAACACUAGCAAGUAUGUGGGAGACAUUUCUGAGUUUGAGCUGAUCAGAUGAUGCAAAACUAGAAGAAUUACGUGACCUUUUAUAGCAAGUAGCUCCCAAUACCCACAUGACACGUGUUACUGUGACCAUAAAUAUUAUAGGGUCCAUUUGUGCCCUACCGGGUUGAAAACUUGGACGCUUGGCCGAGGACACACCGAACUAUGGAGGACUAUUGACGUGUGAUCACAGCUUUUGGAUUUUUCUUCCUGUGCAGCUGUCUAGCGGUUGGCAUUAUUUUUUUAAUCUUAAAUAAAGGCAUAGUUAUAGAGUACAUUUAUAUAUCUUCAGAUAGCCAUUAAUAUAUUUGAUGAAGAAAGACAAGUGCAUACAACAUGUAUACGGCUUGCUUCAAUCGAGUACAUUUAUGAUCAGUUUUCCAGUGCAAGUAAACCAGUUUUUUGUUCCACAACUAUUUUGGAAUCUUGUUUAUCAGUUUCUAUCAUUAUAAUGUCACAUAGGCUGCAAACUUGGGCACCCAAAGAUCUAGUUGGGCAAAUUUGUUUCAGAAUUUCAAUGGUGGAUUCAGUAAUUGUUAAAAGGUGUUUCUUCAUUAAGGAAAGAGUCCUGUAAAAAUAUUGUUAAAAGGUGUCAUAGAAACUAUAAUAAUUAAAUAACUUCUUUUCCCCGUGGGUGGUGUUUCUUCUGGGGAUACCCAAAAUGAGUUCAGAUUAAAAUUGGUUCGAGUCAAAGCUGUCUCUUUUGUCCAGAAAUCAACUAUUUUGCGCAUUGCAUGAAUCGAUAAAGAAAAAAUGAAAGCCAAAUCACACCUCCCCUGCAAAACCUAAACCCCGGUUGCUAACUUUCUAUGUUUCAGUCCUAUUCAUACAGGAAUAUUGGUUCAAGUUUGAGAAAAAUGGCAACUUACCUAGGGAUUACUUGGUUGUGGUUUGCGACGACUAUUUACGCAACCAACCAUGAGUUUGACUUUAACGUCAUGGGUUGAAGCCUCCUACAAUCGUGUAUGAUAGUUCAAAGCUCGUAGUAGAAAUUAUACAGGAAGGAAGAAACCUCCAAAGCUAGCUCCAAAAGAGAAUUAUCACAUCGAUAGCUCCAGAGAUUCCCAAGGGGACUGAAUCAAAGACAAGUUCCUCACUUUUUCUUCUUUUGAGGCCAAAUAUGAACCAAGGAUCACACGACCUCAUUCAACUUCAUAAGUUUGAUUUCAUGCAGUUGAACACUGGGUGAAGGCCAUGACAAGAAUUGAUUAAAAAAUUCUACCACUGUUUUAAGUAAUGGAAGAUUAUUAUCUCUGAUUGGCACCACAACAGCACAUGCUGCUAGAUCUUUCUAGACACUCCAUGCAAUGAAAGUACAAUGGAUCUUGUAACGAUAGAAACUAAGCCAUGCUACAGUACUAGAUGACGAGGUAAAACUAUUAGACAUGGGUGGCAGCCUAUAUGGGAGGGACACAAGUCUAAUUGAUUUGCAUUUCAGCGUUCUAGAUGGGUAUGUUUUGGAAGAUUUGUUCUGGAAAUACCGCACCAAGUAGGAUUCUUUUUUCUCUUGAGUGGGUCCACUUGCAUGCCAAUUAUCGAGUUGAAAAGUAGAGCACCUACCUCGUGCUCGUGGAACCGAAGGUCAGUGAAGUGGGGCUCCUUUUGGCCUCUUGUGUUUCUGUUCCAACCAAGGCGGCGGAGGGAAAAACAGCAAUAUGUCUCCGCUAAAUAUCAACGCAUGAUAGCGAAUGAGGGAGAAAAAAAGUAAUUGGCAUCUCAAUCUCACAAACUUGGUACAGUAGUGACAUUAAUAGUCUUCCACAUGGUUUUUAUUUUAUUUUAUUUUAUAUUUUAUAUUUUCCAUUUUUUUAUUUUUUUGUAUGUCAAGGCUAAUGAAUAAAAUGCGUUAGCUUGUUUUGUGAUUGGAACUGCAAAUGUCCAAAUUGGAGUUUCUCCAUUUCUCAGUUCGGAUGGUUAACUUUAUAAACAAGAUAUAGGAAACAUGUGAACGUCUUGAGGAACAAUUCGAAUUAUUGAUUAGAACUCCUAGGUUGAGUUCCAAGAUUUAAAUCAGACCCCUCUAGCAGCUUCAGGGGUACCUAGCAAUUAGAACAUAUUAAUGAAGAUUUAGGAUUUAGACUCCGGAAUACAAAUUAAUAUGUAUCUUAUGCUCUGACUAGCUUCCCUGCAUAUGCACAAAAUGGAGAUGACCCAAAAAAUAGCAGAAUCGCCUUAGUUUAUGUGGUUAAGGUGAUUCUCCGGUUAAUAUCCACAUUGGCUCAUUAUGCAAAUCAACUGAGCUAUUUUUUUUUUAAUGUCAAAUAGGAACUCCUAAUUAACCUAACCAUUGGCCUGUGUAAAUUGAUUUCACAUGCACAAUGUUGUAGUAGAAGUCCACAUUUUGAAUUUUAUUUUUGGAAAGGUAAGGAAAAUGAAGCA
rnacentral:lncRNA from 1 species